rnacentral:lncRNA from 1 species
CCCCCCCAAAAAAAAUAAAAUAAAAGAGCUACACUGAAGUACACAAUUCUCAGAAAAAAUUUAAUGAAUAAAACAUGUGUAGCUUAUCCAAAAGAGGACAAUAACUCGCCAGAGCAGCAGAAAAUAAGAAAUCAUUUUUCCCCAUGUCUUUUAGCUCAAGUAGAAAGAAACGGCCUAGUGGGAAAUAUAUGGCAGAGUAAAAAAUUGUGGAUUUGCUGCGAGACUGGGAUGGACCUUUUCACAUUCCAUCAGACUAAGUUACACUGCUUAGUGUCUAUGUCGUUGGUGGAUGAUAAGAUGUUUGGAAGAGCCCUUCCUUCACUUUAGAUAAAGAAUUGGACUAAUAAACAAUAGGGCGCAAGUAGCUUCAAAUCAACAAGGGUGAAAUCAGGGGCUAAUCUACCUUUCCCUUUUUAUUAUUAAAAAUUAUAUAAUAAUAUAAUUUUUUAUAACGGGCGGCUUCUCCUAUGUCGUGUCAAAUUCACAUCGGGCUUCCAUAUUUCAGCCCACUGGCUCCAUCAACAAUAAUAGAAAUUGAUAGCAUCCAAGGAAGCCAAUCAACACUCGAAACCAAGGAUCAGUUUGGAACUCCUAGAAGACUAAUGACAAGGUCACAAACAAGAAAACAUCAAGAGAAGCUCCAAGGCUUUGAAGUGAAGAUCAAGAAAUGCCUAGUAAUGGGGAAAGAGUUGAAGGAUUUAGAGGGAUUUCACAAGCAUUCAACAAAUUUAAAGUCCAACUUGUGGAGUUAGACAAGAAACAACACUUAACAGCUUGGAGAAGCCCCCUUUACAAGUUGCACGGCCGAAGAAAGGAAGACAAGAAACAACACUUAACAGCUUGGAGUAGCCCCCUUUACAAGUUGCACGGUUAGCCUAGUUGAUGCUGGAUCAUCAGCAUGAAAAACAUACCUAGUUGAUGCUGGACCAUCAGCAAGACAAACAUUAUCUUAUUUGGAUGUUUUUAUACUUAGUUUUAUUUAUUACACUUAAUUAAUAAGUGGCACAUGUAGUUUAUUUUAAAUUUUGUUGGCUGAUUUCACUAGUUUAGGCAUGUGGGCCAAAUUCAGAAGGGCCUAGGCUUGUCCUAUGUUAUAAGUAGCCUCUAAAACGUGAAGAGCAGAUUGUGAAGUUUUUGAAUGACUAAAGGUGUUCCCUUUGAUGAGACUUAAGAAACCCUAAUGGUUCCUGAAAAACUCUAUAGAUUAUCCAUUCAAGUGAGUGAUUAUCCUUGAGGUAAUCUGGCUUCCUUCUUGUUUCUUGAUAUCUUAGGUUCUUAAUUGGUAAUUUAUUGGAGUCGUCGUGUUUUUAUACACUUCGUUGCCAUUAAUUUCUCAAUUUAGGGUCAAGAUCUUGAAAUAUCUUGAUGUUUCUUGCUAGAUAUUGAAAUAUCUCAGGAUCUGAUUUCGUGUUUCUUGUGUACUUUAUUCAUUGUUCUCUGGGUCUUGUGUUUCUUCCUUUGGUUCUUUGUCUUGGUUUCUUCUUAAUCUGUAUUUCAUUCACUGUUCCUGUUCUUGUUCAUGUAUUGGAUUUCUUCUUGGUAUAGGAAUUGAGUUUUAAAAAAAAAAAAAAACAUAAUCCCUGCGGUAUCAGAAAUCUUAAUAAUUUCUUAAUCACAGUUUCGGAGUCAAAAGCACCUGACGAGCUUCAAGAUUUGAGACUGCCAUUGCUCCAACAUAUGGAAGACUUUCAAUCACUGCAUCUGCCAAAUCUGAGAUGAAAGUGGGUUCAACACCUAGGGCAGGAACACGUGCCCAAUUCUGUAUUCCAGACUCCAAUGCUAGCUCCUUGUAUUCAACAUCAAUUUCCUCUAAUGUCUCAAUAUGCUCACUUACAAAACUUUGAUAGCAUUUAAAAUUAGAAAACACAAGCAAUUAACAUGAAAAUGAAGUGACUAAGCAUCAUCAAUUAUACUGCCUAAAAAGCCAACUUUGCUUACCUUAUUGGCACGGCAAGAAUACUCUUAACCCCUUUCUUCCCAAGCUCAAUUAUUGUCUCAUCAGUAUAUGGUUUCAGCCAUUCAACAGGUCCAACCCUACUCUGCAUCAGAGCAAAAUAACUUCAUGGAAUGGCCAACUAAACGGUAUUUACAAAACUCAAUCAUGGCAAUCUAAGUGGGGGGAAAAAGGAGCAUCUCGAUAUACAAAAUCACAGUAAAGCACAUCAGUCAGGAAGCCAUGUAUUCGAAAUGCCACCAGUGAAGAUUUUCUUUGUGUUCCUCCAAGAAGAUAACUUAUCUGUGGCAGAUAGGAUGAACAUUACCUGACCACGGACUCCAUCGCCAAGCAAGUAGGAGAAGCAAUGUUAUAGCAGCUAUAUGUUAUGUGCUAGCAAAUGAGCAUAUGAGCCUCAUCUAUCUGUCUAAUCUAAUAGUGUAUCACUUGACAAUAGCAUCAUAAACAAGCACCAUCUUACCCUUUAAAAGGUAUUAAUCAAGUAAUAAGAGAAGCACCAAAUAAUCUUUUUUUUCCAAUUGGGACAGAUAACACCACAUAUAUUAGAGCCCUUCCAAGUUCACAAAACUGACAUCAAUGAAAGGCUACAGUACCUGUCAUACGUAGAGGUGUUAUACUUAUAACAUGAAAGUGUUCAGUACUCGUGUCUCACACUCCAUAUUAGCUAACAAUAUUUGUAAUGCAAUUAUUCUGAUUAUUAAACUUGCUUUUUACCUUGUCAGUAACUAGGAAGUUCAUGUGGUACAUUGUAAUAAUUCACUAGAUAGUAGAGCAAUUAGUCCCCUCACCUAUUGUUGGAAAAGCGUGGAUAAAAGAAAAAAAGCUCUUUCACCUUCCUAACAAUAGAUAUGCAUGUACCACCUUUUCAAAGUAAACUGGAGUGCUUUAAUAUGUUAGCCUCGAGUUUACCAUAUAAUUUAGCUGUCUUAUGAACUUUCAAUAUUGAAGAGUGCAAUGAAGAAAUAUUUGCAAACCAUGCUUGUAAUGCGGUGAUACAUUAUCACUUCCAUUUUUGAAAAGCAAAUAGGGUUGGGGAAACUGGUACAUGGGAAUCUUGCUCAUAGAAAACACCACAUUCAAGUAGUGGGGGAGAGGGAUGGAAUAGCUGUCUUUAAUUGUGCACCAACUGAACUCAGAGCUUUCUUAUACCUGAUUGAAUUAUGAGCCCAAAAACAAAAUGUGCAAUCAACUAGAGUCUUCAUUUCAAGAAUGAUUUAAUGCAUAAACAUGGACAAUGUUGCCUAUGCAAGUAAGUUUUAAUAUUAUUAAUUAUAAAAUUUAAGUAUGCUAAUAGAUCUGCAAACAUACCUGAUAGGCCAAAGUAUAUGCGUUAUGUACCCUUCUCUUCUCAAGUUCUUCCAUUAUUAAGUCCACACAUUCCUCCAUUUCAGCCUUGUAUGGAUCACCUGCUUCCUCUACAUAUGCAAGUGGUACCCCAUGAGCACUGAAGAAUAUCAUCACCUGUGUAUAUGAAGCUAGUUAAUAAGGAAAGAGGUAAGCAUAGAGGGAUAUCAUACUACUUUAGAAGACCCUGCUUUUAUUUUAUUAUAAGAUAUCAGAUAUUAUUUCAUAAAUAAGACAUGUUGGGGAGCAGGAACAGAAUGCCGUCAAAUCUAGAGAAAUAUUUGGUCUAGCGUGCCACCAUUUUUUUUUUUUUGUUUUUGAUCCUUAAUCUCUUCAACCGCACAGAGAUUUUUCCAUGACUUUUUUUUUCUGCCAUAACCAACUCUAUAUAGCUUCAAGAGAAGAUCUUCAAGCAAAAGACUUCAGGGACAGAUACACUAAAUCAAGAGUAUCACAGUAUCAUGGAAAAAAUCUGUAAACAUUUAUUACAGAAGAAAGCAAAACUGGUAAGGCAGCCAGAUGUAGUUAUAAACAAAACACUUUGCAAGAAUUUUUCAGACUUUUAAGUAAUCAAAGCAAAAAUACAAAUACACAAAUUCUUUGCUGCCUCGCAUAUAAGGAAAGAUGGGGACUUUUUAAGGAAAAUGAACACUCUUUUCACGAGGUAAGUAUAGCAUGAGCCAGUGAAAAAUAGAGAUGAUACUACCUCCCCAGGAUGUUCAAAACUUUUCAGCUCUUUUUCCAUCAAAUCUGCCAUCGCUUUGAUAUAUCCUUCCCGUUGAUACCAUGAGGGUAUUACUGUGUGUUGCAUGUUAACAAGAUACUCAUCCUCCCUAAAGAAAAUACUCAUUGCUACAUAUAUUAUUAUGACAAUUGCAAAUGGAAUGUAUUCUCCGAGCGAGAAUAUAGGUAUGUUUAUUACCGAAAUAUACUCUCUAAAAGGCGAAGGCUUGAACCACUCGUAGAUAUUGAAAACUGUGGAUAAAGAGGGAGAACAACAAGCUUUGUGAUUCCAUCCCUUUUAAUCUGCAAAAAGAACAGAAAAGGGAAAAGGAUAAAAAACCAACAGCUCAACUUCAAUUCUAUCCUAGGUAUCUCUAUUGUGCUUCAACAACAACAACUAUCUGGUAUAGUCCCACGAUGUGGGGUCUGGGGAGGGUAGUAUGUACACAGAUCUUACCCCUACUCGAAAGGGCAGAGAGGCUGUUUCUAAUUGACCCUCGGCUCAGGAAGGAAAGGAAAAACAAAAACAAAAGGGCAUUAGUGUCUCCAGAAGAAAUCACAUAAAUAAUUAACUAAACAUUAUUAUCUAAACAUAAUUGUCUAAACAUGAAAGCAUAAAUAAGGUGACAUGCAAUAAUAUCGAACAGUAAGUACCAUAAGGGCACAAUUCAAACAUUAACUACCAUAAAUAACUGCCAUAAGGAGGCCAAAAUCCAAUGCACAAAUCGUCUAUGGAAAACCCUGUCAAGCCCUACCCAACCCCGGGAAAGGAGUACGAAAAAUUCUAGGAGCACCUAUCCUAAAACCUUGAUACUGGACCUCCUGACUUUUCUAUCAAGAGCCAUGUCCUCGGAAAACCGCAUUCUAGCCAUGUCUUGCCUAAUUACCUCUCCCUAAUACCUCUUAGGCCUCCCUCUGCCUCGCCUCACGCUGACCACUGCCAGUCGCUCACAACUCCUCACCGGGACGUCAGGACUUCUCCUCCGCACAUGUCCGAACCACCUGAGCCUCACUUCACGCAUCUUCUCAUCCACCGGGGCCACCCUAACUUCUCUCGAAUAACUUCAUUCUUAAUCUUAUCUAACUUGGUGAGCCCGCACAUCCACCUGACAUCUUCUCAUCCACCGGGUCCACCCCCACCUUCUCUCGAAUUACUUCAUUCUUAAUCUUAUCUCACCUGGUGAGCCCGCACAUCCACCUACGCAUCCUCAUCUCCGCAAACUUCAUUCUCUGAACAUGAGAGUUCUUCACCGGCCAACACUCCGCCUCAUACAACAUGGCAGGUCUAAUCACAGCUUUAUAAAAUUUCCCCUUGAGUUUCUGUGGCACUUUCUUGUCACAUAGGACUCCUGAUGCAAGCCUCCACUUCGACCACCCUGCUCCUAUACGAUGAGUGACAUCCCCGUCAAUCUCUCCGUUCCCCUGAAUCACCGACCCAAGAUAUCUGAAACUGUCCCUCUUGGCAAUGACCUGAAAUCCAAUCUUCACGUCCCUGCCUACUUCGCUCGGCUCGGCGCUGAACGCACUCCAGGUAUUCAGUCUUAGAUCUACUUUAUUUGAAACCCUUAGACUCGAGGGUCUGUCUCCAUACCUCAAGCCUCUCAUCCACACCGAUCCUCGUCUUGUCUAUCAAUACUAUGUCAUCAGCAAAUAGCAUACAUCAAGGCACAUGUUAAAGAAAUAUAUUGUCCUUAGGCUGAUUCCUUUUUCGUAGUCUAAUUAGACAGGGACUAAAAGGCCAUGUUUGCUUCUACCUAAUGGAGGUCUAAAUCUAAUCAUUCAAAUCUCAAUCCAUUUCUUCCCUUCUACAACCACGUAAGUGUUCUUAAUAAAGCUAAAUCAUUCCGAUCUUUUACUAUUGUACAACAACAACAACAACAACCCAGUAUAAUCCCACGUAGUGGGGUCUGGGAAAGGUAGUGUGUACACAGACCUUACCCCUACCCUGGGGUAGAGAGGCUGUUUCCAAAUAGACUCCCGGCAUCCUUCCUUCCAAGAACUUCUCACCUUGCUCUUGGGGAGACUCGAACUCACAACCUCUCGGCUUACUUAUAGUCAUGUAAAGGUUUUUUAACUACAGUUAUCCAUUACAACCACCACCACCAACCACUUCUAUGGUCAGCCAUCAACGCACAACCACUAUUACCAACUACUUGUACCACCGGCGCCUUCACCCCCGAGCUACAUCGCACAACAACCACCACAAUUGCCGGUCAUCACCACCAACCAUGCUACCACUAGCCACAGCACUGCCAACUACCUCCACCACCAUCCACCCAACCUUACUGCCAGCUACCAUGACCAACCACAUCCACCAUCAACCACCUCCAUCGCCACGACCAACCACUUCCAUCAUCAAAUGCCCACUACCAACUAGCCUUUGAACAACCACUACCACAAUCACUUCUAAGAUUAGCCACCACUGCAAAAAUACCAUCACUGACCUCGUGUACCACUAGCCACCUUCAUCCCCAAGCUACACCACCUUCAUCCCCAAGCUACAUUGCACAACUACCACCAACAACCACCACCAUCGUGUGUCAUUACCACCAAUCACAUCUGCCACUAGCCACUGCACCUCCAACUACCAUCCACCCAACCUCCAUGGAUAGCUACCACGACCAACCACCUCCACCAUCAGCCACCUUACACCACAGCCAACCACCUCCACCGCUAGCUACCACAAUAAACCACCUCCACUGCUAGUCUUCCCACCAAUCACUUAUACCACAUCACCAGCUGCCAGCCUCUACUGCGAACCACCACUAGCAACUACGAUACAAUCUCUGCAAAAACACCACUACUAGUCACCUGCACCAAUGACAACCACCACUAGCCACCACCUCAAAAUUGACAUCGUUGAAGACCACCACAACUAACAUUUAGAGUGUGAUUUAUCAAAUAAACAGUUUCUACAACACCAUAUCAAUCAAAAGUUUCUCUAAUAUUUUGUUGAUAUAACAUUUAAGUAUGAUUAUUGUUUUUAAAUUCUCUAUUAAUUAAUUUUUGAAUAAAGAUAAUAUAUGCACACAUUCAGACACCGGAAAAAAAAACAAUCAUAAUUAUACAGUAUCCAGAUUAGACACAAUUUGUAAAUAAUCAAUAUGUAACUAGAUUCACAUUAUCUUUAUCUUAACAAAAGCAAAUGGGUCUAAGUAGCUUCCUCACUCGGCUUCGCUUCAACUCGGGACUGUUACACAACAAGAUAGAGAGAUAAGGCUAACUCGUCUAAUCCCUUCUCGAAAGAUAAAAACCUCUUCUCCCAGCCAUAUUACUCCCUCCACCAUCCCUUUCCACUUCUGUGCCACCCCCACUUCUCAGUACCACAUAUGCUCCAGUCAAAAAUUUUGUUUUAGAUUUCUUUUUAUACUUAAUCAUGAAUGCAUGCGUGGCUAAUACCAGCUUAUUAGUUAGCUGUUAAAUUAUUAUUUCCUCGAUAUAGCUGUAGUAAAUUUGAUCACUAUCACUCUAUCGUCUAGCCCAAAUUAUGUGAUAUGAUUCUGCAGUAGUGUAAUCCAGUAUGAACCUGGCUCGUACUAACUGCUUCAAACCAUAAAACACAUAAACAACUACAAAAGGAAAAGAAAAAGUUUACAAAAGAAAAUCAAAGAAACAAUACCAGCUCAAUGGCUUCCUCCGUGAAUGGAUGCCAGUAGCGCAUACCAACAUACACCUUUGCAGGCACAUUCCUUUCCCACAGUGCUUUUCUCAAGGCUUCAGCCUAAAAAUAAAAAUAUUAUUAAACAGGCAGAAUUGAAUAGAGGAGCCACGGAAAAUAAUGCACAAAAACAUUGUAAUGCUCAUAUACAAAUCCACCACAGUAAACAGCAGCUAACAGUAAAAGAGAUCUCUCGAUAGAAAAUAAGAGGUACAAAUCAUACUAAAAAUUAGCCUUAGCAAGUGUUUCCUCCAUAAAUCACUGGAAUUCAGCAUGGUCCAAAAAAUUUCACCACUAUGGUAAAACGCUCUCACUUAACAAAGAGAUCCACAACCAUAACCACACGUAAAAUACCAUUCAUUCUUCUUUUAGCGAUUGUUGGACCAACAUUUCUUCUUCACUUAUUCCUAGUUCUUAGAAACUUACUCAUUAAUCAGCAAUCAUGAAUAAUUAAUUAUCAAACCAUAUAAAUUCAUGCCUGAGCAUCAGUUAUCCGUCGAAGAGGAGAGCCACCACCAAUUGAAGCAUAACCUUCUUUGCUCUUAGGUGCUCUAGCAACAGAUAUGAAUUGCGCAAGUGGCCUUUGCAAAAACCGAAACAGCCUUGGCAAUCGAAUAAUAUCCUAUUCAAACCAAACAAUCCGAGUUAAAACCCAUCAAACAAAAGAGUAAAACACAAUAGCUUCUGACAUAUAACUUACAGGAUCAGCAAAAAGAUUGAACAAAAAUGGCUGCACAUCUUCAAGAGACUCAGGGCCACCAAGAUUAAGCAACAAAACACCAAUUUUUCCGUCACAAACAACAUUAACAGGAUUUGUGGACACUUGUUGGGGCCUAGAAGUGACCAAUGCUGAAGGCAUCAUAGAUGGUUUCAAGGAGCAUCUAGCAGCUACUAGUGAACAAUUUUUGGGUACCCUUAAACAAGAAGCUGCGGAGGGUACACUGCUUUGACAAUCCACUUGAUGGAAUGGUGAAUAGGAUGUGCAGUUCGCCGGCGAUGCAGAUAUUUCACGGCCGAAAAUCACCGGCGGCGCAAGGGUACACUGCUUUGACCAUCCACUUGAUGGAAUGGCGAAUAGGGUGUGCAGUUCGCCGGCGACGCAGAUAUUUCACGGCAGAAAAUCACCGGCUGUGCCAUUGCUGACUUGACUGCAAAAGGGAAGACUGAUCUGGGAUAAUGCUCUUUGUGGGGACUAAAAUGAGGAGAGAAAAAAUGUGACAAAUCAGUAAGUGAUGACUUUGAUAUUUUGGUCAGUGAAUUUGUUGGGAAAUUAUUUUGGAAAAGCUUUUUGGCGUGUAGCUGGUCUCCUCCACAAGUUCCGGAUAAUAACGGCACAGCAAAUGGACGUACAAGUCCCCUUUUAGCUUGUUUUGGUGUUCCGCAAGUCCAAAACAAGCUUCAUAUUCCAUUAAGUAAUUUAUUUUCUUAUCCCUAAAUAAUUUUUACGGAAAAGGGUCAGAACUGCCCUAACAUAUUGACGACAGUUUAAAAAUGUUCUCCGUUAACCUAUUUUGAAAAAAAUACCCCUACCAUUAAAAUUCUGGCAUAUUUAUACCCCUAAUAUAUUGACUCCAGUUUAAAAAUGCCUUUACCGUUAACCUAUUUUGAAAAAAAUGCCCCUACCAUUUUAAAUAUAAGUACAGUUAGUUGUUAGACUUAGGGGCACAAAUAUGCCAAAUUUUUAAUCGUAGGGGCAUUUUUUUCAAAAUAGGUUAACGGAGGACAUUUUUAAAAUAGAGGAAGGCUUUUUGGUCUGGAUUUUUAACGGUAGGGGCAUUUUUUCAAAAUAGGUUAACGGAGGGCAUUUUUAAACUGGAGGCAAUACGUUAGGGGCAGUUCUGAUCCUUUUCCCUAAUUUUAAUAAUUCCAAAAUUAACCUUCAAAAUAAAAGCUCCCUUCUCUGUUCUCCGUCCUUGUUGUGUCAUUCCUCCAUCACGCAUCUGCCUUUCCACGUGUAAUGACUCGACAGGCUAUUUUAUGUACUUGAGUUCCGUUUAUUUUAUUUUUUUAUAAAAAGUAUUAUAUCCAUUAAUAUCAAAGAAACAGUACAAGUUGGAGCUUUAGCAGGAGCUUUGACUACUCCUACUCUUUACAUCAAUCUUUUAUACUAAGUUCUAUCAUUUCCAGUAGUUACAUCUCAGCAUAAGAACAACUAAUAAACUAAAGCAACCAAGAACACUAAGGAAACCUAUUAAUUUGGCACAGACAUCUUGCCAACGCCCGCAAUCUGCCCCGAAUGUGGAUGGUAAGGGCUAUUUCUCUGCAUAGUUGAUUCUCCUCAUAUUUUUUCAUGUCAAAUCUAUGUUAUUCCUCUCUCGCCAGAUGAGUGCAACUGUGUUGAUGAAGACACAAGCAGUUAUAAUAUUAAGCACCACUCUACUCUUUGCCUUGUUGCAUACCCAUUGCAAUUCUGCUUCCCAAUCACCUACUGCCCUGUUAUGUCCCAGCCAGUUGCAUAAUCUAUUCCACAGUCUCUUUGUAACUGAGCAGUCAAAGAACAGAUUAUUAAAAGAGUCAGUACUUUGAUCACAAAACAUACAAUUGCCAGGAACUUGGAUGCCAAUUUUUCUGCAAUCUGUCUACUGUAGGUAGUCUCUGCUGAGCAGCUAGCCAGACAGUAAACCUGUGUCUAGGUUGAGCGUGUGCAAGUAACAUCAGUAGAUGAUUAAAAGAUUCAGUACUUUGAUCACAAAACACACAAUUGCCUGGAGUUUGGAUGCCAAUUUUCUGCAAUCUGUCUACUAUAGGUAGUCUCUGCUGAGCAGCUAGCCAGACAGUAAACUUGUGUCUAGGUUGAGCAUGUGCAGGUAACAUUAGGUUCUUCCGUUUUCCCUCUUGAAGUUUUAUGACAUUGAUUUCGUUUCGGGAAGGUUUUGCAAUAAUUUAAAACAAUUGAUUCCUGGUUUAGAAACUUAUGUUAAAAAGGUUAACCGAUGUUUGAGUUUUGUGAAAACACUUCCGGAAUGGUGUUUUGAUGGUUCUAACAGGUUCUUAUAGUGAUUUUGAACUUAGACGUAUGCUCGAAAUUGGAUGCGGAGGUUCCUAGGUUGAUUUGGCUUGUUUUGCCUAAAGGUGGCAAUUUCAAGGUUUAGAAAUGUCCAAGUUUGACAGUAGGUUGACAUCAUAGCUAUCGGGUUCAGAUUUUGGUUCGGGACUUGAAAUAAGUCUGUUUAUCAUUUGAAACUUGUUUGCAAAGCUUGGCGUCAUUCCGAGUUGGUUAGAUAGGAAUCUGACGCUUGGUUGAUUUUGGAAAUCAUUGAAUUUCAUUGUGAAUCCUAUGUGUUUUGAUUUCGGAUUCAUGGUUUCAGAUAUUAUUUUGGUGUUUUAUUCGUAUGAUAUUUUAGACUUUUGUGGAUAUCUGGUAUAGAGUCUCGAUACUCGGGUGAGUUUCGGAUGCGUUUCGGAUUGGUUUGGUCAUAUUUCACAGUUAUUGGUGAUGGGUAGAUAUUGCAGGUCUCGCAAAUGCGAGAUCUUGUUCGCAUUUGUGAGGUGGGAUGAGGGCUAAGAAGUUCGCAUUUGUGAAUUUUUUAUCGCAUUUGCAAUUGGCGGACCUUGGCGAGGGUGAUCUCUUUUGCAAUCACAUGAUCGUUUUUGUGAAGGAGCCUGACUUCGCAAAUGCAAAGUCAGGGUCACAUUGCCACAUUUUCAUGGAUCAACAGGCGCCGCAUUUGCGAUGGUUCUUCCGCAUUUGCAGGGGUUCGCAAAUGCAAACCCCGGGACCCAUCUGCGACUUCCGCACCUAAACAAAAGUUUGGAAUUUUGGGACUUAGUCUCAUUUAUCACAUUCUUUAGCCCUAGACUUGGUGGGAGGAGGAGAUUUUCAUAUAAAGUCCUUCGGCAAGUGAUCUUGACUCAAUUUUGUUUAUAUAACAUGAUUAUUUAUGAGAUUUAACAUAUAAUCCACAUAAUUUGAAAAGUAAUUUUGGGGAUUUAUGACUAUGUUUUGAAUAAUAAAAAUUUAAGAUUUGAGAGCACAAUUGGACUCGGAAUUUGAAAACCAAGUGCACAUAUGGGCUCGUGGGGUUAUGGCUAGUCUAGAUCUACCCUUUGACUCGAGUUUUAACCGGGUGGACCCAGGAUUAACUUUUGAAGAAUUGUGUAAAGACCUUAACUUUAGUAAUCGAAAUUUAUUUGAUAUUAUUAAUUCAUAUUUUGCUGGAUUUGAGUCGUGUGGAGGUGAAUUUUACAAAAAGAAAAAUUAUUUUUGAGUGUGGAAUUAGCCUAAUUGAGGUACGUAUCUUGCUUAACUUUGUGUGGGGGAGUUACCCAUUAGGAUUUGGUCUAAUGCAUGCGUGUGACACUUGCUUAUGCGUGGUAAUGAUUGGAUUAGACUUGUAGAUAUUAAUAUUCCUUGAAUUGAAGUUGUUGUCAUAUGGAAUACAUUUCAUUGUUGAGUUACUCCUCGUUUCCUUGAGUUGUUGUUGAAAUUAUUCUAUUCAUUAUUUUAGAUCCAAGUGUUAUGUAUUACUGUGAUAUUGGUAUUAUUGUUUGGGAAAUAUUGUGGCAUAUGAGCACAUAUGGUGCGAGUUAAUUUAUUGUGUUGUGAUGAGAUGUGCAUGCAACUACAUAAGGGUGGUUAGCAUUGAUGCGCAAGCGAUGAGAUAAGGGGGCUUAUGUGCCUAUUGCUACUAAGAGAAAAUACUUUAUUGUGAGGCACACGCGGUGAGAUAGGGGGCUUAUGCGUGUGCAGCUAUUUCGGAAAAAUCUUUUUUUAAAUGUGAAGCUCACACGUCGUCAUAAGGGUGACUUGUGAUUAUGAGGUGUGCUACCUCGGUGAUUCUUGUUGUAAAUCUUGUGUUGGAACGACUUGAUGAUUUGAUCUGCCAUUGUUUUCCUUUAUUUAUUUCACUUGUAUUUUAACUGAGUUUUGGUUUGUGUUAUCACAUGUCUACACUUUGUUGCCAUUUAUUGAUUUAACUUUGUGUUAUUAGCUUUAUAUUCAUAUUAUGUACAUAUUUUAUGUCUAGUUAGUGUCUUGACUUGAACCUUAUCAGAACGUUAGUUCUGAUUCUUACUGUGUAUCAUUUGUAGUAUACUCAUACUACGAUUCUGCAUAUUUUUGUGCAACUCCAGGUAUCUCAGAUCUUUCCAGACGAUAAAGAGUUGAGUUGAGCUAGAGUUGCAGAGACUUCAAGGUAUACUUAUUGUUCCCGCUCGCAGGCCUCGUAAUCACCUUAUGUUAUUUUCCUAUUACUGUUAUUUAUAUUCCAAAACAGUAAUGUAUUUGAGAUUUCUAGUGUACACUUAGUAAAGCUCAUGACUUGGUACUACCGAUUUUAGGAUUUAUGUGACUUUCGUAUUUCCUUUUCGGUUAUGUUAUGGGAUUAAUCAGUUGUUAUUUAAGUAAUUAAGUUGUUUUAUUAUGUUGAUCUUGCUUUGUGAUAGGUUUACCUAAUCCUAGGAACUAGGUUCCAUCAUGAUCCUAAAAGUGAAAUUUUAGGGUCGUGACAAGUUAGUAUCAAAGCUCUAGGUUCAUAGGUUCGCGAGUCAUAAACAAGUUUAGUAGAGUCUUGCAGAUAGGUACGGAGACGUCAGUACUUACCUUCUAGAGGCUAUAGAACUAUUAGGAAAUUCCACUUAUUUCAUUCCUUAUAAUGUGGAUUUAUUGAUUUCGGAAUUUGAGUCUUUGUAUUUCUAUUCUUUCAUAAAUACUAAGGACACGAGCUUCAGUUAUUGAUGAUGCUUCCCCCAGUAUCGGUAUUGCUAGAGGUAUGGGUAGAGGUUGAGGUAAAGGCGAAGCACGUGCUACAGCUAGAGGUCGUGCUAAGGCCGUGAUUGAGAAGCCACUAGUGGCUUCGGUUGGGGAGUACUCGAGGCGCCUGUUGCUACUCCUAAACUUCAGGAGACUUUAGUGCAUUUACUGAGCAUGUUCGGUACCUUGGCUCAGGAGGGAUUGAUCCCAGUUGCACUAGCUACUUCUCAGGCUGGGGGAGGAGAUCACACUCUGACAACCUGUGUUGCAUAGCAACGGCCCCAUGUUGAUCAGUAAUCACGUCCAACUAUGCCUCCUAAUAGGUCUAGCGGUCAUUGCAAAUAUAAUAUGGUUUACAAGUACGGAGUCGAAUCCCACAGGGAAUUAACCUACUAAUCACAACCACUAGUUUCGCAAGAAUCCAAGUAAUCAAACUUUAGAAAUAAUGAAUAACAAUUUGAGUGUUUACUAACUAAGAGCAUAUUAAUUAAAAUGGAUUAAUUUAAACUAACAGAGCAAAUGUUGUAGACAAGAUUUGAAAAAGUCUAGGGUUAUGAUUUCCCCAAAUUUCAAAAUCUCUUCCGUUAUAUUUCAAAUAAAUUCGCUUAAGUAUUCUCUACCGUUCGUGAGUACUUUGGGUGUCAUUGUUCUUUGUCGAGAAACUACCACAAUUUACUAUAUGUAUUCUGUUGAACUAUGCAAGCUAGCACUCAUUCACCGCUCACUACAAUCUCACCAAGGUUUUGUUAUUUCUUAUCCCGCAUUAAAACCUCCAUAUUUAUUUCUCAAAUACGUUAGGAGUGAUCUUGUAUAACGACUACCUAAAUUCGUACUCUCUCUUAAGUAGUACACACUAAAUAGGCACAAUAAAUUGAGAGCUCUUCAAUCAACAACAACGAAAAUAUAUUUGGACGAGUUGAGAAAGAUCAACUACAAAUUUAUAUUGAACGCAAUGGAAAAUCAUCCUUCAAUAGGUUCCAUCAAACCCUAGAUGAGAGAGUUUAGAUACUCAUAAAUGCAUAAACAAUCAUCAUGAUAUUCAAAGACGUUAAACUACAAAGUAAAGAGAAAUGGAGGAAAAACUCGUUUGAUUCCUUGCUCCAUAUGCUCUGUAGCCUUUUUAUUCGCCAAAAUAAUGUCCAUGCCUUUGUCAACUCGUUUAGGGAGUGUUUAUAUGUUAGGAUCGAGGUCCUUGAUUCCAAAUCCAGGUUGGAGUCCUUUAGUUUGAGAACUUUUGACCAUCCAGCUACAGAUCUCACGAGGCCAGGCUUAUAGCGCGCCAACCCGGCUACAUAGUUGGAUACGCCUGGUCUAUAGCGCGGUCAAGAUGGCUACGCUUGGCUUGUAGCGUGAUCAAGCUGGCUACACUUGGCCUGUAGUGCAAUCAAACUAGCUAUGCUUGUCCUGCAGCCAAUCUUCGAUACUUUCUAUUUUUGUGCUCUUUUGUUGCAUUUUCGCCCCCUUUUCGUGCAACUUUUAUUCGACUCUUUCUUCCGAUUCUCUUAGACAUAAAACAACAUAAUUUAGCUCAAAUGUCACACGAUUAACUACUAAAACCAAAAUAUAGCGUGAUUAAUGUACUAUAAGUAUAGCCUUUUGGCCAAACAUCACCACCCCACACUUAGAGGUUGCUCGUCUUCGAGUCAACUACUAAUUCACACUAAUCUAGAGCACUUUAUUUUCUUUUAACACAUCCGAAGCACAUCAUACCUGUGAUUAUGGUUGAUAGCGACAAUUAAAUUUCAGCAUAUGCCUUCAACACACACUUUCCUUUACUUUAUGCCAUACUUCAAAAAUUUAUUCAAUACCAAGACAACAUGCUUAUAAUAAUCCUAGUCUUACAAACUGAUUCAAUAUCACAAUGCAUUCAUGGGUUGAAUGCUUAACAUCAUAGAGAAAUCUAAUAAUGGAACUUGUCCCUUGCGAAAUCAUAUGCCCUCACAACAAGAACAAAAGAGUAAGUUGAAUCCACAUAUUCGAAUCAAAUGCUCAGAUAUAUUUUAAAGACUCAUAUAUAUCAAAGAAAUUCCUCACUUUUACAAAGACAGCACAUGCAUGCACAAAGUACCAUAGGUUUGACCUUUAUGUAACCCUCCACUAAUAUUGGCUCGCUCGAUUAGGACUUUUUAUGGUUGAAAUGCUGGCUACGGGACGGGUAGGAUAUAUUUUUGAAAUAGUGACUAAUCCUCCUAAGCACUUUAACAUAUCACUUAUUUUUUAAUUGCAAUUCUUGAAUCCCAACUUCGAUUUCACAAACAAUAUCAUCCUAAGAGCUUCCCCUUUUUUCGUUAAGCCCAGUUUACUUCACACCUUCUAGCAGGGACAAUAUAUCAAUUUAUUCGUCUACAUUUUUUUUUCUUCUCAACUAUGUAUUUUAUUUCUUUUGCAAAUUUUCUUUCUUUACCUGCUAGUAGUGUAUUCUUUUACAAAACACAUGCACAAUUUAUUUUUUAUUGGUUCAACUCAAAAGUCACUCAAGUUCCCUCCUUACUUUUUCUAGCGCUUAUUUUUUUACAAUUAAAGUGCUUUAAGAGCCAAAUGAAUUAAACUAAUGAUAAUUAAGAACAAAUGGGUAUAGGCUUGUAAUAUGAUUGCCAAAAUAAAGUAUAUAGGUUCAAAAUGGUUGACAAUGGAUAAUUUUAUUUGUGGUAAGCAAUAAGCUCAAAAAGAUCAAAGAAAAUCUAAAAUUACUUUCAAACCGAGCAUUACCUAAAAUUUCACUUCAACCCACAUGUCGAGCAAGUUUUUGAUUCAAAUGCAAUAACAUGGACUACACCAUUUCUCACCACACAUAGCACAUGACUCACUAAGGAUGGUUCUAUUUCGACACUCAAACAAUUAUAAGUAUUUCCGGAGCCACAAAUAAGCAUUAAGCACAAAGUGACACGGGCUAAGAAAAUGAGAGAUAGGACUCAAUAAACAUGUUAUCUACUCAACAAAGCUUCAUAAGCAUUUUCAAACCACAGGGAAGGUAAUAAACAUCGUAGAGCCUAAAUAUGCUACUAUUAAACAAGUCAAAAUACGCUUAUCAAUCUCAAAUUUCUCAUCCUUUUUAUUCCCUAAAUUCUAAUCUACUCUAAAGAUUAAAAAUUACUAGUAUUAUGAUCAUUCUCCUAAUUAUGGACCGCGAAAAUGACAUCAAAAUUCGCCAAAAAGACCAUAAAACCUUAAUGAACACAUAAUAUUUGAUAAAAUGCUCAAGUGAGCUAGAAUUAUGAUCAUUCUCCUAAUUAUGGGUUCAAUUGUGCGACAUUGCUAAAAUAGAUUGAAGUUGCGAAUAUUCUGAAAUAUUGUAGGAAUUAAGGAAAGCUCAAUUGAGGUACGUAUGGAUAAACCCCCUUAUUUUUAGAAUCGAACCCCUAAUGUUCGAGUAUCUGGUGUAAGAUCCUAACUUGAUCAUACUAGAAUUGGCUGCCUUAAUGUGUUGUGUUAUGUUGAAAGAUUCAUGUUCAAUAUAUGUUCUAAAUGCUUAUCAUGUAGCCAUGCUAUUUGAUAAUGCAUUUGAAAUGAGAAAUUGUGCCGAUAAAGGCUACGAAUUCAUGUCAAGAUUCGACUAAAGCUUGCUAAGCUAAUUUGUAUGAAAAACAUCCAUGUGAUUAAAAUUUUCCAAGAUUAUUACUUAUGUGUGCAAUGCCUUAUAUGAUAGGCCUUAUUAAUGUGGAUGAUAAGUUUAUUGGAAUGUAUAAAAAGGCAAAUUUGAAUUGUAAGAUACGGCCAAGUUCCAAGAACAGCUUAAUAAAUGAGGCUACUCGUGCCAUGUAAUGAAAUAUGGGAAGGAAAUGUGAUUGAGAUGAAUGAUUGAAAUGAUGAUAUCUCAAGUGAGAUGGCCUGGUCGAUCAGGUCGUGAUCGGACACCAUGCCACAUAUAUGGUGGUGAUUGUGCUGGAUUGAUUGAUUGAAAUUGUGGAUAUGGUUGAUGUCUCAAAUGGGAUGACCUAGCCAAUUGGGUUGAGAUUGGACUCCGUAUAGGAAUACGUUGGUAUUGUGGAUUGUGGCACAUGGAACCAAGAUUAUCAACCUAAUAAGAUGGAAAUUAAACUGAAACUAUGUGAUCCUUAAUUGAUGUUUUCGUAUUUGUUUGAAGCUCUUAUUGUACAUCAUGACUACUUUCCAUUUGUUUCAUUAUUCAUUCUAUUAAGAUUGGUGUUUAGUUUUACAUGCUAGUACUAUUCGACAAGUACUAACCUCCCUUUUGCUAGGGCCGCUACAUCUUUAAAUGGACGUGGAUGGUUCCAUAGAAGAUAGUGUUGACCACAACAAGUGGUGUACCCUCUUUCCAGCUGACUUGGUGAGCCCCACAUUAUUUCGGGGUCUUUUAGUUUGUAUCUUAUGUUCACCUUCUUAUUAUAUUUUAUGAUAUAACCGGGUCUUGUUACUAGCACUUUCUUUUGUAUCAACUUAGAGGCUCCAUAGACAUUAUGUAGAUUGUAUAUGGGUGUUAGGAAGGUUAAUGAAUUAUGUUUUGUUUUGGAUUCUUGUUCCACUAAAUCGUAUGGUGUAUGUAUUUUGAAACUUAACAAUGAUAACUAAUGAAUUGGCUUAGUAUUAUUCGUGUAUGAUCUCCUAGUGCCUGAUUAAUGAAAUCAUGUUAUCUGUUGAUCGAAAGUGAGUUGAGUAGAAGGUGUCUAUCAGUCUUUCUCGGCCAUAUUCACUCGGUUGAGCAUUGGUCGUGCUCCCCAAUCUUAGGGUGUGACACGUAUGUGCCAUGAAAAAAAUAAAUUCAAGAUAACAAUUUAUCAUUAAGAGACAUAUUUUCAAAACUCAUCAAUAAGGUGCUUAAGGACAUGAAAAUAAAAAAGUAUGAAUAUGUGCUUAAAAUAUAUGAUAUUACUACAACUUAAUCAAUUUAGCAAUGAUUCCACAAAUACCCAUCUUGGCUAAUUAUGAGAUAAUAAUCCUAAAAGAUGAUCUCAAGCAUGAAAGGAUAAGCUCAUGUAAUUAUACAAAGGAUUAUACACGUAUCAAGAGAGCACAUAAUGAAUUAAGGCAUAGUAGAAGCCUAGAGUUUAGUCUGGUCAUUCUUCACACAUAGUACCCGCAUAUACACUCAUCACCUUGCAUAUAUUCAUUUUACAUAGAUUACAAUUAGACAAAUAAGGUCCACUUGUAAGGCCCCAUGAAAAUCUAUGCUCAAAGCCUAGCACUUCGUGGUGUCGAGUUUUGUAUAUGUGUUGAGGAUGUGCUCGCCGCGGUUCAGACUCUUUUUACUGAUUUUGCACCUAAAAAUCAAGAAUCAAAAUUUUCCAAAAAAUUGGCAUUUGCGGUCCAGAAUGUGGUCGCAGACCAGGUAUGCGGACCGCAUUUCUGCUGCGGAGUUAAUCAGAGAGUUGGUUGAAAUUGAUGUUAGAAGUGCAGUCCAUUAUGCGAUCACAUAAUCAAUAUGCAGACCACAUAGUCGUCGCAUAAUUCCCUCAAGGAUUUGGGAUGGUCAGUUAUGCGGUGCAUUAUGCGACCGCAUAACAGAAAUGCAGGCCGCAUUCCCAUCGCAUGCCCAGCAGAUGUUCAGUGAUUGGGACACUUCUGCGGUCCAAUCUGCGGAUCACAUCUCAACUCUGCGAUCGCAUAGUGCGACAGCAGAUCCUGCUCGGGCUUCUAAUUUUCAAAAAUUUUAAACCCGAACCUUUUUAAUAACACCCCAAUCACUCAUUUUUAAUGAUCUUCUGAGCUAAAAUAGAGAGAGGGAAGAGAGGGUUCUUGAGAUAGAAUGGAAGCCUCAUAAAUUCGAUUCUUCAAAACUACCCGGGGCGGGAAAAUUCUAAUUAUUGUCUUCAUCCCCAUUCUUGCAGGUAAAAUCCCUAGCCCUUUUUCCUUGAUUUUUCGAUUUAAUAUAAGGGAGGGAGUCUCAUGCAUUGAUUCUUGAAAACAAUGGUUGAAACCACACAUGCAUGCCUUGUUAAACUUAAAACCUAGAAAAAGGGAAAUUGGGUAGCAGUAGAGAUUUACAAACGGAGAGUUGAUAACCUAAAUAAGUUUAAAUAGAAACUGUGAACCCCACUUCAAACCUAGCAAAGGGAAAUUGGGUAGCAUUAGAGAUUUGCAAUAGAAAGGUUGAUAACCUAAGUAAGUUUGAGUAGAAAUUGUGAACCCAAAUUCUAAGUCAUAUAUCUUAACUUGUGCACUGGAUUGAUGUUGCUAUAUUAUUUGGUGAAUCGAAACUAGAAGUUAAAAAGGGAAUUCGGCUCCAGGCAUGUAUGGCUAACCUUGAUCCUUGUAGAAUCACCUUGUUUGGUGUACGAAUGUUUGGUAUGUGAUAUCUACGUGACUUAUUCAUGAAAAUUAUUAUGAUUGGUUUGAUUGAGUGUUGUGGUUAAGUCUCCUGAUAUAAUGGUGCAAGUAACUGGUAGUAAACUAAAUGCGUGAUUGUGAAAGUGUUAUAUGGUAAGAGUUGAGAAACAAAUGAUGGAAGAAAAUCGUGAAUGAUGCAACUGGAAUAAAUGUGAUAACCACACCCAUGGCUUUUUGUAGGCAAUUGUCAUUGUAAUGUAAAACACAUGUGAGUUGUUGGAUAUGAAGGAAAAUAGUAUUGAUAGUUAUGGAAAUGGUUGUAAAUUAUUGUUGUUAUUUGUUAAGAAGUAUUGUUAUUGAUCCUUGUGAAUUGUUGAUUGUUGUUGUGCUCUUUGUGAAUUGUGACAACACGCUGGAAUCGGGUUGCGUGCCGCAACACGAAGUUAUAAGGUGUGGGUUGUGGUGAUAAUGGUGGUUGAGGUAAUAAAGUGGACGAGGUAAUAAGGGUGGAAAGUGAUCGAAAUCACUAUUGAAAUAAACAUUUGAGUAAAUUGUGAAAUCAUUGAUGUGGAAUUGUGGAAGGGGGAAACAGGAGAGAUUAAAAACUUGUUUGACUUGAUUGUCCAUUUUCUUGUGCAUUUUAUUGUUGUUUCUAUUAUUGUUACCUACUUGUGUAUGGCUUGAGUUUACUUGGAGCAAAUUUGUUCAUACAUACCAGUACAAUUCAAGUGUACUGACGUCCCUUUUUGCUGGGGGUGCUACAUUCGUGUUAUGAUGGUAGGUGGAUCCAUAGCAAGUACUCUAGUCCACCGAUCGUAGCUCCUCAUCACUCCCGUCAGCUGAAUUGGUGAGCCCCUUUCCUUUCGGUGCCCUGUGUGGUUCAUGGUGCUUUGGUUUUGGGAUCUCAUUUUGAUAAUUGUAUAAGGUAUAGCCGGAGCCUUGUUGCCGGCAAGUACUACAUCAUUUCUUUUUUAUGUUUAGAGGCUCCGUAGACAGGAAAUGUGGGUCAUGAACUUAUGUAAUGUGUACGCUCAUGCCGCUUCGAUUUUGGGAUCUCAUUUUGAUAAUUAUAUAAGGUAUAGCCAGAGCCUUGUUACCGGCAAGUACUACAUCAUUCCUUUUUUAUGUUUAGACUGGAAAUAUGGGUCAUGAACUUAUGUAAUUUGUAUUUUGCAAGUUGGGCUAUGUAAAAUAUAACCACGUUAAGGACCAUGUACCAUGCGUAUGUUUUGUAAUAAAAGUUGUUUUAAUUGUAAAUGGUUAUUUAAUUUGGCUAAUAAGAAAUGGAAAUGCGAGGUAACACGUGGGGUAGGAAAGGCACCCAGGUCCGCUUAACUGGGAAUGUCCGGUCGAGCACCGGUCAUGCCCCUCAAGUUUGGGCGUGACAAACUUGGUAUCAGAGCCUCAGGUUUUAAAAGAGUCUUAGGAUGUCUCGGAGCCGUGCCUAGUAGAGCACUUCUUAUCGGUGUGUUGUCGGCCAUAUCUAUCAGUAGGGGGCUACACUGGCAUUUAGGAAACUAUCCUCUUCUUUGUUAUUCCAUAUUGUGCGGUGAAGUGGAAAGUGGAAGUACUUAUGUCUAACUCGUGCUUUGUUCCGAAAUUUUCACAAAUGGCACCUAAGAAGAAAGCUAGACUCGGCCAUGGGACCGACGCCACCCCAAGUGUGGCCAUUAAUCAUGUACCUGAUGCCAUGGGUGAGAGUGAAUCCCCAGCCUUGAAUCUUCCUGGCCCAUCUAUUCUAGACCCAAGCAUUCCUGUUCCAGCUGCGGUACAGGGUGCCACCAUCCCUCCCGCCAAUAUUUCAAAUCCUAAUCCUGAUCCUGUUCCAGCUUCUGAUCCUAGGGUUUCUGAAGGGGACCUUAGGGGAACCAUCCGUAUAUUGACCCAGUUAGUGGCUGCCCGGGCCCAGAGAUCUCAUGAUGCCCCUGUGUCCUCCAGCGGAUAGGGAGAUUCUGCUAUCUCCAGAGUCUAGCAAUUUCUAUGAUUAGCCCCUCCAGAGUUCUCAAGCACAGACCCAGAGGUCGAUCCGCAGGAUUUCCUUGAUGAGAUGCAUAAGACCCUCGGAGUGAUGAAGGCUACAGAGACAGACGGGGUUAAGUUGGCUUCACACAGGUUGAGAGGAGCACCGCGUUCGUGGUUUCAGAUAUGGGAGGAUUCCCGUGAUGAGGGAAGACCUCCAGCUAGAUGGGAUGAGUUUGUAGAUGCCUUUAUGGACCACUUCUUGCCAUCCGAGACAAUGGCAGCUCGUGCCACUGAGUUUGAGGUUCGAAAGAAGGGCAGUAUAAGUGUUUGGGAGUACCACAUGGAUGUGAGGUUGUCCAAGUAUGUUCCUCAGUUAGUGUCGACAAUGGAUGCUCGAGUUUGGCAUUUCAUUCAGGGUCUUAGUCCUUUGGUGGUGAAUGAGGCUACUAUUGUGGCCUUGCACUUAGAUAUGAAUUAUGGAAAGAUUGUAGGAUUCGCUCUGGCCACAAAGGCUAGGAAUUUGAAGAUACAGGCAGAAAGGGAGAGUAGCAGCAGAGCCCGGUCAAUGGGUCACUUAGGAAGACCAGUUCCGGGGAGAGGGUUGUCAGGGCCAUCCCAGUCAUAUGUUCAGUCCUCAGGGAGUGCACCGCCAUCUGUGCACAGUUACCAGCAGAGCAAUCACUCGAGACCAGGUUUAGACAAUAGGAGGUUCCGUCAGUCCGGUCGUCCAGGAGUGAGGUCCCAGCAGCAGGGGAGAGCUACAUGCCCCAAGUGUGGGAGGUUCCAUAUAGAGACUUGCUAUUUGGAUGUCCCGGUAUGGUAUAGGUGCAGGUUGAGAGGUCACAUCCAGCGGGGCUGCCGUGUGCCCUGUUAGGGAAUGAGUAGUGGAUUUGCCUAGUCAUCUAGAUCUUCAAAUGCUACAUCAUCCGUGCGCCCUCCAUCUCCAGCAGGGCAUGGUGCAGUUAGGGGCGGAGCUCGUGUUAGGGGUGGACCCAUCCGGGAUAUCCCCAUAUGUUAUAGGUGCGGGUUGAGAGGUCACAUCCAGCGAGACUGCCAUACGCCUAGUCAAGGUAUGGGUAGCGGAUCUGCCCGGUCAUCUGGGUCUUCAGUCGCUACAUUAUCCGUGUGUCCUCCAGCUCCAACAGGGUGUGGUGCAGUUAGGGGUGGAGCUCGUGGUAGGGGUGGACCCAGCCGAUUCUAUGCUUUGAGUGGUCACCAAAGUGCCGAGGCUUCUCCAGAUGUUGUUACAAGUAUCGUGUAUGUUCAGGCCAUUGAUUUCUAUGCUCUUAUUGAUCUGGGGUCCUGUUUGUCUUAUGUCACCUCAUUCAAUGCUUCAAGUAUUGGGAUAGAACCCGAACAGCUUCAUAAGUCGUUCUCUAUAUCGACUCCGGUUGGUGAUUCUAUUACAACCUCGCAAGUAUAUACAAAAUGUGUUGUCACGGUGUGUGGUCGUGUUACCACGGCCGAUCUUAUUGAGCUGGGAAUGAUAAAUUUUUAUGUAAUCAUAGGAAUGGAUCGGCUUUAUUCGUGUUUUGCUAAACUUGACUACCGAGAGUUAUGAGUCUUGAGUUCCCUAACGAGCCAAUUAUUGAGUGGAAAGGAAAUGGUGUGGUGACAAAGUGUAGGAUUAUUUCUUACCUUAAGGCUUCGAAGAUAAUUAAGAAGGGGUGUAUCUAUCAUUUGCCCCGGGUGGCAAACACCACACUAGAAGUGUCUGUCCCCGAGUUCGUGCCAGUGUUGAAUGAGUUUCUUGAAGUGUUUCCAGAUGAGUUUCCAGGAAUUCGUCGGGAUUGAUGUAUUGCGAGAUACUCAGCCAAUAUCUAUUCCACCAUACAGAAUGGCGCCAGCAGAGUUAAGAGAGUUAAAGGAGCAGCUGAAGGAUUUAUAAGAGAAGGGGUUCAUACGACCGAGUGUGUCGUUGUGGGGUGCUCCGGUUCUUUUUGUUAGAAAGAAGGAUGGGUCGCUUCGGAUGUGCAUUUGAUUAUCAACAGCUUAACAAAGUCACCAUCAAGAAUAAAUAUCCUUUGCCUCGGAUAGAUGAUUCGUUCAACCAAUUGCAAGGUGCAAAGUUCUUCUCCAAAAUUGAUGUGUGAUCUGGGUAUCACCAAUUGAAGAUCAUAGAGGAGGAUAUUCCUAAAACCGCCUUCAGAACUCGCUAUGGUCACUUCGAAUUCUUGGUCAUAUCUUUUGGGCUAACCAAUGCCCCGACAGCUUUCAUGGACCUUAUGAAUCGAGUUUUCAAGCCAUUUCUAGAAUCCUUCGUGAUUAUUUUCAUUGACGACAUCCUCGUUUAUUCGCGGAGCAGGGAGGAUCAUGCUGAUCACCUUAUAUUAGUUUUGUAGACUCUUCAUCAGUAGAACUUGUACGCUAAAUUCUCAAAAUGUGAAUUUUGGUUGGAGUCCGUCACUUUUCUGGGUCAUGUUAUUUCCAGUAAGGGAUUUAGGCAGAUCCCCAGAAGGUUGCAGCGGUGAAAGAUUGGCAUAGACCCACGACCCCGAUGGAGGUUCGUAGCUUCUUGGGUUUAGUCGAGUACUAUCGGAGGUUUGUGGAGGUAUUCUCCACCCUCGCCUCCCCAUUUACUAAGUUGACGCAGAAAGCAAUUAAGUUCUAAUGGUCCGGCGCUUGUGAGAAACAUUUUCAGGAAUUGGGGUCAAGGUUGACCCCGACACCGAUAUUGGCUUUGCCGGAAGGCACUGAAGAAUUUGUGGUUUAUUACGAUGCUUCUAAGGUCGGCUUAGGGUGUGUAUUGAUGCAGCAUGGGAAGGCUAUAGCAUAUGCUUUAAGGCAACUCAAGAAUCACGAGAAGAAUUACCCGACACAUGAUUUGGUGGUUGUAGCAGUUGUGUUUGCCUUGAAAAUAUGGCGGCAGUAUCUUUAAGGGGUCUGUGUGGAUAUGUUCUUGGACCACAAAAGUCUCCAAUAUUUGUUCAAGCAAAACGAUUUAAAUUUGAAGCAACGGCGGUGGUUAGAAUUUCUUAAAGAUUAUGAUAUGAACAUUUUGUACCAUUCGGGUAAGGCAAAUAUGGUGGCCGACGCUCUCAGUCGAAAAUCCCUAGGUAGUUUGGCUUACUUGGGAGCGGAUCAGAGGCUCCUAGCUCGGGAGGUUUAUCGGUUGGCCAAUCUUAGGGAUUUCAUCUCGACCCCAAAUGAGGAAGAAAUUAUGGUGCGUAAUAGAGCAGAAUUGUCGCUUAUGGAGGAAGUCAAGGAAAAUCAGUUCAUUGAUCCAGCAUUGGCACAAAUGAAGGAGGUUGUUCUGAGCAACAAAACUUUGACAUUUUCACUCGACAAUAAUGAUGGUGUGUUACGAUGUCAAGGUAGGAUAUGUAUUCGAGACGUGGAUAACCUUCGGCAGAGAGUAAUGGCGGAGGCUCAUCAUUCUAGGUAUUCGGUGCACCCAUGUUCUAUUAAAAUGUAUCAUGGUCUCAAGAAAAUUUUAUUGGUGGAGCGGUAUGAAGAGGGGUGUGGCGGACUUGGUAUCUAAAUGUCCAAAUUGUCAGCAAGUAAAAGCUAAGCAUCAGCGGCCCGGUGGGUUAACCCAACUUAUGGAAAUACCAAUAUGGAAAUGGGAGAUGGUUAACAUGGAUUUCGUGGAAGUAUUACCUUGCACUCAGUGGGAGUUCGACUCGAUUUGGGUGAUAGUGGAUCGACUGACCAAGUCAGCUCACUUCUUGCCAGCCAAGUCCACCGAUACUACAGAAUAGUAUGCUCAGUUAUAUAUCAAGGAUGUAGUGAGGCUCCAUGGUACUCCGCACUCUAUUAUUUCGGAUAGAGGGGCUCAGUUCACAGCUAAUUUUUGGAAGAAAUUUCAGCAAGGUUUGGGUGCCCAGGUGAAUCUCAGCAUGGCUUUCCAUCUGAAGACCGAUGGUCAAGCAUAGCGGACUAUUCAGACACUUGAAGAUAUGUUCCGGGUUGUGUAUUGGAUUACAAAGGUAAUUGGGAUGAUCAUUUGCCCCUUAUAGAAUUUGCUUACAAUAACAGCUUUCAUGAUAGCACCCAGAUGGCCCCAUUUGAGGCAUUGUACGGAAGGAGAUGUAGGUCUCUGAUCGGAUGGUUUGAAGUAGGUGAGGCAGAAUUGAUAGGGCCGGAUCUCAUGCACCGGGCUAUGGAAAAAGUUAAAAUCAUUCAGGAAAGGAUGAAGACUGCUCAGAGUCGCUAGAAAUCCUAUGCGGACGUACGUCGAAGAGAGUUGGAGUUCCAAGUAGAUGAUUGGGUAUUCUUGAGAGUAUCUCCAAUGAAGGGAGACAUGCGAUUUGGGAAGAAAGGAAAGCUGAGUCCUAGAUAUGUCGGGCCUUUAUCGAAUUGUUCAAAUCAUUGGGCAAGUUGCUUAUAAGCUGGAGGUUCCCCCUGAAUUAUCCUUAGUGCGCCCGGUGUUCCAUGUGUCCAUGUUAAGGAAAGUGGUUGGAGAUCCAUCCACCAUCGCUACGGUAGAAGACGUCAAGGUUACUGAAGAGUUAUCGUAUGAAGAAUUCCAAUUUCUAUUCAUGAUAGACAAAUUCGUAAAUUGAAAAAUAAAAAGGAAAUUGCUUCAGUUUAAGUGUUGUGGCGAAAUCAACAAGUCGAGGAAGCAGCUAGGGAAGCGGAAGAUGAGAUGAAAGAAAAAUAUCCCCAUUUGUUCGAACAAGUCCAGUAGUAUCGUGUGAAUUCUGAUCCUAGCAACUAUCAUUGUGUCCUAUUUGGUGCAAAGACACCUCAUUCCUCCCCAAAAUGCUUUGCUAUUGUAAUUUUUCAGGUUGUGCCAAAAUUGUAUGUGUUGUGAUCAUUUGAUCCAUAUGCAAACCCUUCUUGAUAAAUGAACGUUUUUGUCUCUUGCAAUAAGUAACUGGCUUAUGAUAGUACAGAUUGGUAAUGAUUAAUUUGCAUGUAUAUAGAGAAUCAUGGUGGUUAAACUAUGCGGACUCAUUAGAGUAAUCAAACUAUGUGAAAAAAUGUGUUAAGCAAUUGAAUAUGUACAUGUGUAAGGGUGAUGAGUUGUAUGUUAGUAUAGGGGCAACAAAAUUUGUGUAAUGGUACUUGGAAAUGUGUUUCGGGGGAUCUCUGACAGGUAGAUAUGUCUAAAUUACAAAGGAGACUCUGGCAAAAAUUUUCUAAUAUAGGGGAGUUAGUUGAAAGUUUGGGAAUUUGCAUAUCACGUUUUUCAAACUAACUGAUUUUCACAAAUCCUCAUUCGAGUAAGGCCCCGUGUAAAUCUAUGCUCAAAGACUAGAACUUCGUGGUGUCAAGUUUUGUAUAUGUGUUGGGGAUGUGCUCGACGCGGUUCGGACCCUUUUUACUGAUUUUACAUCUACACAUAAAGAAUUAAAAUUUUCCAGAAAAUUGCCAUUUUGCGGUCCAGAAUCGGUCGCAGAUUAGGUAUGUGGACCGCAUUUAUGCCGCAGAGUUAAUCAAAGAGUUGGUCAAAAUGGAUGUUAGAAGUGCGGUCCAUUAUGUGAUCGCAUAAUCAAUAUGCGGACCGCAUAGUCGUCGCAUAAUUCCCUCAAGGAUUUGUGAAGGUCAGUUCUGCGAUGCAUUAUGCGAACGUAGAACAGGAAUGCGGAUAGCAUUCUCGUCACAUACCCAGGUAGAGAUUUUCAACGAUUGGGACACAUCUGCGGUCCAAUCGUCUGACCGCAGUUCAACUCUGCGAUGUGCAUUAUGCGACCGCAGAAAAGGAAUGCGGACCGCAUUCCCAUCGCAUACCUAGGAAGAGAUGUUCAGUAAGUGGUACACCUCUGCGGUCCAAUCUGCGGACCGCAUUUCAACUCUAUGAUCACAUAGUGCGACCGCAGAUCCUGAUCGCGCUUCUAAUUUUCUAAAAUUUUAAACCCGGCCUCUUUAUAACAAAAAACCCCCAACCCCUCAUUUUUAAAGAUGUUCUAAGCAAAGUAGAGAGAGGGAAGAGAGUAUUCUUGAGAGAGAAGAGAAGCCUCGUCAAUUCGAUUCUUCAAAACCACCUGGGGCGGAAAAAUUCUAAUUGAUUGUCUUCAUCCCCAUUCUUAUAGGUAAAAUCCCUAGACCUUUUUCCUUUAUUUUUCGAUUUAAGCAAAGGGGGGAGUCUCAUGAAUUUAUUCUUGAAAGCAAUGGUUAAAAUCUCACAUGAAUGUCUUCUUAAACUUAAAACCUAGCAAAGGGAAAUUGGGUAGCUGUAGAGAUUUGCAACAGAAGAGUUGAUAACCAAAGUAAGUUUGAUUAGAAAUUGUGAACCCUAAUUCUAAGUCAUAUGUCUUAACUUGUGCACUAGAUUGACGUUUCUAGAUUAUUUGGUGAAUCGAAACUAGAAGUUAAAAAGGGAAUUCGGCUCCAGGUAUGUAUGGCGAACCUUGAUCCUUGUAGAAUCGCCUUGUUUGGUUUACGAAUGUUUGGUAUAUGAUAUCUACGUGGCUUAUUCAUGAAAAUUAUUGUGAUUGGUUUGAUUGAGUGUUAUGGUUAAGUCUCCCGAUAUAAUGGUGCAAAUAACUAGCAAUAAACUAAAUGUGUGAUUGUGAAAGUGUUAUGUGUUAAGAGUUGAAAAACAAAUGAUGAAAGAAAAUCGUGAAUAAUGCAACUGGAAUAAAUGUGAUAACCACAUCCAUGGCUUAUCGUAGGCAAUUGUCGUUGUAAGGUAAGACACAUGUGAGUUGUUGGAUAUGAGUUAUAGAAAUACUUGUAAAUUGUUGUUGUUAUUUCUGAAGAAGUGUUGUUGUUGAUCCUUAUGAAUUGUUGAUUGUUGUUCUGCUGUUUGUGAAUUGUGACAAUACGGUGGGAUCAGGUUGUGUGCCGUAACACAAAGUUAUAAGGUGUGGGUUUUGGUGAUCAGAGUGGCCGAGGUAAUAAGGGUGGACAUGGUAAUAAGCGUGGAAAGUGAUCGAAAUCACUAUUAAAAUAAAUAUUUGAGCAAAUUGUGAAAUCAUUGAUGUGGAAUUUUGGAAGGGGGAAACAGUAGAGAUUGAAAACUUAUUUGACUUGAUUGUCCCUUUUCUUGUGCAUUUUCUUGUUGUUUCUAUUAUUGUUACCUACUUGUGUAUGGAUUGAGUUUACUUGGAGCAAGUUUGUUCAUACAUACUAGUACAAUUCAAGUGUACUAACAUCCAUUUUUGCCCGGGGCGAUACAUUCGUGGUAUGAUUGAAGGUGGAUACAUAGCAGGUACUCUAGUCCACUGAUCGUAGCUCCUCAUCUCUCCCGUCAGCUGAAUUGGUGAGCCCCUUUCCUUUCGGGGCCCUGUGUGGUUCAUGCUGCUUUGGUUUUGGGAUCUCAUUUUGAUAAUUGUAUAAGGUAUAGCCGGAGCCUUGUUACCGACAAGUACUACAUCAUUUCUUUUUUAUGUUUAGAGGCUCCGUAGACAGAAAAUGUGGGUCAUGAACUUAUGUAAUAUGUAUCUUGCACGUUGGGCUAUGUAAAAUGUAAACCGUGUUAAGGACCAUGUACCAUGUGUAUGUUUUGUUAUAAAAAGGUAUUUUUAUUGUAAAUGGUUAUUUAAUUUGGCUAAUAAGAAAUGAAAAUGUGGGGUAACACACGGGGCAGGAAAGGCACCCAGGUUCGCUUGAUUGGGGCUAUCCGGUUGAGCGCCGUUCAUGUCCCUCAAGUUUGGGGCGUUACACCAAUCCUAAGGUUUAUCAUCACACACAAGAUUAGGUAAGACACUUACCUAAAAUGGGCCAAAUCAACCCUGUAAAAUUGCCUUUACAUUAGAAACUUGUCAUGACCCAAAUUCCCAAAAAAGCUACGAUGACAUCUAACAUUGCUUGCUAGGAAAGCCAAUAAUUUCACAAUAGCAAUAAACUCAAAAAUUAGAACUUAAUAAUAUCCACAGCAGCAUAAUCAUAAACUAUCUGUAAAUAGCAACCAUAACACAACUACAACCAUUCCAUGAUUUGGUGUCAACGAGUGCAUGAGCACUACACAAUCUACAAAAUACAAAGUCAAAUUCUCGAUAUAGAACUUUUUGAAUGAUAGAACAAUGAUAACAGAAAUAAACAAAAGAUGACUUCAAGGUCUGCGAACGAUAUAGAACAAUCUCGUAGUCUCCACAAGCUUGAUUCGAAGCGAACUAUAGAAAUCACCACAACCAACAGUACCUGGAUCUACACAUAAAGUGUACCAAUGUAGUAUGAGUAUAACCGACCCCAUGUACCCAAUAACUAACAAAUCUAACCUUAGACUGAAAGCAGUGACAAGCUUGAAAGAAGGUCAGUAUCCAACACCAAUAAUCAAUAAAAACACAUGAUAUAAUGAUGACAAUAUAAGUAAAAAACUCAAGAGAUAUCAUGUUCAACUCGUUCACAAACGUUCACAACUACGCAAAAUUAGACAUGUUUUCCAAGUAUAAAAGCCAAAGCCCAAUCUUAACACUAAAAUCACUAAAAACAUGAAUUUAUCUCGGAAACUGUGAUUUCUAACAUUCAAUAACAGGUAAGACAUUUCACUUACCAUCUAGCAUAAUAAAAAUACAUCUCGAUGUUGUCACAACCCGGAUUUUCCACCCACGGGAGUGGUAAUGGUGCCUACUAUUAGGAGCUAGGCAAGCCAAUUAUUUAUUACCUCUUUUAGCAAACAUCGAUAACAUUAAAAAAAUUAAAGCAUUUAAUGGUAAAGUGGAAGUCUUAGAUAAAAUUAACUGAGAGAAAAAUGGAAAUCCAAUACAAACUCUACCCAAGAACUGGAGUCACAAACUCACGAACAUCUAGAGAGUGCUAAAUACAAUGUCUGAAUAAAAACAUACUUUUGUUUAUUCUGGUACAAAGGAUAACAAACUAAAGUAAAGAUAGAAGAGACUCUGGGCCUACGGACAUCAGCAAGGCUACCUCGGUAUCUUUUGACUGAAGGUUAGCUCCCAACCUGCUAUGAUGUCCAAAAGCUGCUGCUUCGGCACUGUGGUCUGUGCAAAAAGAUACACAGAGUGUAGCAUCAGCACAACUGACCCCAUGUGCUGGUGAGUGCCUAACCUAACCUCGGCGAAGUAGUGACGAGGCUAUAUCAGACUACCAGAUAAACCUGUACAGUUAUGAACUAUAUUACAGAAAAUAAACAGGAAAUAAGCAGUUUAUAAAGGGAGGGGGAAAUAUGCUAUGGGGAGGCAACAAUUAUAAACAAGAAGAAUAAAUUUAAAAAUAGAACAACCAAUAGAAACUUAAAUCCGAAAUAAACACAAAUAUGUAGUUUAUAAAGGGAGGGGGAAAUAUGCUAUGGGGAGGCAACAAUUAUAAACAAGAAGAAUAAAUUUAAAAAUAGAACAACCAACAGAAACUUAAAUCCGAAAUAAACACACUUAAUCUAUAACUUGUUCUGGCGCGCAACCCGAUCCAAUCACAUAACAAUACUAUUGUGGCGUGUAACCUGAUCUACAAUUAUCAUUGUUGCGGGGUGCAACUCGAUCCAUAUAUAUAUAUAUAUAUAAAUCUUACCCAUAUAACAACCACAAAUAAGAGGUAAGGGAGUAACAACUAGUGAAAGAAAUCCCAGCAAGGGAAUAUAACAACACAACAAAAUCCCGACAAGGAAGAAAAAUCAACAAAACCAAUAAAAUGUCCCAGCAAGGGAAUAACCAUCAACUCGCCCUCUUUCUUACACUUCUAACUUUAUAAUUUACUUUGUCAUUAGAGCCAUGGCCCAAAGAGUCAUUUCAUAUCAUGCACCUUCUCAAUCCGUAACACAACUCGAGCCAAUGCUCCAUGGAGUUUAGUAAUCAUAGCCUCUUUCUCAUGCUCUUUACAGUAUAUACAAGUCAUCAAAUAAACAUUGAAGAAUCAUAACAAAUUCAGGGUAAACACAAUAUAUGGACACACGGUCAUGCUAGAUACCAAUGUAUAGAUACUCGUCACCAUGCCUAUACACCGUACUCGACAAGUAACAAUUAGAAAUAAGACUCUACUCCUAUUUCCUCAAGCCAAAGUUAGACCAAAUACUUAUCUCAACUUCCACAGCUAAAUCAAUCCACAACGACCGUUUUCCCUCUCGAAUUCGGCUCCAACUCAAUCUAAUCUAUGAAAUAACGACUUUAUAACAUCAAUAAUAGCUAAACAAAUCAAUCCCAAUGCCUAAAUAUAGAUUCCUAACCUUUCUUCCAAAAAUCGACCUCGGACCCGCUUGGUCAAAACAUGAGGUUCAAACCAUUUUCAUAUCCCCCCAUUCCCCCACGAGCCCAAAUAUAUUAUUUUUUUCAAAUUCGACCCCAACACGAGGUCUUAUAAUGUGGAUUUAUUGAUUUCGGAAUUUGAGUCUUUGUAUUUCUACUCUUUCAUAAAUACUAAGGACACGAGCUUCAGUUACUGAUGAUGCUUCCCCCGGUAUCGCUAUUGCUAGAGGUAUGGGUAGAGGUUGAGGUAGAGGCGAAGCACGUGCUACAGGUAGAGGUCGUGCUAAGGCCGUGAUUGAGAAGCCACUAGUGGCUUCGGUUGGGGAGUAGGCACUCGAGGUGCCUGUUGCUACCCCUAAACUUCAGGAGACUUUAGUGCAUUUACUGAGCAUGUUCGGUUCCUUGGCUCAGGAGGGAUUGAUCCCAGUUGCACUAGCUACUUCUCAGGCUGGGGGAGGAGAUCAGACUCUGACCACCUGUGUUGCAUAGCAGCGGCCCCAUAUUGAUCAGUAAUCUCGUCCAACUAUGCCUCCUAAUAGGUCUAGCGGUCGUUGCAAAUAUAAUAUGGUUUACAAGUACGGAGUCGAAUCCCACAGGGAAUUAACCUACUAAUCGCAACCGCUAGUUUCGCAAGAAUUCAAGUAAUCAAACUUUAGAAAUAAUGAAUAACAAUUUGAGUGUUUACUAACUAAGAGCAUAUAAUUAAAAUGGAUUAAUUUAAACUAACAGAGCAAAUGUUGUAGACAAGAUUUGAAAAAGUCUAGGGUUAUGAUUUCCCCAAAUGUCAAAAUCUCUUCCGCUAUAUUUCCAAUAAAUUCGCCUAUGUAUUCUCUACCGAUCGUGAGUACUUUGGGUGUCAUUGUCUUUGUCGAGAAACUACCACAAUUUACUAGAUGUAUUCUGUUGAACUAUGCAAGCUAGCACUCAUUCACCGCUCAAUACAAUCUCACCAAGGUUUCGUUAUUUCUUAUCCCGCAUUUAAAACCUCCAUAUUUAUUUAUCAAAUACGUUAGGAGUGAUCUUGUAUAACGACUACCUAAAUUCGUACUCUCUCUUAAGUAGUACACACUAAAUAGGCACAAUAAAUUGAGAGCUCUUCAAUCAACAACAACGAAAAUAUAUUUGGACGAGUUGAGAAAGAUCAACUACAAAUUUAUAUUGAACGCAAUGGAAAAUCAUCCUUCAAUAGGUUCCAUCAAACCCUAGAUGAGAGAGUUUAGAUACUCAUAAAUGCAUAAACAAUCAUCAUGAUAUUCAAAGACGUUAAACUACAAAGUAAUGAGAAAUGGAGGAAAAACUCGUUUGAUUCCUUGCUCCAUAGUGCUCUGUAGCCUUUUUAUUCGCCAAAAUAAUGUCCAUGACUUUCUCAACUCGUUUAGGGAGUAUUUAUAUGUUAGGAUUGAGGUCCUUGAUUCCAAAUCCAGGUUGGAUUCUUUUAUUUUGAGAACUUUUGACCAUCCAUCUACAUAUCUCACGACGGCAGGCUUAUAGCGCGCCAACCUGGCUACAUAGUUGGAUACACCUGGUCUAUAGCGCGGUCAAGAUGGCUACGUUUGGCCUGUAGCGUGAUCAAGCUGGCUACACUUGGCCUGUAGUGCAAUCAAACUAGCUAUGCUUGUCUUGUAGCCAAUCUUGGAUACUUUCUAUUUUUGUGCUCUUUUGUUGCAUUUUCGCCCCCUUUUCGUGCAACUUUUAUUCGACUCUUUCUUCCGAUUCUCUUAGACAUAAAACAACAUAAUUUAGCUCAAAUGUCACACGAUUAACUACUAAAACCAAAAUAUAGCGUGAUUAAUGUACUAUAAGUAUAGCCUUUUGGCCAAACAUCACCACCCCACACUUAGAGGUUGCUCGUCUUCGAGUCAACUACUAAUUCACACUAAUCUAGAGCACUUUAUUUUCUUUUAACACAUCCGAAGCACAUCAUACCUGUGAUUAUGGUUGAUAGCGACAAUUAAAUUUCAUCAUAUGCCUUCAACACACACUUUCCUUUACUUUAUGCCAUACGUCAAAAAUUUAUUCAACACCAAGACAACAUGCUUUUAAUAAUCCUAGUCUUACAAACUGAUUCAAUAUCACAAUGCAUUCAUGGGUUGAAUGCGUAACAUCAUAGAGAAAUCUAAUAAUGGAACUUGUCCCUUGCGAAAUUAUAUGCCCUCACAACAAGAACAAAAGAGUAAGUUGAAUCCACAUAUUUGAAUCAAAUGCUCAAAUAUAUUUUAAACACUCAUAUAUAUCAAAGAAAUUCCUCACUUUUACAAAGACAACACAUGAUGCACAAAGUACCACAGGUUUGACCUUUAUGUAACCCUCCACUAAUAUUGGCUCGCUCGAUUAGGACUUUUUAUGGUUGCAAUGCUGGCUACGGGACGGGUAGGAUAUAUUUUUGAAAUAGUGACUAAUCCUCCUAAGCACUUUAACAUAUCACUUAAUUUUUUAAUUGCAAUUCUUGAAUCCCAACUUUGAUUUCACAAACAACAUCAUCCUAAGAGCUUCCCCUUUUUUCGUUAAGCCCACUUUACUUCACACCUUCUAGCAGGGACAAUAUAUCAAUUUAUUCGUUUACAUUCUUUUUUUUCUACUCAACUAUGUAUUGUAUUUCUUUUGCAAAUUUUCUUUCUUUACCUGCUAGUAGUGUAUUCUUUUACAAAACACAUGCACAAUUCAUUUUUAAUUGGUUCAACUCAAAAGUCACUCAAGUUCCCUCCUUACUUUUUCUAGCGCUUAUUUUUUUACAAUUAAAGUGCUUUAAGAGGCAAAUGAAUUAAACUAAUGAUAAUUAAGAACAAAUGAGUAUCGGCUUGUAAUAUGAUUGCCAAAAUAAAAGUAUAUAGGUUCAAAAGGGUUGACAAUGGAUAAUUUUAUUUGUGGUAAGCAUUAAGCUCAAAAAGAUUAAAGAAAACCUAAAAUCACUUUCAAACCGAGCAUUACCUAAAAUUUCACUUCAACCCACAUGUCGAGCAAGUUUUUGAUUCAAAUGCAAUAACAUGGACUACACCAUUUAUCACCACACAUAGCACAUGACUCACUAAGGAUGGUUCUAUUCCGACACUCAAACAAUUAUAAGUAUUUACGGAGCCACAAAUAAGCAUUAAGCACAAAGUGACACGGGCUAAGAAAAUGAGACAUAGGACUCUAUAAACAUGUUAUCUACUCAACAAAGCUUCAUAAGCAUUUUCAAACCACAGGGAAGGUAAUAAACAUGGUAGAGUCUAAAUAUGUUACUAUUAAACAAGUCAAAAGACGCUUACCAAUCUCAAAUUUCUCAUCCUUUUUAUUCCCUAAAUUCUAAUCUACUCUAAAGAUUAAAAAUUACUAGUAUUGUGAUCAUUCUCCUAAUUACGGACCGCGAAAAUGACUUGAAAAUUGGCCAAAAAGACCAUAAAACCUUAAUGAACACAUAAUAUUUGAUAAAUUGCUCAAGUGAGUUGAAAUUAUGAUCAUUCUCCUAAUUAUGGGUUCAAUUGUGCGACAUUGCUAAAAUAGAUUGAAGUUGUGAAUAUUCUGAAACAUUGUAGAAAUUAAGGAAAGCUCAAUUGAGGUACGUAUGGAUAAACCCCCUUAUUUUUAGAAUCGAACCCCUAGUGUUCCAGUAUCUGGUGUAAGAUCCUAACUUGAUCAUACUAGAAUUGGCUGCCUUAAUGUGUUGUGUUAUGUUGAAAGAUUCAUGUUCAAUAUAUAUUCUAUAUGCUUAUCAUGUAGCCAUGCUAUUUGAUAAUGCAUUUGAAAUGAGAAAUUGUGCCGAUAAAGGCUACGAAUUCAUGUCAAGAUUCGAUUAAAGUUUGCUAAGCUAAUUUGUAUGAAAAACAUCCAUGUGAUUAAAAUUUUCCAAGAUUAUUACUUAUGUGUGCAAUGCCUUAUAUGAUAGGCCUUAUUAAUGUGGAUGAUAAUGUUAUUGGAAUGUAUAAAAAGGCAAAUUUGAAUUGAAAGAUACAGCCAAGUUCCAAGAACGGCUUAAUAAAUGAGGCUACUCGUGCCAUGUAAUGAAAUAUGGGAAGGAAAUGUGAUUGAGAUGCAUGAUUGAAAGGAUGAUAUCUCAAGUGAGAUGGCCUGGUCGAUCAGGUCGUGAUCGGACACCAUGCCACAUAUAUGGUGGUCAUUGUGCUGGAUUGAUUGAUUGAAAUUGUGGAUAUGGUUGAUGUCUCAAAUGGGAUGACCUAGCCAAUUGGGUUGAGAUCGGACUCCGUGUAGGAAUACGUUGGUAUUGUGGAUUGUGGCACAUGGAACCAAGAUUAUCAACCUAAUAAGAUGGAAAUUAAACUGAAACUAUGUGAUCCUUAAUUGAUGUUUUCGUAUUUGUUUGAAGCUCUUAUUGUACAUCAUGACUACUUUCCAUUUGUUUCAUUAUUCAUUCUAUUAAGAUUGGUGUUUAGUUUUACAUGCUAGUACUAUUCGACAAGUACUAACCUCCCUUUUGCUUUGUUUCAUUAUUCGUUCAAUUAAGAUUGGUGUUUAGUUUUACAUGCUAGUACUAUUCGACAAGUACUAACCUCCCUUUUGCUAGGGUCGCUACAUCUUUAAAUGGAUGUAGGUGGUUCCAUAGAAGAUAGUGUUGAUCACAGCAAGUGGUGUACCCUCUUUCCAGCUGACUAGGUGAGCCCCACAUUAUUUCGGGGUCUUUUAGUUUGUAUCUUAUGUUCACCUUCUUAUUAUAUUUUAUGAUAUAACCGGGUCUUGUUACUAGCACUUUCUUUUGUAUCAACUUAGAGGCUCCAUAGACAUUAUGUAGAUUGUAUAUGGGUGUUAGGAAGGUUAAUGAAUUAUGUUUUGUUUUGGAUUCUUGUUCCACUAAAUCGUAUGGUGUAUGUAUUUUGAAACUUAACAAUGAUAACUAAUGAAUUGGCUUAGUAUUAUUCGUGUAUGAUCUCCUAGUGCCUGAUUAAUGAAAUCAUGUUAUCUCUUGAUCGAAAGUGAGUUGGGUAGAAGGUGUCUAUCAGUCUUUCUCGGCCAUAUUCACUCGGUUGAGCAUUGGUCGUGCUCCCUAAUCUUAGGGUGUGACACAUAUGUGCCAUGAAAAAAAUAAAUUCAAGAUAACAAUUUAUCAUUAAGAGACAUAUUUUCAAAACUCAUCAAUAAGGUGCUUAAGGACAUGAAAAUAAAAAAGUAUGAAUAUGUGCUUAAAAUAUAUGAUAUUACUACAACUUAAUCAAUUUAGCAAUGAUUCCACAAAUACCCAUCUUGGAUGAAUAUGUGCUUAAAAUAUAAGACAUUACUACAACUUAAUCAAUUUAGCAAUGAUUCCACAAAUACCCAUCUUGGCUAAUUAGGAGAUAAUAAUCCUAAAAAAUGAUCUCAAGCAUGAAAGUAUAAGCUCGUGUAAUUAUACAAAGGAUUAUACAUGUAUCAAGAGAGCACAUAAUGAAUUAAGGCAUAGUAGAAGCCUAGAGUUUAGUCUGGUCAUUCUUCACACAUAGUACCCGCAUAUACACUCAUCACCUUGCAUAUAUUCAUUUUACAUAGAUUACAAUUAGACAAAUAAGGUCCACUUACAUAGUACGCGCAUAUACGCUCAUCACCUUGCAUAUAUACAUUAUACAUAGAUUACAAUUAGACAAAUAAGGUCCACAUGUAAGGCCCCAUGAAAAUCUAUGCUCAAAGCCUAGCACUUCGUGGUGUCGAGUUUUGUAUAUGUGUUGGGGAUGUGCUCGCCGCGGUUCAGACACUUUUUACUGAUUUUGCACCUAAAAGUCAAGAAUCAAAAUUUUCCAAAAAAUUGACAUUUGCGGUCCAGAAUGUGGUCGCUGACCAUGUAUGCGGACCACAUUUCUGUCGCGGAGUUAAUCGGAGAGUUCGUUGAAAUUGAUGUUAGAAGUGCAGUCCAUUAUGCGAUCGCAUAAUCAAUAUGCGGACCACAUUGUCGUCGCAUAAUUCCCUCAAGGAUUUGCGAAGGUCAGUUAUGUGGUGCAUUCUGCGACCGCAUAACAGAAAUGCAGGCCGCAUUCCCAUCGCAUACCCAGCAGAUGUUCAGUGAUUGGGACACUUCUGCGGUCCAAUCUACGGAUCACAUCUCAACUCUGCGAUCGCAUAGUGUGCCCGCAGAUCCUGCUCGGGCUUCUAAUUUUCUAAAAUUUUAAACCCUAAAAACACCCCAACCACUCAUUUUUAAUGAUCUUCUGAGCAAAAUAGAGAGAGGGAAGAGAGGGUUCUUGAGAGAAUGGAAGCCUCAUAAUUCGAUUCUUCAAAACUACCCGGCGCGGGUAAAUUCUAAUUGAUUGUCUUCAUCCCCAUUCUUGCAGGUAAAAUCCCUAGCCCUUUUUCCUUGAUUUUUCGAUUUAAUCUAAGGGAGGGAGUCUCAUGCAUUGAUUCUUGAAAACAAUGGUUGAAACCACACAUGCAUGCCUUGUUAAACUUAAAACCUAGAAAAAGGGAAAUUGGGUAGCAGUAGAGAUUUACAAACGGAGAGUUGAUAACCUAAAUAAGUUUAAAUAGAAACUGUGAACCCCACUUCUAAGUCAUAUGUCUUAACUUGCGCAAUAGAUUGACGUUGCUAGAUUAUAACCUAGCAAAGGGAAAUUGGGUAGCAGUAGAGAUUUGCAAUAGAAAGUUGAUAACCUAAGUAAGUUUGAGUAGAAAUUGUGAUCCCAAAUUCUAAGUCAUAUCUCUUAACUUGUGCACUGGAUUGAUGUUGCUAUAUUAUUUGGUGAAUAGAAACUAGAAGUUAAAAAGGGAAUUCGGCUCCAGGUAAGUAUGGCUAACCUUGAUCCUUGUAGAAUCGCCUUGUUUGGUGUACGAAUGUUUGGUAUGUGAUAUCUACGUGGCUUAUUCAUGAAAAUUAUUAUGAUUGGUUUGAUUGAGCGUUGUGGUUAAGUCUCCUGAUAUAAUGGUGCAAGUAACUGGUAGUAAACUAAAUGCGUGAUUGUGAAAGUGUUAUGGUAAGAGUUGAGAAACAAAUGAUGGAAGAAAAUCGUGAGUGAUGCAACUGAAAUAAAUGUGAUAACCACAUCAAUGGAUUUUUGUAGGCAAUUGUCGUUGUAAUUUAAAACACAUGUGAGUUGUUAGAUAUGAAGGAAAAUAGUAUUAAUAGUUAUGGAAAUACUUGUAAAUUAUUGUUGUUAUUUCUUAAGAAGUAUUGUUAAGAUCCUUGUGAAUUGUUGAUUGUUGUUGUGCUCUUUAUGAAUUGUGACAACACACUGGGAUCGGGUUGCGCGCUGCAACACGAAGCUAUAAGGUGUGGGUUGUGGUGAUAAUGGUGGCCGAGGUAAUAAGGUGGACGAGGUAAUAAGGGUGGAAAAUGAUCGAAAUCACUAUUGAAAUAAGCAUUUGAGUAAAUUGUGAAAUCAUUAAUGUGGAAUUGUGGAAGGGGGAAACAGGAGAGAUUAAAAACUUGUUUGACUUGAUUGUCCCUUUUCUUGUGCAUUUUAUUGUUGUUUCUAUUAUUGUUACCUGCUUGUGUAUGGCUUGAGUUUACUUGGAGCAAAUUUGUUCAUACAUACCAGUACAAUUCAAGUGUACCAACGUCCCUUUUUGCUGGAGGUGCUACAUUCGUGUUAUGAUUGUAGGUGGAUCCAUAGCAGGUAUUCUAGUCCACCGAUCGUAGCUCCUCAUCACUCCCGUCAGCUGAAUUGGUGAGCCCCUUUCCUUUCGGUGCCCUGUGUGGUUCAUGGUGCUUUGGUUUUGGGAUCUCAUUUUGAUAAUUGUAUAAGGUAUAGCCGGAGCCUUGUUGCCGGCAAGUACUACAUCAUUUCUUUUUUAUGUUUAGAGGCUCCGUAGACAGGAAAUGUGGGUCAUGAACUUAUGUAAUGUGACGGAGCCUUGUUACCGGCAAGUACUACAUCAUUCCUUUUUUAUGUUUAGACAGGAAAUAUGGGUCAUGAACUUAUGUAAUUUGUAUUUUGCAAGUUGGGCUAUGUAAAAUAUAAACCACGUUAAGGACCAUGUACCAUGCGUAUGUUUUGAAAUAAAAGGUGUUUUAAUUGUAAAUGGUUAUUUAAUUUGGCUAAUAAGAAAUGGAAAUGCGAGGUAACACGUGGGGCAGGAAAGGCACCCAGGUCCGCUUAACUGGGGAUGUCCGGUCGAGCACCGGUCAUGUCCCUCAAGUUUGGGGCGUGACAAACUUGGUAUCAGAGCCUCAAGUUUUAAAAGAUUCCUAGGAUGUCUCGGAGCCGUGCCUAGUAGAGCCCUUUUUAUCGGUGUGUUUUCGGCCAUAUCUAUCAGUAGGGGGCUACGGGCAUUUAAGAAACUAUCAUUUUCUUUGUUAUUCCAUAUUGUGCGGUGAAGUGGAAAGUGGAAGUACAUAUGCCUAACUCGUGCUUUGUUCCAAAAUUUUCAUAAAUGGCACCUAAGAAGAAAGCUAGACUCGGCUUGGGACCGACGCCAUCCCAAGUGUGGCCAUGAAUCAUGUACCUGAUGCCAUGGGUGAGAGUGAAUCCCCGGCCUUAAAUCUUCCCGGCCCAUCUAUUCUAGACCCAAGCAUUCCUGUUCCAGCUUCGGCACAGGGUGCCACCAUCCCUCCCGCCAAUAUUCCAAUUCCUAAUCCUGAUCCUGUUCCAGCUUCUGAUCCCAGGGUUUCUGAUGGGGACCUUAGGGGAACCAUCCGUAGAGAUCUCAUGAUGCCCCUGUGUCCUCUAGCGGAGAGGGAGAUUCUGCCAUCUCCAGAGUCUAGCAGUUUCUGCGAUUAGACCCUCCAGAGUUCUCAAGCACAGACCUAGAGGCCGAUCCGCAGGAUUUCCUAGAUGAGAUGUAUAAGACCCUCCGAGACAAUGGCAGCUCGUGCCGCUGAGUUCGAGGUUCACAAGAAGGGCAGUAUAAGUGUUUGGGAGUACCACAUGUAGUUUGUGAGGUUGUCCAAGUAUGUUCCUCAGUUAGUGUCGACAGUGGAUGCUCGAGUUUGGCGUUUCAUUCAGGGUCUUAGUCCUUUGGUGGUGAAUGAGGCUACUAUAGGGGCCUUGCACUUAGAUAUGAAUUAUGGAAAGAUUGUAGGAUUCGCUCUGGCCACAAAGGCUAGGAAGUUGAAGAUACGGGCAGAAAGGGAGAGUAGCAGCAGGGCCCGGUCAAUGAGUCACUUAGGAAGACCAGUUCCAGGGAGAGGGUUGUCAGGGCCAUCCCAGUCAUAUGUUCAGUCCUCAGGGAGUGCACCGCCAUCUGUGCACAGUUACCAGCAGAGCAAUCACUCGAGACCAGGUUUAGACAAUAGGAGGUUCCGUCAGUCCGGUCGUCCAGGAGUGAGGUCCCAGCAGCAGGGGAGAGCUACAUGCCCCAAGUGUGGGAGGUUCCAUAUAGAGACUUGCUAUUUGGAUGUCCCGGUAUGGUAUAGGUGCAGGUUGAGAGGUCACAUCCAGCGGGGCUGCCGUGUGCCCUGUUAGGGAAUGAGUAGUGGAUUUGCCUAGUCAUCUAGAUCUUCAAAUGCUACAUCAUCCGUGCGCCCUCCAUCUCCAGCAGGGCAUGGUGCAGUUAGGGGCGGAGCUCGUGUUAGGGGUGGACCAAUAUCCCGAUAUGUUACAGGUGGGGGUUGAGAGGUCACAUCCAACGAGACUGCCAUACGCCUUGUCAAGGUAUGGGUAGGGGAUCUGCCCAGUCAUCUGGGUCUUCAGUUGCUACAUUAUCCGUGUGUCCUCCAUCUCCAACAGGGUGUGGUGCAGUUAGGGGUGGAGCUCCUGGUAGGGGUGGACCCAGCCGAUUCUAUGCUUUGAGUGGUCACCAAAGUGCCGAGGCUUCUCCAUAUGUUGUUACAGGUAUCGUGUAUGUUCAGGCCAUUGAUUGUUAUGCUCUUAUUGAUCCGGGGUCCUGUUUGUCUUAUGUCACCUCAUUCAUUGCUUCAAGUUUUGGGAUAGAACCCGAACAGCUUCAUAAGCCAUUCUCUAUAUGGACUCCGGUUGGUGAUUCUAUUACAACCUCGCGAGUUUAUACAAAUUGUGUUGUCACAGUGUGUGGUCGUGUUACCACGGCCGAUCUUAUUGAGCUGGGAAUGAUACAUUUUGAUGUAAUCAUAGGAAUGGAUCGGCUUUAUUCGUGUUUUGCUAAACUUGACUGCCGAACGAGAGUUAUGAGGCUUGAGUUCCCUAACGAGCCAGUUAUUGAGUGGAAAGGAAAUGGUGUGCUGCCAAAGUGUAGGUAAAUUUCUUACCUUAAGGCUUCGAAGAUAAUUAAGAAGGGGUGUAUCUAUCAUUUCCCCCGGGUGGCGAACACCACACUAGAAGUGUCUGUCCCCGAGUUCGUGCCAGUCGUGAAUGAGUUUCUUGAAGUGUUUCUAGAUGAGUUUCUAGGAAUUCGUCGGGAUUGAUGUAUUGCAAGAUACUCAGCCAAUAUCUAUUCCACCAUACAGAAUGGCGCGAGAAGAGUUAAGAGAGUUAAAGGAGCAGCUGAAGAUUUAUUAGAGAAGGGGUUCAUACGACCGAGUGUGUCGUUGUGGGGUGCUCCGGUUCUUUUUGUUAGAAAGAAGGAUGGGUCGCUUCGGAUGUGCAUUGAUUAUCAACAGCUUAACAAAGUCACCAUCAAGAAUAAAUAUCCUUUGCCUCGGAUAGAUGAUUUGUUCGACCAAUUGCAAGGUGCAAAGUUCUUCUCCAAAAUUGAUGUGCGAUCUGGGCAUCACCAAUUGAAGAUCAUAGAGGAGGAUAUUCCUAAAACCGCCUUCAGAACUCGCUACGGUCACUUCGAAUUCUUGGUCAUGUCAAUUGGGCUAACCAAUCCCCCGACAGCUUUCAUGGACCUUAUGAAUCGAGUUUUCAAGCCAUUUCUAGAAUCCUUCGUGAUUAUUUUCAUUGACGACAUCCUCGUUUAUUCGCGGAGCAGGGAGGAUCAUGCUGAUCACCUUAUAUUAGUUUUGUAGACUCUUCAUCAGUAGAACUUGUACGCUAAAUUCUCAAAAUGUGAAUUUUGGUUGGAGUCCGUCACUUUUCUGGGUCAUGUUAAAGGAUCAUGCUGAUCACCUUAUAGUAGUUUUGUAGACUCUUCAUCAGUAGCAGUUGUACGCUAAAUUCUCAAAAAUGUGAAUUUUGGUUGUAGUCCGUCACUAUUCUGGGUCAUGUUAUUCCAGUAAGGGGAUUCAGGCGGAUCCCUAGAAGGAGGUUCGUAGCUUCUUGGGCUUAGUCGGGUAUUAUCGGAGGUUUGUGGAGGGAUUCUCUACCCUCGCCUCCCCAUUGACUAAGUUGACGGGAGGUUCGUAGCUUCUUGGGUUUAGUCGAGUACUAUCGGAGGUUUGUGGAGGUAUUCUCCACCCUCGCCUCCCCAUUUACUAAGUUGACGCAGAAAGCAAUUAAGUUCUAAUGGUCUGACGCUUGUGAGAAACAUUUUCAGGAAUUGGGGUCAAGGUUGACUUCGGCACCGAUAUUGGUCUAUUACGAUGCUUCUAGGGUCGGCUUAGGGUGUGUAUUGAUGCAGCAUGGGAAGGCUAUAGCAUAUGCUUCAAGGCCACUCAAGAAUCACGAGAAGAGUUACCCGACACAUGAUUUGGUGGUUGCAGCACUUGUGUUUGCCUUGAAAAUAUGGCGGCAGUAUCUUUAUGGGGUCUGUGUGGAUAUGUUCUCUGACCGCAAAAGUCUCCAAUAUUUGUUCAAGGAAAACAAUUUAAAUUUGAGGCAACGGCAGUGGUUAGAAUUGCUUAAAGAUUAUGAUAUGAACAUUUUGUACCAUUCGGGUAAGGCAAAUGUGGUGGCCGACGCUCUCAGUCGAAAAUCCAUAGGUAGUUUGGCUUACUUGGGAGCGGAUCAGAUGCUCCUAGCUCGGGAGGUUUAUCAGUUGGCCAGUCUUGGGGUUUUCAUCUCGACCCUAAAUGAGGAAGAAAUUAUGGUGCGUAAUAAAGCAGAAUCGUCGCUUGUGGCGAAAGUCAAGGAAAAUCAGUUCAUUGAUCCAACAUUUGCACAGAUGAAGGAGGUAAUGGCGGAGGCUCAUCAUUCUAGGUAUUCGGUGCUCCCAGGUUCUAUUAAAAUGUAUCACGGUCUCAAGGAAAUUUAUUGGUGGGGUGGUAUGAAGAGGGGUGUGGUGGACUUGGUAUCUAAAUGUCCAAAUUGUCAGCAAGUAAAAGCUAAGCAUCAGCGGCCCGGUGGGUUAACCCAGCUUAUGGAAAUACCAAUAUGGAAAUGGGAGAUGGUUAACAUGGAUUUCGUGGAAGUAUUACCUCGCACUCAGUGGGAGUUCGACUCGAUUUGGGUGAUAGUGGAUCGACUGACCAAGUCAGCUCACUUCUUGCCAGCCAAGUCCACCGAUACUACAGAAUAGUAUGCUCAGUUAUAUAUCAAGGAUGUAGUGAGGCUCCAUGGUACUCCGCACUCUAUUAUUUCGGAUAGAGGGGCUCAGUUCACAGCUAAUUUUUGGAAGAAAUUUCAGCAAGGUUUGGGUGCCCAGGUGAAUCUCAGCAUGGCUUUCCAUCUGAAGACCGAUGGUCAAGCAUAGCGGACUAUUCAGACACUUGAAGAUAUGUUCCGAGCUUGUGUAUUGGAUUUCAAAGGUAAUUGGGAUGAUCAUUUGUCCCUUAUAGAUUUUUCUUACAACAACAGCUUUCAUGCUAGCAUCCAGAUGGCCCCAUUUGAGGCAUUGUACGGAAGGAGAUGUAGGUCUCUGAUAGGAUGGUUUGAAGUAGGUGAGGCAGAAUUGAUAGGGCCGGAUCUCAUGCACCGGGCUAUGGAAAAAGUUAAAAUCAUUCAGGAAAGGAUGAAGACUGCUCAGAGUCGCUAGAAAUCCUAUGCGGACGUACGUCGAAGAGAGUUGGAGUUCCAAGUAGAUGAUUGGGUAUUCUUGAGAGUAUCUCCAAUGAAGGGAGACAUGCGAUUUGGGAAGAAAGGAAAGCUGAGUCCUAGAUAUGUCGGGCCUUUAUCGAAUUGUUCAAAUCAUUGGGCAAGUUGCUUAUAAGCUGGAGGUUCCCCCUGAAUUAUCCUUAGUGCGCCCGGUGUUCCAUGUGUCCAUGUUAAGGAAAGUGGUUGGAGAUCCAUCCACCAUCGCUACGGUAGAAGACGUCAAGGUUACUGAAGAGUUAUCGUAUGAAGAAUUCCAAUUUCUAUUCAUGAUAGACAAAUUCGUAAAUUGAAAAAUAAAAAGGAAAUUGCUUCAGUUUAAGUGUUGUGGCGAAAUCAACAAGUCGAGGAAGCAGCUAGGGAAGCGGAAGAUGAGAUGAAAGAAAAAUAUCCCCAUUUGUUCGAACAAGUCCAGUAGUAUCAUGUGAACUCUGAUCCUAGCAAACUAUCAUUGUGUCCUAUUUGGUGCAAAGACACCUCAUUCCUCCCCUAAAUGCUUUGCUAUUGUAAUUUUUCUAGUUGUGCCAAAAUUGUAUGUGUUGUGAUCAUUUGAUCCAUAUGCAAACCCUUCUUGAUAAAUGAACAUUUUUGUCUCUUGCAAUAAGUAACUGGCUUAUGAUAGUACAGAUUGGUAAUGAUUAAUUUGCAUGUAUAUAGAGAAUCAUGGUGGUUAAACUAUGCGGACUCAUUAGAGUAAUCAAACUAUGUGAAAAAAUGUGUUAAGCAAUUGAAUAUGUACAUGUGUAAGGGUGAUGAGUUGUAUGUUAGUAUAGGGGCAACAAAAUUUGUGUAAUGGUACUUGGAAAUGUGUUUCGGGGGAUCUCUGACAGGUAGAUAUGUCUAAAUUACAUAGGAGACUCUGGUAAAAAUUUUCUAAAAUAGGGGAGUUAGUGGAAAAUUUGGGAAUUUGCAUAUCACGUUUUUCAAACCAACUGAUUUUCACAAACCCUCAUUCGAGGAUGAAUGAUUUUAAGUGGGGGAUGAUGUAAGGCCCCGUGAAAAUCUAUGCUCAAAGACUAGAACUUUGUGGUGUCGAGUUUUGUACAUGUGUUGGGAAUGUUCUCGACGCGGUUCGGACCCUUUUUACUGAUUUUACACCUAAAAAUAAAGAAUUAAAAUUUUCAAGAAAAUUGCCAUUUUGCGUUCCAGAAUGCGGUUGUAGAUUAGGUAUGUUGACCGCAUUUACGCCACGGAGUUAAUCAGAGAGUUGAUCAAAAUGGAUGUUAGAAGUGCGGUCCAUUAUGCAAUCGCAUAAUCAAUAUGCGGAAUGCAUAGUCGUCACAUAAUUCCCUCAAGGAUUUGUGAAGGUCAGUUCAGCGGUGAAAUAUGCAACCGCAGAACAGGAAUGUAGACCGCAUUCCCAUCGCAUACCUAGGCAGAGAUGUUCAGUAAGUGGUACACCUCUACGGUCCAAUCUUCGGACCGCAUUUCAACUCUGUGAUCCCAUAGUGCGACCGCAGAUCCUGAUCGCGCUAAUUUUCUAAUAUUUUAAACCCGACCCCUUUUUAACAAAACACCCCCAACCCCUCAUUUUUAAAGAUGUUCUGAGCAUAGUAGAGAGAGGGAAGAGAGUGUUCUUGAGAGAGAAGAGAAGCCUCAUCAAUUCGAUUCUUCAAAACCACCCGGGGCGGAAAAAUUCUAAUUGAUUGUCUUCAUCCCCAUUCUUGCAAGUAAAAUCCUUAGCCCUUUUUCCUUGAUUUUUCGAUUUAAUUUAAGGGGGUAGUCUCAUGAAUUUAUUCUUGAAAGCAAUGGUUGAAACCUCACAUGAAUGUCUUCUUAAACUUAAAACCUAGCAAAUGGAAAUUGGGUAGCUGUAGAGAUUUGCAACAGAAGAGUUGAUAACCUAAGUAAGUUUGAUUAGAAAUUGUGAACCCUAAUUCUAAGUCAUAUGUCUUAACUUGUGCACUAGAUUGACGUUGCUAUAUUAUUUGGUGAAUCGAAACUAGAAGAUAAAAACGGAAUUCGGCUCCAGGUAUGUAUGGCGAACCUUGAUCCUUGUAGAAUUGCCUUGUUUGGUGUACGAAUGUUUGGUAUAUGAUAUCUACGUGGCUUAUUCAUGAAAAUUAUUGUGAUUGGGAUUGAGUAUUAUGGUUAAGUCUCCCGAUAUAAUGUUGCAAGUAACUGGCAAUAAACUAAAUGUGUGAUUGUGAAAGUGUUAUGUGUUAAGAGUUGAGAAACAAAUGAUGAAAGAAAAUCGUGAAUGAUGCAACUGGAAUGAAUGUGAUAACCACAUCCAUGGCUUAUUGUAGGUAAUUGUCGUUGUAAGGUAAGACACAUGUGAGUUGUUGGAUAUGAGUUAUGGAAAUACUUGUAAAUUGUUGUUGUUAUUUCUGAAGAACUGUUGUUGUUGAUCCUUGUGAAUUGUUGAUUGUUGUUCUGCUGUUUCUGAAUUGUGACAAUACAGUGGCAUCAAGUUGUGUGCCGUAAUAUAAAGUUAUAAGGUGUGGGUUUUGGUGUUCAGAGUGGCCGAAGUAAUAAGGCUGGACAUGGUAAUAAGGGUGGAAAGUGAUCGAAAUCACUAUUGAAAUAUACAUUUGAGGAAAUUGUGAAAUCAUUGAUGUGGAAUUAUGGAAGGGGGAAAUAGUAGAGAUUGAAAACUUGUUGACUUGAUUGUCCCUUUUCUUUUGAUUAUUGUUUAUAUUAUUGUUACCUACUUGUGUACGGCUUGAGUUUACUUGGAGAAAGUUUGUUCAUACAUACUAGUACAAUUCAAGUGUACUGACAACCAUUUUUGCCCGGGGCGAUACAUUCGUGUUAUGAUUGAAGGUGGAUACAUAGCAGGUACUCUAGUCCACCGAUCGUAGCUCCUCAUCACUCCUAUCAGCUGAAUUGGUGAGCCCCUUUCCUUUCGGUGCCCUGUGUGGUUCAUGGUGCUUUGGUUUUGGGAUCUCAUUUUGAUAAUUGUAUAAGGUAUAGCCGGAGCCUUGUUGCCGGCAAGUACUACAUCAUUUCUUUUUUAUGUUUAGAGGCUCCGUAGACAGGAAAUGUGGGUCAUGAACUUAUGUAAUGUGUAUCUUGCACGUUAGGCUAUGUAAAAUAUAAACCGUGUUAAGGACCAUGUACCAUGUGUAUGUUUUGUAAUAAAAAGGUGUUUUAAUUGUAAAUGGUUAUUUAAUUUGGCUAAUAAGAAAUCAAAAUGUGGGGUAACACAUGGGGCAGGAAAGGCACCCAGGUUCGCUUGAUUGGGGCUAUCCGGUCGAGCGCCGGUCAUGUCCCUCAAGUUUGGGGCGUUACACCAAUCCUAAGGUUUAUCCUCACACACAAGAUUAGGUAACACACUUACCUAAAAUGGGCCAAAUCAACCCUGUAAAAUUGCCUUUACAUUAGAAACUUGUCAUGACCCAAAUUCCCAAAAAAGCUACGAUGACAUCUAACAUUGCUUGCUAGGAAAGCCAAUAAUUUCACAAUAACAAUAAACUCAAAAAUCAGAACUUAAUAAUAUCCACAGCAGCAUAAUCAUAAACUAUCUGUAAAUAGCAACCAUAACACAACUACAACCAUUCCAUGAUUUGGUGUCAACGAGUGCAUGAGCACUACACAAUCUACAAAAUACAAAGUCAAAUUCUCGAUAUAGAACUUUUUGAAUGAUAGAACAAUGAUAACAGAAAUAAACAAAAGAUGACUUCAAGGUCUGCGAACGAUAUAGAACAAUCUCGUAGUCUCCACAAGCUUGAUUCGAAGCGAACUAUAGAAAUCACCACAACCAACAGUACCUGGAUCUACACAUAAAGUGUACCAAUGUAGUAUGAGUAUAACCGACCCCAUGUACCCAAUAACUAACAAAUCUAACCUUAGACUGAAAGCAGUGACAAGCUUGAAAGAAGGUCAGUAUCCAACACCAAUAAUCAAUAAAAACACAUGAUAUAAUGAUGACAAUAUAAGUAAAAAACUCAAGAGAUAUCAUGUUCAACACGUUCACAACUACGCAAAAUUAGACAUGUUUUCCAAGUAUAAAAGCCAAAGCCCAAUCUUAACACUAAAAUCACUAAUCGUUCACAAGUACGCAAAAUUAGACAUGUUUUCCAAGUAUAACAACCAAAGCCCAAUCUUAACACUAAAAUCACUAAAAACAGGCGUUUAUCUCGGAAACUGUGAUUUCUAACAUUCAAUAACAGGUAAGACAUUUCAUUUACCAUCUAGCAUAAUAAAAAUACAUCUCGAUGUUGUCACAACCCGGAUUUUCCACCCUUGGGAGUGGUAAUGGUGCCUACUAUUACGAGCUAGGCAAGCCAAUUAUUUAUUACCUCUUUUAGCAAACAUCGAUAAUAUUAAAAAAAAAUUAAAGCAUUUAAUAAUAAAGUGGAAGUCUUAAAUAAAAUUAACUGAGAGAAAAACGGAAAUCCAAUACAAACUCUACCCAAGAACUGGAGUCACAAACUCACGAACAUCUAGAGAGUGCUAAAUACAAUAUCUGAAUAAAAACAUACUUUUAUUUAUUCUGGUACAAAGGAUAACAAACUAAAGUAAAGAUAGAAGAGACUCUGGGCCUACGGACAUCAGCAACGCUACCUCGGCAUCUAUUGACUUAAGGUUAGCUCCCAACCUGCUACUGCUGUCCAAAAGUUGCUGCUUCGGCACUGUGGUCUGUGCAAAAAGAUACACAAAGUGUAGCAUCAGCACAACUGACCCCAUGUGCUGGUGAGUGCCUAGCCUAACCUCGGCGAAGUAGUGACGAGGCUAUAUCAGACUACCAGAUAAACCUGUACAGUUAUGAACUAUAUUACAGAAAAUAAACAGGAAAUAAGCAGUUUAUAAAGGGAGGGGGAAAUAUGCUAUGGGGAGGCAACAAUUAUAAACAAGAAGAAUAAAUUUAAAAAUAGAACAACCAAUAGAAACUUAAAUCCGAAAUAAACACACUUAAUCUAUAUCUUGUUCCGGCACGCAACCCGAUCAAAUCACAUAACAAUACAAUUGUGGCGUGUAACCUGAUCUACAAUUAUCAUUGUUGUGGGGUGCAACUCGAUCCAUAUAUAUAUAUAGUAUUGUUGCGGCGUGCAACCCGAUCCACAAUUAUGAUUUUUACUGCAUCCAACCCAAUCCACAUAUAUAUAUNNNNNNNNNNNNNNNNNNNNNNNNNNNNNNNNNNNNNNNNNNNNNNNNNNNNNNNNNNNNNNNNNNNNNNNNNNNNNNNNNNNNNNNNNNNNNNNNNNNNNNNNNNNNNNNNNNNNNNNNNNNNNNNNNNNNNNNNNNNNNNNNNNNNNNNNNNNNNNNNNNNNNNNNNNNNNNNNNNNNNNNNNNNNNNNNNNNNNNNNNNNNNNNNNNNNNNNNNNNNNNNNNNNNNNNNNNNNNNNNNNNNNNNNNNNNNNNNNNNNNNNNNNNNNNNNNNNNNNNNNNNNNNNNNNNNNNNNNNNNNNNNNNNNNNNNNNNNNNNNNNNNNNNNNNNNNNNNNNNNNNNNNNNNNNNNNNNNNNNNNNNNNNNNNNNNNNNNNNNNNNNNNNNNNNNNNNNNNNNNNNNNNNNNNNNNNNNNNNNNNNNNNNNNNNNNNNNNNNNNNNNNNNNNNNNNNNNNNNNNNNNNNNNNNNNNNNNNNNNNNNNNNNNNNNNNNNNNNNNNNNNNNNNNNNNNNNNNNNNNNNNNNNNNNNNNNNNNNNNNNNNNNNNNNNNNNNNNNNNNNNNNNNNNNNNNNNNNNNNNNNNNNNNNNNNNNNNNNNNNNNNNNNNNNNNNNNNNNNNNNNNNNNNNNNNNNNNNNNNNNNNNNNNNNNNNNNNNNNNNNNNNNNNNNNNNNNNNNNNNNNNNNNNNNNNNNNNNNNNNNNNNNNNNNNNNNNNNNNNNNNNNNNNNNNNNNNNNNNNNNNNNNNNNNNNNNNNNNNNNNNNNNNNNNNNNNNNNNNNNNNNNNNNNNNNNNNNNNNNNNNNNNNNNNNNNNNNNNNNNNNNNNNNNNNNNNNNNNNNNNNNNNNNNNNNNNNNNNNNNNNNNNNNNNNNNNNNNNNNNNNNNNNNNNNNNNNNNNNNNNNNNNNNNNNNNNNNNNNNNNNNNNNNNNNNNNNNNNNNNNNNNNNNNNUAUAUAUAUAUAUAUAUAUAUAAAUCUUACCCAUACAACAACCACAAAUAAGAGGUAAGGGAGUAACAACUAGUGAAAGAAAUCCCAGGAAGGGAAUAUAACAACACAACUAAAUCCCGACAAGGGAGAAAAAUCAACAAAACCAAUAAAAUGUCCCAGCAAGGGAAUAACCAUCAACUCGUCCUCUUUCUUACACUUCUCACUUUAUAAUUUACUUUAUCAUUAGAGCCAUGGCCCAAAGAGUCAUUUCAUAUCAUGUACCUUCUGAAUCCGUAACACAACUCGAGCCAAUGCUCCACGGAGUUUAGUAAUCAUAGCCUCUUUCUCAUGCUCUUUACAGUAUAUACAGGUCAUCAAAUAAGCAUUGAAGAAUCACGACAAAUUCAGGGUAAACACAAUAUAAGGACACACGGUCAUGAUAGAUACCAAUGUAUAGAUACUCGUCACCAUGCCUAUCCACCGUACUCGACAAAUAACAAUUAGAAAAUAAGACUCUACUCCUAUUUCCUCAAGCCAAAGUUACACCAAAUACUAAUCUCAACUUCCACAGCUAAAUCAAUCCACAACGACCGUUUUCCCUCUCGAAUUCGGCUCCAAGUCAAUAAAAUCUGUGAAAUAACGACUUUAUAACAUCAAUAAUAGCUAAACAAAUCAAACCCAAUGCCUAAAAAUAGAUUCCCAACCUUUCUUCCAAAAAUCGACCUCGGACCCGCUUGGUCAAAACAUGAGGUUCAAACCAUUUUCAUAUCCCCCCAUUCCCCCACGAGCCCGAAUAUAUAAUUUUUUUCAAAUUCGACCCCAAAACGAGGUCUAAAUCAAAGAAACUUAAAAAGCCCUAACGCUACCCAAUUCCCCCAAUUUCCACCCUAAUUUAUAUGAUUUAAGCUUAGAAUUUCAGUAAUUAAUGAAGGAAAAUGAAGGAAAUAAGUGGUGAUUUACUAACCCAAGUGGUCUUGAAGAAUGGGGGCUUCAAUGGACUCCUACAUCUUGGGGAAGAAGAGAGCUCGUGUGAAUUUUGGACUAAACUCGUCAUUGUUCUGUUUUUGAAGAGUUAAAAUAACUGGGGAAAAUGCCCUAUGCGUUCGCGACAUGGGAGUCACGUUCGCGAAUAAGGGAAACUGGCAAGCAUCGCGUUACGAGAGGGGCUGCGAACGCAUCGAAUAAAAUAUUGGGAUCCCAGAUUUUGGCCUAUGCAAACACAUGAAUAGGUACAUGAAUGUGUUGAAGGGCAGACUGGAACUACAAGAACCCGUGAAGUUAAUUUCGAAUGCGAACAAGGGGAUACGACAGGCAGUGCGAACGCGAGCUGGAGGCUGCGAUCGCGAAGAAGAAAAUGCUUGUGCAUAAAUUGCAGAUUUUCUACUUUUGACUAAGUUCAAACUACCCCGAACACCUACGAAAAUACUCCCGAGCCCUCGAGGCUCCUAACCAAUCACACACACUAACCCAACCACAUCCUACUAACUUAAUCAUGUGAUCAAAUUGCCAAAAUAACAUCAAAAUUACUGAAUCAACCCUCAAAAUCAUCACUUUUUUUAUUAAACUUCAUAAACUUUCAUUUUUAGAGAUUUAGGUUUGAAACACGCCAAAUGACGUCCGAUUUCAACAAAAUUUCAUAUAAACAUACUAAAUCACAUAUAAUACGUGUAUCGGAUGCUGGAACCAAAAUACGGGCCCGAUACCAACACUUUCUAAUCUGUUUUCUUUUGAAAUUUCCAUAUUAAUUUCAGAAAAAAAUUCUUUUAAAAAUUCAUUUUUCAGGCUCGGGACAUCGAAUUUUGAUUCGAGUAUAUGCCCGAGUCUCAUAUUUUUUUAUGGACCCUUCAGGACCGUCAAAUUAUGGGUCUGGGUCCGUUUACCCAAAAUAUUGACCAAAAACAACUUUACUUAUUGUAAUACCAAAUUUUAGUAUUUUUCACAGAAUUUCACAUAUAAGCUUUCCGGCUACGCGCUCGGACUGCGCACAAAAAUCAAAGCAAGUACAAAUGAGGUUUUCAAUGCCUCAGAAGCAUAGAAAAAGGAAUAAAACAGGUGAUGACCCUUUGGGUCGUCAUAUUCUCCACCCCUAACACAACUCUUCAUCCUCGAACGAACAAAAGAAAGAAGUACCUGAGUCGGGAAAUAGAUGAGGAUAACGGCUCCGCAUAUCGGACUCGGACUCCCAGGUCAAUGCCUCAGGAGGCUGACCUCUCCACUGGACACACAUUGAAGGAAAACUCUUCGACCACAACUAUCGAACCUGCUAGUCUAGAAUAGGCACCGACUCCUCCACAUAAGACAAAUCCUUGUCCAACUGGACAAUGCCAAAAUCUAACACGUGGGAUGGAUCGUCGUGGUACCUCUGAAGCAUGACACAUGAAAAACUGGAUGCACGACUGACAAUCUAGGCGGCAAGGCAAGUCUAUAAGCCACCUCUCCAACUCGAUCGAGAAUCUAAAAUGGACCAAUGAACCUAGGGAUAAGCUUUCCCUUCUUCCCAAAUCUCAUCACCCCCUUCAUAGGCGACACACGGAGCAAUACCCGCUCACCAACCAUGAAAGCCAGAUCUCGAAUCUUGUGGUCUGCAUAACUCUUCUGCCUAGACCGAGCUGUACAAAGCCUAUUUUGAAUGAUAUUGACCUUAUCCAAGGCCUCCUAGACUAAAUUUGUACCCAAUAACCGAGCCCCUCCCGGCUCAAACCAUCCGACUGGAGACCGACAUCGCCUACCAUACAACGCCUCAUAAAGAGCCAUCUGAAUGUUGGACUGGUAGUUAUUGUUGUAGGCAAACUCCACUAAAGGCAGGAACUGAUCCUAUGAACCUCCAAAGUCAAUAAUGCAAGCUCGAAGCAUGUCCUCCAAUAUCUAAAUAGUCCGCUCAGACUGACCGUCCGUCUGAGGAUGAAAAGAUGUGCUCAACUCAACCUGGGUGCCCAACUCUUGCUGAAGUACUCUCCACAAGCGCGAGGUAAACUGCGUACCCCGGCAUGAAAUGAUAGAUACCGGCACCCCAUGAAGUCGAACAAUCUCUAUGAUGUAGAUCUCAGCUAACCUCUUGGAUGAAUAAGAGGCUGCAAGAUGAACAAAAUGCGUUGACUUGGUCACCUAUCAACAAUGACCCAAAUUGUAUCAAACUUAUUUUGGGUCAACAGGAGACCGGUAACAAAAUCCAUAGUAAUCCUCUCCCACUUCCACUCGGGAAGCUCAAUCCUCUUAAACAGUCCACCAUGCCUCUGAUGCUCAUACUUAAUCUGCUGACAGUUCAAAGAUUGAGCCACAUAUGCAACUAUAUCUUUCUUCAUUCUGCGCCACCAAUAGUGCUCCCUCUAAUCCUGAUACAUCUUCCCGGAGCUCGGAUAAAUAGAAUACCGGAAACUAUAGGCCUCUUCUAAGAUUAACUCUCGAAUCCCUUCAAUAUUGAGCACACAAACCCGCCCCUACAAUCUCAAGACACCAUCAUCAUCUAAGGUCACUUUCUUGGCACCUCCACGCUGCACCGUGUCUCUCAGGACACAUAAAUGGGGAUCAUCAAACUAUCAAUCACGGAUACGCUCUAGUAAUGAAAAAAAAGCGAUCGUGCAAGAUAACACUCGAUUAGGCUCAGAAAUAUCCAGCCUCAGGAAUGGAUUGGCCAAAGUCUGAACAUCCAAAGCAAGCGGCCUACGGAUGGCUGGAUUAUACACAAGACUUCCCAUGCUGGCAGACUUUCUACUCAAGCCAUCGGCUACCACAUUGGCCUUUUUCGGAUGAUACAAGAUAGUAACAUCAUAAUCUUUCAACAACGCCAACCACUUCCUCUACCUCAAAUUCAACUCUUUUUGCUUGAACAAGUACUGAAGACUAUUGUGCUCAGUGUACACCUCACACGUCACACCAUAUAAAUAAUUCCACCAAAUCUUCAAAUCAUGAACAAUAGCUUCCAACUCUAUAUCAUGAACCAGAUAAUUCUUCUCAUGGAUAUUCAACUGUCUCGAAGCAUAGGCAAUGAAUACUGUAAUCAGCCCAAUACGGAAAGCAUCACAAUAGACUAUAUAAGGCCCUGAAACUGUGGGCAAAACCAAUACCGCUGUCGUAGUCAGAGCUGUCUUGAGCUUUUGAAAGCUCGUCUCGCACUCGUCUGACCAUAUGACUGGCACCCUUCUGGGUCAAUCUAGUCAUCGGGACUACAACAGAUGAAAACCCCUCCACUAACCGACGAUAGUAGCCUGCCAAACCUAAGAAACUCCAAAUCUCUGUAGUUGAUGCUAGUCGAGGCCAAUUUUUGAUUGUCUCAAUCUUAUUCGGGUCCACCUGAAUACCCUUUGCUGAUAUGACGUGACCCAUAAAUGCAACCGAACUCAACCACAACUCACACUUUGAAAACUUAGCAUAUAACUGACUAUCCUUCAGAGUCUGAAGAACCACUCUGAGGUGCUGCCUGUGCUCCUCCUGGCUGCGAGAUUAUAUCUGAAUAUCAUCAAUAAAAUCUAUCAUAAACAAGUCCAAAUAAGGCUUGAACACUCGGUUCAUCACUGCAUAUAUGUCAACCCAAAUGACAUGACCAAAAACUCAUAAUGCCUAUACCGAGUGCGGAAUGUUGUCUUAGGGACAUCAGACGCCCUAAUCUAAACUAAUGGUAGCCAGAUCUCAAGUGUAUCUUUGAAAACACCUUUGCACCCUGAAGCUGGUCGAACAAAUCGUCGAUCCUCGACAGUGGAUACUUAUUCUUUAUCAUCACUUUGUUUAAUUGCCGGUAAUCAAUGCACAUCCCCAUCGAACCAUCCUUUUUCUUCACAAAUAACACUGGCGCACCCCAAGGCAAAACGUUGGGUCUAAUGAAAACUUUCUCAAGAAAAUCAUGUAACUGAUCCUUUAGUUCUUUCAACUCUGGCGGGACCAUGCGAUAUGGCGGGAUAGAAAUGGGCUGCGGGCCUAAAGCUAGAUCAAUAUAGAAAUCAAUAUCCCUGUCGGGUGGCAAAACAGGAAAAAAUCUGAAGGGAAAACCUCCCGGAACUCCCUAACAAUAUGUACGGAAACAAUAGAAGGGACCUUUGCGCUAGAAUUACGAACAUAUGCCAGAUAGCUAGAUACCCCUUCUCGACCAUGCGUCGAGCCUUCACAUAUGCGAUAAUACUGCGAGAGGUAUGACGUGGGGUCCCUCUCCUCUCCAAACGGGGCAAAUCUGGUAAAUCCAAGGUCACGGUCUUUGCAUGACAAUCCAAGAUAGCAUGAUACGGGGACAACCAAUCCAUCCCUAAUGUGACGUCGAAAUCUACCAUAUCUAAGAGUAACAAAUCAACACGGGACUCAAGACCCUCAAACACUACAACACAGGAAUGAUGAACUUGAUAGACCACUAUAGAAUCACCCACCGAUGUAGAUACAUAAAUAGGAAUACUCAAAGCAUUACUAGGCAUGACCAAGGUCAAAUAGCACUGAAGUAUCUCUAUCACAAACCAGAAUAGUACCUGUAAUAACUACAUCUGAAGACUCAGCCUCUGUCCUAGCUGGAAGAGGAUAACACCGGGGCUGGGCCCUACCUUCCUGAAUCAUAUCUCUAGAAUGACCGACUGCUGGCUGACCCCUACCUCUGGCCGUCUGAGCUUUACCUUUAUGACCUCUGCCCCCACCUCUAUGACGAUGCCCCUACCUCUAGUUGGAUGGGCAACCUUUGGAGCACCCGGCGCUUGAAUCAUAGGACGAGGACCCUGCUGCUGCGACUGAGAACCCCUCAAUCUCGGGCAAGCCCUCCUGAUGUGACCAUACUCACCACACUCGCAACACCCAUCCAAAUACUGUAGCUGAGGAACCUGGAGCUGACCAUGUCGACCUGACUGAUCACCCCGAAGGCUCUGAAGUGGCGGUGCACUGAUGGGAGUUGGUGGUGCAUUCUAAGCCUACUGAUCAGAAUAAUGUGGUUGUAAACCCUGACCACCUGAAGUACCAUGUGAGACAUGGAGAGAUGACUGAAAGGGCCGAAUAUGAUGGCCACUACUAUAAGAAUCUCUACCUCCAGACGAGGUAACACUGAAUCUACCUACAUGAUGGGGCCUCUUAUCAGACCCAUGACCGCCUCUCUGUGAUAAAGCCAUCUCAACUCUACGGGACGCAUUGGAUGCCUCCUGAAAAGUAAUCUCACUCCCGGCUCUCAGAGCCAUCUGGAGACGGAUGGACAAAAUCAAACCGACAAAACCUUCGCACCCUCCCUCUCUCUCUCUCUCUCAGUGGGGAGUAUAACAAUAGCAUGGCGAGCUAGAUCAAUGAACCGGGUCUCGUACUGAGUGACUGUCAUAGAGCCCUACUGAAGGUUCUCAAACUCUCUAUGAAGAGCCUCCCUCUGAGUGACUGGGAAAAACUUCUCCAAAAACAACUCUGCAAACUGAUCCCAAGCCAAGGAUUGCGACCCUGCUGGUCUGGCUAAACAAUAGUCCCUCCACCAAGUCUUGGCGAAUCCAGAUAGACAAAAGGUGGCGAAGUCGACCCAUUGGUCUCCACAAUACCCAUGGUCCGAAGAACCUCAUGGGAGCUAUAUAAGAAAUCCUCGAGGUCCUCUGAAGAAGCACCACUGAAUGUGGUGGUGAAGAGCUUGGUGAACCUAUCCAGCCUUCACAAAGGAUCUGCGGACAUAGCUGCUCCAUCACCGGUCUGCGUCAUAAUACCCGGGUGAACAUCCACAUCUACUGAACUACUGGAACCUGAGCCUAGGGAGAUACCUGCUACUGAGUACGUAUAGCAGAAGUCUGAACCUAUCAUUUAGUCUGAGAAGUGGCUGGUGCUACUGGAUGCAAACCCGCUCAGGUGACACUCUCCAUAAGGCCUACCAGUCUAACCAAAGUGUCCUGAAGAACUGGGGUGUCUAUAAACCCCUCUAGAACCUGAACUGGGCCUACCGGAGAUGUUGGGGCUGGAACUUCCUCGUCAUAAUCCAUUUGAGGAUCUGCCUCUGGGGCAGCUGGUCGGGGUUGAGCUCUGCCUCUGUCUCUGCCUCGGCCUCUAGCACGGCCUCAGCCUCGCCCUCUGCCCCUCGUGGGAGAUGCUGCUAGGGGCUCGGGCUGCUGAGUGGUAGAAGAGGAAGCACGUAUUCUCGCCAUCUGCGAAAUAACAGAGUAGAAAGACAAUCAGUAUUUGAGAAACAGAAUCGCAUGACAAGAAAGAUUAAAAGUGAAAUUUUCCUAACUUUGUAGGCCCUAGGGAUAAAUACAGACGUCUCCAUAUUGAUCCCUCAGACUCUACCGAGUAUUUUCGUGAGUUGUGAGACCUAUGUAACCUAGUGAUCUCAUACAAACUUGUCACGACCCAGAUUUCCCACCCACGGGAGUCGUGAUGGUGCCUACUAUUAUGAGCUAGGCAAGCCAAUUAUUUAUUACUUCUUUUAGCAAAUAUUGAAAAUAUUAGAAACAAUGCAGCAUUUCAUAAUAAAGCGAACGUCUUAAAUAAAAUUAACUGAGAGAAAAGUGGAAAUCCAAUACAAACUCUACCUAAGAGCUUGAGUCACAAACUCACGAACGUCUAGAGAGUGCUAAAUAUAAUGUCUGAAUAAAAACAUAAUUCUGUUUAUUCUGGUACAAAGGAUAAAAAACUAAGUAAAAAUAGAAGAGGCUCCGGGCCUGCGGACGUCAGCAAGGCUACCUCGGUCUCUCUGGACUGAAGGUCAGCUCCCAACCUGCUACUACUGUCCAAAAGUUGUUGCUCCUGCACUAUGAUCUAUGCAAAAAGAUGCACAGAUGUAGCAUCAGCACAACCGAACUCAUGUACUGAUAAGUGUCUAGCCUAACCUCAGCUAAGCUGUGACGAGACUAGACCGGACUACCAGAUAAACCGUUGCAGUUAUGAAAUAUAUUGCGGAAAAUAAAUAGGAAAUAAGCAUUUUAUAAAGGGAGGGGGAAACAUGUUGAGGGGAGGCAAUAAUUAUAAACAAGACGUCUAAAUUUAAAGAUAGAACAACCAACAGAAACUUAAAUCCAGAAUAAACACACUUAAUUUAUAACUUGUUGCGACGCGCAACCCAAUCCAAUCACAUAACAAUACUGUUGUGGUGUGCAACCCGAUCCAUAAUUAUUAUUGUUACGGCGUGCAACCUGAUCCAUAUGUAUGUAUGUAUGUAUGUGUGUGUGUGUGUGUGUGUGUGUGUAUAUAUAUAUAUAUAUAUNNNNNNNNNNNNNNNNNNNNNNNNNNNNNNNNNNNNNNNNNNNNNNNNNNNNNNNNNNNNNNNNNNNNNNNNNNNNNNNNNNNNNNNNNNNNNNNNNNNNNNNNNNNNNNNNNNNNNNNNNNNNNNNNNNNNNNNNNNNNNNNNNNNNNNNNNNNNNNNNNNNNNNNNNNNNNNNNNNNNNNNNNNNNNNNNNNNNNNNNNNNNNNNNNNNNNNNNNNNNNNNNNNNNNNNNNNNNNNNNNNNNNNNNNNNNNNNNNNNNNNNNNNNNNNNNNNNNNNNNNNNNNNNNNNNNNNNNNNNNNNNNNNNNNNNNNNNNNNNNNNNNNNNNNNNNAUAUAUAUAUAUAUAUAUAUAUAUAUAUAUAUAUAUAUGUAUGUAUGUAUGUAUAUAGAGUAUUGUUGCGGCGUGCAACCCGAUCUACAAUUAUCAUUGUUGCGGCGUGCAACCUUCCGGGACCGUCAAAUCAUGGGUCUGGGUCCGUUUACCCAAAAUAUUGACCAAAGUUAACUUUACUCAUUUUAAUACCAAAUUUUUGCAUUUUUCACAUAAUUUCACAUAUAAGCUUUCCGAUUACGCGUCCGGACUGCACAUGCAAAUCGAGGCAAGUACAAAUGAGGUUUUCAAGACCUCGUAAGCACGAAAAAAGGAAGAAAAUAGGUAAUGACCUUUUGGAUCGUCACGGAUGGCUAUAUGUCUAAUAUAUAUGUCAAGUCAAUAACAUAAUAUAUAAUUCAUCAGGUAGGCUCACACUCAGCACACUCGUGAUGCCUGGAACAAGUUCUCAUCCUAAUCACACACACAAUCAACUCAACACUGUAUGGGUGCCUAGAGCAACUGCCCCUCACCAAAGCUCAUAUAUGAUAAAAAUGGGCAACCUUGACCAAACAUUGAUCGAAUAUAAGCCAACAAUCAAUAUAACUAUUGCAACAUGCAACGUGGUCCAAAUAUCAAACCAUUGUAGCAUGCAAGCCGAUCAAAAUAUCAAUCACAAUACCACUUUAUGGCUUACAUGAGUCGUCAACCGCCUAAGUCUCAUUGGCUCAUGUCUCAUUGGACUCAGCCCAAAUUGUAUCACAUAUAGCAGGCAUUAAAACCAUGUGAUAUUACAUUAAAAAUAAUAUAUAGAGACUGAGAUAUAACAUGCAAAUAAAAAAUUUGACUGAGAAUAUGACUACUAUCAGUGUGAAUGAUAAUAUGACUGUUAUUAUUUGAUGAUUUUAUUGUCAUGGUGGAUUUACCAUGUUGAAUUGAUGCAUCAUGUUUUGUAGGAUUGAUGGCAUUGCACUUUGUUAUAUUUUUGUUGCUAGUUAUUAUCUGUAUUGCACAGAUUUUUCUGAUUAGUGAGUAUCACAUGAUUUGGGUCUCGUCACUACUUUAUCGAGGUUAGUCUUGAUACUUAAUAAUUAUAUGCUAUCAUGUAAUCAUACUAUACUUCUACAUAUCAUAAUAUAGAUCCGGGCGUCGGUAGUAGUGGACCUCGGUAGUGAGCUUUUGACACCUUCAAGAGGAUUCUAAGUUAGUGAUGCAUAGAUGUUGCAGACCCUUGGAGCCCCUUCCCUCAUCAUAUUGUUGUAUUACUUUCAAACAAGUUGUAUUUUUGAGACUCGUAGUGUAUUUUGUUUAGAACUCGUUACUUUGUACUGUCUGAUUUUGGGAGUUUGACUUAUGUACUACUAUAUUGGCUUUGUUAGAGUUUUAAUUUAUUGUUUAUGUUAAAUUCAGACCUAUUAUAUUUUAUUUUGUUGUUUUUGGUAUUACUAUGUAAUUGUCUCACUUAAUUUUGAAGAAUAGGUGUCAUCACGAUCUUAAGUGAGAUUAUGGAUAGUGACAUAAUUGCAUUUGAAGUAAAUUUGUAUGACAAAAAAAAGUUUUAUCAAUCGUAAAGAAAAACCUAAAAUAUCAAGAGACACUUUACUUGUUUAAGAGCAUAACAAGAUGAGUAUAUUAUAAGUACCAUUGUUAUGACGUCGUCUUUGUUUAAAUUUGGAAAUUAAUUUUACUACCCCAUUGUGAAAGAGUUUUUACCUUUUAGUUUUAUAUAAUUAAUAAAAGUAUUGAUGGUGAUAUCCAUUAUAGUGAUUAUUAUAUUUCUUCACCUUUUAAAUGUCAAAUAUUGUUCAAACCACUUGAAGGAAAUUUGCAUGAUAAAUUAAAAAAUUAAUAUUGUGAGAAUGUCUUUUAAUUUAGUUGGCAUAUCAUUGGACUACCAUAAAGUGAAAGAACAUUCAUAUUUUACGGUAACAAAUCCGGUGUAACUACUAAAGUUUUUGCGAGAAUAUGUAUCACAAUGAUCACUAUGAUUCUUCGUCGUAUCAAUACAAAUGCUCAUUAGUAUUUACGAAUCUAACAUAAAUUUGUAUUGAUAUAGAUCUUAAUUAUUUAAAGGGAAAAGAGUCAGAACUGCCCCUAACGUAUUGACUCCAGGUUAAAAAUGCCCUCCGUUAACCUAUUUUGAAGAAAAUGCCCCUACCGUUAAAAAUNNNNNNNNNNNNNNNNNNNNNNNNNNNNNNNNNNNNNNNNNNNNNNNNNNNNNNNNNNNNNNNNNNNNNNNNNNNNNNNNNNNNNNNNNNNNNNNNNNNNNNNNNNNNNNNNNNNNNNNNNNNNNNNNNNNNNNNNNNNNNNNNNNNNNNNNNNNNNNNNNNNNNNNNNNNNNNNNNNNNNNNNNNNNNNNNNNNNNNNNNNNNNNNNNNNNNNNNNGCAUUUUUUUCAAAAUAGGUUAACGGAGGGGCAUUUUUAAACUGGAGUCAAUACGUUAGGGGCACAAAUAUGCCAGCAUUUUAACGGUAGGGGCAUUUUUUUCAAAAUAGGUUAACGGAGGGCAUUUUUAAACUGACGUCAAUACGUUAGGGGCAAUUCUGACCCUUUUCCGUUAUUUAAAUACCGAUUAUUUUUAUGUUGUAUAUAACAAACGCACGUAUGCGAGUAGAAAACCUAUUAUGUUAUAAAAAUUAUGUGACAUUAUUGAAUUCAUUAAUUGCAGGCUUGAUAGGGCAAUAAUCAGUAUGUAACCUUUAGUUCUUCAGUUAAAAAAUUUACAAAUACCUUUUCUCGAUAUCUAGUUUUCAAUUAAUAAAUGUUGACCUCACAUUUUUCUGAGCCUCGGCCAGAUAGAAUUGCAGUAUCCUUGGUGGUUGGAUGAAAUUCUAACUUCACAUCCCGACACGAAAUAGACAUUCUAUACUUUUGUGACCAUCCUUCUCUUGGAAAAUACUUAACCCAUCCAAUAAUCUUCACAUUAACAAACAUGGGCAGUUUUGAUUUCCAUCUACUUAACGUGGCUGCAGAAACAUAUUCAUUAGAGAUUAGGUGUAGAUGCAAAGGUAGCAUCAAUAAUUUUGGUGUUGUUUAUUCUUUGUAGAUGCCGAAGGUCUAUUUGGAAACAGCCUCUCUACUCAAGGGUAGGGGUAAGUUCUUUGUACAUACUACCCUCCCCAGACCCCAUUAAGUGGGAUUAUACUGGGUUGUUGUUGUUGUUGUAAUAAUCAGUAUGUAACCCUUUAGUGCUUCAGUUAUAAACAAAUACCUUUCUCGAUAUGUAGUUUUCAGUUAAUAAAUGUUGACCUCACAUUUUUCUGAGCCUCGGCCAGAUAGAAUUGCAGUAUCCUUGGUGGUUGGAUGAAAUUCUAACUUCACAUCCCAACACGAAAUAGACAUUCUAUACUUUUGUGACCAUCCUUCUCUAGGAAAAUAUUUAACCCAUCCAAGAAUCUUGACAUUAACAAACAUGGGCAGUUUUGAUUUCCAUCUGCUUAACAUGGUUGCAGAAACAUAUUCAUUAGAGGUAAGUGUAGGUGUAGAGGCAAAGGUAGCAUCAAUAAUUUUGGUGUUGUUUAUUCUUUGGUAGAACCCGGGCAACGUUGUGGCUGAAAUGAUACUAUUUUUGUAUAAUAUUAUGAUAACAGAAUUCUCAUAUAAGAAGUCUUUUGUCACCUUUGCCAUAUAGCUACGGUUGUUAACUCUCAUGGUAAUGUUCCAAUUCCCUUUGAUUUGCAUGGUUGAUACAUUUAAGGAAGAGGCCACCUUAUCAAGCAUGAAGUCAUGUUCCAGGAUCUGGUCAUUUCUAUACAUUAUUGAAUCAGUUACGGCGUACACCACGCAUGAACACAAGGAUGGCCAACAUAAAUUGAUCGAAACCUCGAUUUCCGCCAUCCUCGAGAUCAUGAUCAUAUGCUAGAGCGCAUGGUUCGUGAGGAUCAAUUUCUCUUGGCUCGUGCGUUGCUACACUAGUGUAGCCUUCUUGUUUUGAACUACUACUUGUAUACAUGGUUGAAUUAAGAUAAUCCAAACAUGCAAAUAGAAAGGAAUAAAAGUUGGUAGUUGCUCAAACUUUCAUCAAUUAUUUAGGUUUGGCCUUGGAGAAAUAUGUGGGCAUUAAUAGAAAAGACAGGGAUAUGAAUGGGUGGCUUAAAAUUAGCACGAAUGGCGGUAUAAUUAACAAACUUCCUAUGCUACACAAUGAAUGUGUUUAUAAAGUGAACUAGAUUUAUUUAAGGUGAAUAACUAUUAAUUUUUUAUUAUUAUUAAUAGAGCCAUAGAGUAGCCUAAGGAGCUCGGGGCUCGGCUAGAUCUUGUCCUAUUGAAACUCAAUUCUGGCUCGAUUACAAUCAAAGCUCAGCUUGGCUAAGAUCAAUGUCAGCUCACUUGGCUCAAUUGAGUAAUGUUAUGAUUACUUUAAGACUAUUAUUCAUUCAUUUAGCUUAAUUUCUAUGUAUAUUAGAAAUAUGUUUAUUAAGAAAUAAUAGUAAUUUUGUAUUUCUUUAGAUUAUUUGAUGUUAUUAAAUUUUUAAUCCACAUGGUUACUUAAGGCUGCUUUAUGUUUUUUUUUUUUUGGAUAAAAGCUCUAUUCUUUGCUUAGUAUUAUGUUAAGUUUCUUUGCAUCUUUUUCUCAAAUAUACCACUAGAAGACAGUCCCCUCUAUUUAAAUGUACUCCAUGAAAUGAUUGUGCAUUACAAUAAGCAUGUAAAUAUGUGGCUACCACUAGAAGAGGAUCUGGUGAUGUAUAAAACAAGACCAUGCCGAUGCUAGUAGCACGUUCCAUUAAUCUAGUCAUGAAUACAUGUAGAAAUCCGAAUGUCAAAAUAUAAUUUUCUGCCAGUAGUUGGUGUCAUGAAUCCCGUCUAAAGAAGUGCUCAAGCAUAUGAUGUUCCUGCUAGGAUAACUUAAUAAAGCAAAAUAGUUUUUAUACAAAUGCAUCUACUGGAAUUGCCAGCUUGGCCAGAUUCCUCUAGGUUCUAUAAAAAAAAAACCCAGGUUGAGCAUGGGACCAUGCUAAUGCCACUAGGAAAAGUUCAAAUAGUCCCUGGGAAUAGAACACAAUAAUCAGCAGAGAGUGUUUUACCGACGGAUUCAACUGAACACAUAACUUUCAACACGGAAUAAAAAGUUAUAUAUAAAAAUUUAUUAAAAUAGUAGAUAUGCACCCGUAAUUUUAAAAAUAUAAUACGUUCAAUGCUAAAAUUAAAAGUUGAAUUCAUAGUAUUUAAAUCCUGAAUUCGUCUCUAAUAAACAGCAUAUCCUAAGCAUCCAAUUGAUUAGUGGCAUAUUUAUCAAUCAGGUGCUCUUCUCUUGGAAUCCUAAUCUUGAGAUUAGGGAUCUUAUCUUUGUCAAUAUUCAACAGUUUCCGAAGUUACACGCCCCUACCUCAAAUGCCACCCUAUUAUUGUAAAGACCACAUUCCUACUACGCAAAGUUUUGUCUAAUAGCAAAACUUGUACUAUUUUUACUCAGCCUAUCUAAGUUGUUUACAAGUUCUUUUGAAAAGGCAAAACUUGCAUGUUAUCAGAUUCAGCAAAGCAGAUGUACAAUUGAGCUCGAGUGGAGCUCCAACGGGACAAGCGGAGACUUGAAGGAGAAGACCGAAAACGAGAGCAUUUUCAAGAGGAAGGAAAAUGAAUUUGGAAAUGAAAGUCUCAAUCACAUUAGUUCAACUAAGGUGUAUAUAUACAAUGCAAAAGUAGAAGAGGGAAAAACUAACGGAGCCCAAACCCAACUAACCGACUAACUAACUUUAGGAAGUCUAACUAACUCAACCAACUACCUAACUGCUUGGUACUACUCGUAAUGCUAUAAGUACAACUACCCUAAACAAUUAUAAAUAAUACAAUACAAUAUUUGUAUCCUAAUGAUCUCAAUAACCCCUCCCCCCCCCCUCCCCAAGUCGGAGGUUAAGUUGUCACUGCCAACUUGCUGAAAAUAUUGAAAUGUUUGAUCCCAGUUAGUGAUUUAGUGAGAAUGUCGGCAAGUUGAUGAUUAGUCCUAAUAUGAUGUAGAGAAAUACGGCCUUCCUGUAGUUUGUUUCGAACAAAAUGACAGUCUACCUCAAUAUGUUUCGUCCGUUCAUGGAAUACUGGGUUCAUUGCUAUGUGAAGUGUUGAUUGAAUGUUACAGAAUACUGCAAUAGGACUGGAGAAAGGGACUGUGAGUUUUUCAAGUAGCCUUUGUAACCACACUAGCUCUCCAACCACUUUUCUGAUUGACAUGUACUCUGCUUCGGCUGAUGACAAGGAGAUAGUUUCAUGUUUCUUUGAUUUCCAGCUCAUAUGGGUAUCUCCCAACAGAGCAAUAUACCCAGUAACUGAUUUCCUGGAGUCUGGGCAUGAUGCCCAAUCAGAAUCAUAGUAUGCUCCCACAGUAUAAUCAACAUUCUUGGAGAAGAAAACCCCUAGGCUAGGAUCAACUUUCAAAUGCCUCAAUAGGUGAUAUGCUGCCUUUAAGUGUGAUUCCUUUGGAUCUUGCAUGAACUGGCUUAGAUGUUGAACACUAAAUAUUAUAUCAAGUCUUAUGUUGAUCAUAAAAUUUAAUUUCCCAACCAACUUUCCAUAACAGCUGGGAUCUGACGAAGGAGCACCUUCCUUUGCUUUUAAUUUCUCAUUUGGAUCAAGGAGAGAUGAUAACGAACUAUAGCAUUGAAAAGGUCAAUGACAAAUUUUCUUUGGGAAAUGAUGACCCCGUCAUCCUUAUAAAGAGUUUCAAGGCCAAGGAAAUACUAUAAUCUCCUUAGAUCUUUAAUUUUGAAGCUAUCAUGUAAAAACUUCUUCAAAAGCUUCAUUUCUUCAAGAUCUGUUCCUGUGAGUAUCAUAUGAUCAAUAUAUACUACUACAUAUAACAAGGAUUUCCAUUCUUCUUGCAUAACAAUGAAUAAUCAUGCAUAGAAUGUUCAUAACAUCUGGAGCAUGGUGCUUCUAUGACGACCCAAAGGGUUAUCACCGUAAUUAUCCCUUUCACCGUACUUUCUAGGCCUUGAAACCCUCUUAUUUGUUUGCCUCGAUUUGCAUGCACAGUCUGGGUGUGAAGCUGGAAAAUUUUUAUGUAGAAAUAUAUGAAUUUGGCGUUAAAAUCAUGAAUUUUGAUAAUAAUAUUGAUAUAGUUGACUUUGGUCAAUAUUUUAUGUAAAUGGACCCGGACCCAUGAUGUGACGGUUCCGAAGGGACCGUAGAAAAAUAUAGGACCUAAGUGUAUUCCCGUAAUCAAAAUCCGAGGUCCCAGGCCCGAGUACUUAAUUUUUGAAUGAAAUUAUUUACCUGAAAAUGACAUGAAAAAUUAAUAUGGAAAUGAGCUAGAAAAUAUAGGUAUCGGGCUCGUAUUUUGAUUCCGACAUUUGUUACAUGUCCUAAAUGAGCGUUAAGUGCUUUUUGUGAAAUUUGGUCAAAAUUGGACGUCGUUUGACAUAUUUCGGACUAAAUAUGGAAAAUUUAGAAAUUUUGAACUUUGAAAUGAAAAUCAUGAGUUUUGAGGCUUGAUUCUAUGUAAACGAUGUUAUUUUGGCGAUCUGAUCACAUAAGUGAGUCCGUAGGAUGUCUUGAGGUUGUGUGAACAUUUGGUUUGGAGCCCCGAGGGCUCGGGUGAGUUUUGGAUGAGCGUUGAGUUGUAUUUUUGAAUUUGGAAAGGAAGUUGCAAGUCUGGGCUGCAGUCUUCGCAUUUUCGAAGUAUUUCUCGCAAAUGCGAGUCUUUAGUCGCAGAAGCAAAGUCCGGGUGGCCUGUGCUGGGAUCGCAAAUGCGAUCUCUGAGCUCGCAAAUGCGGACGGGGCCGGAUCGCAAAUGCGAACAAAGGGGACGCAAAUGCGAAAACCCCUUGGCUGUUCAUGGUUCGGAAAUGUGAACUUCUUUCUCACAAAAUCCAAACCUGCAGGGUUUGCAACUGUGAACCCAGUCUCGCAAAUGCGUGAUCUGCAUCUGUGUAUUUAUUACUUAGACGAUUUCAAACCUCAUUAUUCAUAUUUUCAAUACACAAACACCCAUUGGAGAUUUUUCACGAACUCUCUCUUCUCCAAAUCAUUUGUAAGUCAAAUUUUACACAAUUUCUUAAAUCUUUAACAUAUUUCAUUAUGUUUUCAUCUCAAAAUCAGGUUUUCCAUGGGCAAAAAUGGGGAUUGAGGUAGAACCUAGGUUUUCUUAAAAUUGGGGAUUUGGACCUCAAUUUGAGGUCCAAUUUCAAAACAAUAUAUAUAUAUAUACACACACACACACACACACAUAUAUAUAUAUAUGAACUCGUAGGGAAAUGGGUAACCCGGUUUUGGUUUGAACCUCGAGUUUUGACCACGUAAGCCCGGGGGCAUUUUGGGUAAAAUUUUGGGAAAUUUAUUUUUAUGCAUUCAACUAGCAUUUGUUGAUACAUUUGGGUAACUUGUAACUAGAUUCGAGCGGUUUUGUUGCGAAUUCGAGGGGUGAAGCUAUUCUAGAGGCGUAAGUCGAGUUUGGAGCUUAAGAGGUAAGUGUUUGUUCUAACUUUGGCUUGAGGGAAUAGGAUUAGGACAAUAUUUGCUAUGUGCUAUGUGGAGUCGGUGUAUAGGUAUGAUGACGGUUUCCUAGCGUCCGAGUUUAUCAUGACCGUGAGCCGUAGUUGCUUCUAAAUUUGAAAGAUAUGAAACAAUCGAGUUAAUUACUUGCUAAAUAAAUUAUGAAGUGAUUGAUGAGAAGCAAAUGAGUUAAAGAAGGAAGUGUGGUAUUUUUCUCUUGCCGGGACUUAUUGUUGAUUCGUUUUCCCUUGCCGGGACUUAUUGUUGAUUGUUCUCCCUUGCCGGGAUGUUUAAUCUUGUUGUAUAUUCCCUUUCCCGAUUGGUUGUGACCGUUGAUUGGGUGAGGAAGAGAGAUUAUGAACGAGGGGUAAUUUCCAUGCCAUGUUUUGAUAAUUAUGCACGAAGGGUCUUUCCGUGCCAUGUUUUGAUAAUUAAGCACGAAGGGUCUUUCCGUGCCAUGUUUUGAUGAUUAUGCACGAAGGGUCUUUCCGUGCCAUGUAUUUUAUUAUUGGAGAACAAAGGGUCUUUACAUACCUUAAUGUGAGAGUUAUGUGAGGAAAAGCACAAAGGGUGGUGUCAUGCAUUAUAUUUGACAGUGUAAAAGCACGAAGGUUAGUGUCGUGCAAUUGUUGAUUUACUUGCUCUCUUUUAUUGGUGUUAAUUAUUCAGUUUCCAUCUCUUGUUCGUUAGUCUUAUAUCUAAAUUGUUACAACCCACAGCAUGUCCCCUCCCCAUUAUUUGUUUAAAUUUUGUUAUCUUUUCGUUAUUGCACAUAUAUCUGUACAGGUUGUUUAUGGUAGGUCCGGUCUACCCUCGUCACUACCUCGCCAGGGUUAGGCCAGGCACUUACCAGCACAUGGGGUUGGUUAUGCUGAUGCUACACUUUUGUGCUCUUUUUGUGCACAUAUUUGGGAGCAGCUUACGGACCGCAGCAGCAGUAGAUUGGGAGCGUGCCUUCCGUCCAGAGACUCCUAGGUAGUUCAUUGUCGUGCGCGGGCCCUGAGUCUCAUCUAUUUCACUUCUGUUUGUUUUCAUUGUAUCGAUGGUCCCUGAGUCUCAUCCAUUUCAUUUCUGUUUGGUUUCAUUGUAUCGAAACGGUCUUCUUAUGUAUUUUCUUUCAUACUCUUAUUUCUAGUAUUUCACAGUAGUCCGUGAGCAUUGUGACACUAAAUCUUGGGUAGAGGAUGAUGUUAAUUUUUUCGUAUUUUUUUCAUUUAAUAUUAAAUGGAUACUUCCACCUAAAUUUACUGUUAUCAUUAUUAUCUUGUUGAAUAAAAGUUGAAAAAAUUAAUGUUUAAGUUGGCUUGCCUAGCUCCGACAGUAGGCGCCAUCACGACUCCAGAUGGUGGAAAAUUCGGGUCGUGACAGCUUCUAUCAAUCUUGUAUACCAUUGUCUACUAGCUUGUUUCAAGUCAUAUAGAGACUUGUUUAACUUACAUACUAGUCCCGGUUCAGGUACUACUAGUCCAGGAGGGUCCUCCAUAAACACUUACUCAUUUAAAUCUCCAUGAAGAGAAGCAUUGAUUACAUCUAGCUAAAACAUGUCCCACCUUUUUCCGGCUGCUACUGUAAUGAGUCUUCUCACAGUGGUGAUUCUUACCACUGGUGAGAAGGUUUUUGUAUAGUCUAUUCCUCUUGUUGUGUGUAUUUUUUUAGUACCAAGCUAGCCUUAAGCCUUUCAAUAGUUUUAUCAACUUUAUGCUUUACUUUAUACACCCACAUGCAGCCUAUGGUUUUCUUCCCUCAUGGUAGUGGGACCAAAUCCCAUGUGUUAUUGGCAUGCAAAGCCUCAAACUCUUAUGUUAUAGCCACCUGCCAAGAAGGAUUGAUAGCUAUUUUUUCAUAUGAAGAAGGUUCAUUAUCUUGGCAGACACUUUGCAUCAAAAACUGACUAUCAUGGACUAGAACUUCAGGGGAAACAGAUUGAUGGUUUGACAAUAGUUCAUUUAAAGAUGGUAUACAACUAUUUGAACUCAAUUUAGGUAUAUUGUGAAUGUAAUCAUUCAGGUAUGCAAGUGUGUUGAUUUCUCUUUGGGUUCUUCUAAGAUUGGGACUAUUCUGAUUACUUGUUUGAGGAGAGUGAUUACUCAAAACUGGUUCAUUAAGGUUUGAUGUUGGAGAUGACUCUAGGAAUAUUAUUAUCAAAAAUAUGAUUGUUGUGGGGUGAUGUGGAUGUGAUGCUAGUAGGUGACAUUUCAUUGUUACUAAUGGGUGACAGAUCAUUGUCCAUGUGACUUGCACCAUCUGGAUUAUUUUCUAUAUUGGUUUGAACAGUGUUAUCAGUAUCAUCCAUAAAGUCAACAAAGGGGACACAUUUUAGCACAGAAGAAAAAGAAGAAACAUAUGGAAAAAUUGCAAAGGGAAAGAUAUUUUCAUGAAAAGUUACAUCUCUUGAGAUUUGAAUUUUCUUGGUAGCAAGACUCAGGACUUUGUACCCUUUGAUUCCAAAGGGAUAGCCUAUGAAAAUAUGUGGAGUAGCUCUAGGUUAACUUUUCCAUGUGUACUUUAGGUAAUGUUGGGUAACAUAGACAUCCAAAACUUCUCAUUCGAGAAUACAGUGGUUUCUUCUUGUUUAGGAUUUCAAAAGGAAAUUUGUUUUUAAGGUAUGUAGUGGGUAGUCUGUUUAUAAAUGUAGGUUGUUGUUAGCACACAGUAUCCCCAGUAUUUCAAAGGAAGAUUUGACUGGAAUAAGAGUACCCUAGUUGUUUCAAGCAGAUACUUAUGCUUUCUCUCCGCCACACUAUUCUGUUGUAGUGUGUAUGAGUAGGUUUUUGGUGAAUGAACCAUUUUGAUUGAAAAAAAAUGUUACUUUCUAUAUUGGUAAAGCCUAAACCAUUGUCUGUUCUUAUGGUUUUUAUGGUAGUUUUGAAUUGGUUUUCUACCAUUAAAACAAAAGCUUUAAUGAUUUGAGUUUCAUUACUUUUGCAAGCUAAAAGAUGUGUGCAUGUAGCUCUGCUAAAAUCAUCAACCAUAGUGAUGAAGUACUUGUAGUUAUCAUGAGUGGUAGUGUGAAAAGGUCCCCAAAGGUCUACAUGCAACAAUUCAAAAAUGUUACCGGAAGUGUUAGUUCUUUGAGGAAAGGGUAGUAUAUUUUAUCUGCACAUAGGAUAUAUUGAGCACACAAAAGGUUGUUUAGAAAAAAAGGUGACAUGUAUAGAUGUUAUUCCCUUAAUUUUCACAAAAGGAACAUGCCCAAGUCUAUUGUGUCACAGAAUAUCAUUCUCAUGAGAUGUAUAGGAAUUCAACGAAACAUAACUUCUGAUUUAUUUACAUAUGAGAGAACACUUACAGCAGUAUCACUACUAGUAGAUGCUAUUUUAUUCAAAUGGGUGAACCGACAAACAAGGAACAGAAGACUUAAGUAAAAUAGGGGAAGAACUGGCAUCUUUAUGUUUCAAGAAUUGAGAGUACAAGAGGUAAAGUCCAUCUACAUCAGUGAAGAUGCAACUCCUUUGGGGAGUAAGGUCAACAAAUGAAUAGAAAUGAGAUUGUUUUUAAAAGAAGGGGCAAAGAGGACUGUUGAUACCCAAUUUUUUUACUAUAUUUUCUAUAUGUAUAAAUACCCACAAAAUUGCAUAUACAUGCAUGUAUAAGCAUGUACGAGGUUUUUAUAAUUUAUUUCUAUAAUUUUGGAAUUUAAAUUGAUUUAUUUUCUUUCCUUUUAUUCAUAAAUCCCCAAUAUUAUUUCCCAAAUUAUUGUUAUGGUGAUUUAGUCAUUUAAUUUCUAUAUUUAUGUCAAAAUAUGAGUAAUAUAUUUAUAUGCAUUUUUAUAAUUAUAUUUGAUAUUUUUUAAGCUAAAUUGCAUAUAAUUUCAAUAUUAGCCCAUUUAAUAUUUAAUUACAUUUUAUAUGCGUAAAAUUGGGCCCUAUAUUUUUAAAAUGUUAUAUAUAUANNNNNNNNNNNNNNNNNNNNNNNNNNNNNNNNNNNNNNNNNNNNNNNNNNNNNNNNNNNNNNNNNNNNNNNNNNNNNNNNNNNNNNNNNNNNNNNNNNNNNNNNNNNNNNNNNNNNNNNNNNNNNNNNNNNAUAUAUAUAUAAAAUCAUUUUGGUACAUAAAGUAUCUUCCAGAAUUUGUUUAUUAAUUAUUAUAAAUUAAAAAGGGGGAAAUUGGCUAUUUAAAUUAUAGCCAGAUUUGUAUUUUGAUUAUAACCUAAAUUGAAUCCAACCCCCAGCCCAAUUUCAUACCCAAUUACCCGACCCAAAUCAUACACACACUUACCCGACCCAAAACCCGUGUGAUCAUGGCCAUUGAUCUGAAAGAUCAACGGCCUAUAUUGUUUCUUUCCUUUUUUAAUCCUAAACGACCCCUAACCCUAAUUCAUUAAGGUUCGUGUGAUCAUGGCCAUUGAUCUGAAAGAUCAACGGCCUAUAUUGUUUCUUUCCUUUUUUAAUCCUAAACGACCCCUAACCCUAGUCAUUCUCUACACACCUCUGCCCUGAAAUCCUCUAUCCUCUCUUCUCUCAACCUAACCCUAACCCGGUGACUACCCUUCAACCCCAAGCCUCCAAUGGCUCCUCCAUUGCUUCGCUCAUCUUCUCUGAGGCCUUCAAGGGCACCGGGCCAUGCCGACUUGCAUCUAGGGGUGCUGUUUUGGCUAUUCAUAGCUACUCUGGUGUGAUUUUGAGCAAAAUCAUAUUGUAUUAUCACGAUCUCUGAAGUUCUAAGUAGGUUCUUCCAUAUCUAUUUGGGUUUCUUUUGAAACCUUAAAUUUUAUUUGCAUCGGUUAGAUCUAUGCUAUUUUAAAAUGAUUCGAGUCUGUUCCUUUUAUGUUUUACACUAUUCUCGAACCGUUUUUGCAAAAAUCAUCUAUUUCAAGUUGUUUUUACUUUCUUUAAAGUUAGGGUUUUUGGGACUUCUAAUACGCUUUUUUUAAACCAAUUUUUAUGUUCAGACUUCAUCCUUUGCAUAUCUCGACCGAUUUACGGUCUUACUGCUUUUUCAACUUGCCUCUGUUAGAAUCCCUAAUAUUUCUAAAUUUUCUUUGUUUGGUUCUGUGUGUUAGCAUGAAUACUUAAUUCUUGUUAAAUUUUGUGGUUACCGUGCUUUGAAUAUAUUCUUACUGAGUUCUUAGCCUAACUUAUACCACCUUCAUGUGAUUAUGUUCGUCGAUUGUCCAAGACUUGCCUCUUUCUAUUGUUAACCAUGCUUGUUUGCUACGACUAAUUGUUCUUACUCUGUUUAUAUGUUGAGUAUGGAAUCAUAACUUCCUCUUGAUUGUUUCUUAUUUCCUUAUUGUAUGGUUUGAUUGAAAAAUUUUCUUUUAAAUCCUAAAUUUCUACCUCGCUUGUUUAAAUUAACUGAUUUUCCUACCUUAUUUGUUGUGCUACUCUAGUCUUACUAAACCAUUUCCAUAAUUGGAGUUUUCUAAACUUAGCCCUAAUUGUUUGCCCUAUAUUUUACAAAAUUUGAUUCUUUCCUUAUUAGUCAUAUACUGAUUUCUUGCCUUAUAUGCUAUUGGUUCUUACCGUUUGAAUUAAUUCCCUCAAAUGGGUACUUACCUUGAUUUCCUGACUAAUUGAUUCUGAGUUUCUUAAUUACUAAUGGACUUUGAUUUCUACCUUAUUUACUACCUGCUUUCAAACUAUAAAUACCCUAGUCUUUCAUUAGCACAACACACGAACACUCUUGGUUCAAAACAAUUUCUCGCACUUAAAAACUUUCUGCUCCCUUUUGUGCUACUUGCUACUGCUCCAAGUUAGCAGGCUGCAAGCCAAGGCUAACCAUUAUAUUCUCUUGUUCUUUCACUCUGCUUACUAUCCUCUUUACUUGUAUGUUCUGGUUUCAAUUAAAAGUUCUAACAACAAUAUAAUUUUCUUAUUUCUUCAGUUCAUUUUGUUUCUAGUUUGCUCCUAUUUAUGGUUUUGUUGUGAAACGUUAGUUGAUGGUGACAUUAUUAGCAUGUUAUUAUGUCUUCCCCUCCAUUGAGAUCAGUGUAUCCCCCCCUUAUGUGUGUUUCUGAGCAUGUCUUACCAGUUAUCUCUUACUUGUUGUGUACUUACCAUCAUAUGCUCCAUGAAUCCACAAAUCCCUAUCAUCCCCCCCCCCCCNNNNNNNNNNNNNNNNNNNNNNNNNNNNNNNNNNNNNNNNNNNNNNNNNNNNNNNNNNNNNNNNNNNNNNNNNNNNNNNNNNNNNNNNNNNNNNCCCCCCCAUGUGAUUUUGUUCUUCAUGUCUGGUUUUGUGACUAUGCUAGGUCAGGUGUUUCUGAGCAUGUCUAUACCAAUUCCUAGACCUUUGCUUGAUUAUGUGUUUGCAAUCAAGUGUUCUAUGUAUCCUAAACCUCUUGACCCUUUUGUGUGACUACUGAAUUUACUUUGUUUCUAUGACUACUGGCUAUGUAGAAACAUGUCCUAAUGUUUUUGGACUUCUGUUCAUUUCUUCAAUCUAUUUUCAAACAGUCUCUAUUGUUGUACUAAAUUACUUUCACAUAGACUUUUGUUUUAAUAUAAUUUUUCACUAAAACCUUUCAACUUGUGUCAAUCGCUUUUACUCUACUCCUAAUUCAAUAAUUUUUGCCCCCUCCAAUAUGUCUACUGCCUUGGGAUCCUUUUGAGAACCCUCUGAACUUUUGCAUACUGAGUUUGGCCCUUCUACACUACACUUGUUCAAUUUUUGGUUACCAAGUCUAGGUGUAAACACUGCCCAGAAUCCUUGAGAUCCUUAGGGAACUUUGAUGCACCUAAACUAUGUCAUUGUCUAUGGAAUUGAGGCAUUUGAUUCCAUUGGAAGCUUUGGGAAUCUGGGUCUAAUCGAAGGCCCCUUAUAGAAUAGCUUCUUAUUUUCUUAUAGUAACGACCUGACCCGUCGUCCCGUGAAUUAUCGCCAUGUUUUCCCUGUUCUAUGCUUCUAUAUGUUUAAUUAUAUGUGUUUGGAGAGUUUGAAGAAAUUCGGAUGGAGUUUGGGUAGAAGUGAGACAAUUAGUCUCUUUAUAAGAAGGUUAGUUUGGAAAAGUCAACCGAAUGUUGACUUAUAAGUUAUAUGGCUCGGAAUGGAUUUCCGACAAUUCGACUAGUUUCGGAUGGUGAUUUGUGACUUAGGAGCGAAAUCGGAACUAAAUUUGGAGGUCCGGUGUAGAAUUAGGCUUGAAUUGGCUAAGUUAGAAUUUUUAUGAGAAGGAGAGUUUGGAAAAAAGUCAACCGAAUGUUGACUUAUGAGUUAGAAGGCUGGGAAUGAAUUUUUGAUGAUUCGACUAGUUUCGGAUAGUGAUUGGUGACUGAGGAGUGAAGUCGGAACUGAAAUUGGAGGUACGGUGUAGAAUUAGGUUUGAAUUGGCUAAGUUAGAAUUUUGGCAAAGUCUGGUUGAUAGGUGAGAUUUCGAUACGGUGGUCGGAAUGGAAUUUUGACAGUUGCAGCACCCGUUAGGUGAUUUUGGAUAUGCGUGCAAAAUUUAGUUGUUUCGGAGGUGUUUAGGUCGGAUUUUUGAUCGGAUGCGAGUUUUGGAAGUUCUAAUUAAACUUAAGCUAUGAUUUGAAGAAAAUUUGAUGAUUUUGAUGUUAAAAGUAGUGCUUUGAUGGCUCGAGCAAGUUUGAAUAAGAUAAUAGAACUUAUAUGUGCCUUUGGUUGAGGUCCCAGGGGCCUCGGGUGAGUUUCGGGGUGGUUUCGGACCAUUUCUAGGCCAUUUUAACUGCUGAAUUUUUGUCUGAAGCAGUGUUCUAUGCGAUCGCGUACAAUAAUUCGCGAUCGCGCUGAGUAAAAUGUGAGAAACUUGCCAGUGAAUCGCGAUCGCGUAAGGCCCUCCGCGAUCGCGGAGAAGAAAUUUUCUAUUGCAUUGAUCCCACUUCAGAAGCUUAUAUCUCACAAUAUAGAAGGAAUUUAGAGAUGAUGUAAAAAUAAAAGUUGUAGCCCUUUGUGUCUAGUUUCUGGAAAAUUGAAGAAACAAGUUGUAUUGCACAUGGGAUGACUUUGACGGAUCAUAUCUAGAAAUAUGUAAGGAAUUGGGAAAUAAUCAACACAUGAAAAUUGUAGAUCUUCGAGUCUAGUUUUCAGAACAUUCAACCAUUUGUCAUUUAGAGUUGUGUGCAAAAUGUUAUGGCCAUUAUACUAGAGACUGUCCUGAAGAGCUAGGCAUUUGUUCUCUGCGAUCGCGAAGCCUCGCCCGCAAUCGCGAAGGGUAAAAUUUGGGCUGGAAAAAUUGCUCUCUGCGAUCGCGAAGCAUUUUCCAUGAUCACGAUGAAUAAAUACCUGGGUAGAAUGUUUUAAAAUCAUGUUGUUCGUGAUUUUGGGUCUAUUUUCACCCAUGGCUGCCCGUUUUUGGAGAAUUUUGGAGGAAAAGAAGGAGGGAUUAUUUGGUUUCUUCCGAACCUAUCAAGUAUUUUCACUUUAGAUAAGCUUUAAUAGGAAAAAAAUGAUGAAACGUUUGGUGCUAGGAUGUUCUUUGAGGUAACAAUGUUGGUCUCAAUACUCAUUUUUAUUGUGAAAUCCAUCUAGAAAUUUAUGGAAAUUUGGAAAAAAUGGGAAGAACUAGGGCUUGAGUUUUGAAAUUUUAUAUUGAGGAUUUGAGGGGUCAUUUGAACUCCGAUUUUAGCAUUCUUUAUAUGUACGGACUCGUGGCGAGACGAGGAAUCUAUUGAUAUGACUUUUGUAAUUUUUUGAGAAGCGGGCCCGGGACUCGGGUUUUGCGAGUUUCGAGGUUCUUGCUAUAUUUCGAUUGUUUUUGAUUGGGUGUUGUCCCAUUAGCAUAUUAUGAUAUAUUUGUACUGAGGUAUUGUCCCAUUUGCAUAUUGUGAUGUAUUCGCCCUAUUUUUUGUUAGAUUUGAUGUGUGUGGAGGCCGAUUUUAGGGGCAAAGGCGUCGCGAGCUUGAGAUUUCGCUGGUUGGAGGUGAGUAAUACAUGAGAAUGAUAUCCUGAGGGUUUGAAACCCUGGAUUUGCACAUCUUAGUACUAUAUUAUGGUGACCUGCACGUUGGACCUGCGCGUGGGGUAGAGCACCGUUGGGAUUGUGACUUGGUCCGUCCCGGUUAUUGGUUUUUACCGCUAAAUUGUAAAUGUUUUGUUGUUAUCAUUAUGACUUGGGCUCAUUGCCAUACUUGGGGCUUAUUGCCGAUUAGUUGAAACCCCGGUAUAUCACAUUGUGACAUUAUAUGAGGCGAGACACGCACUCCAUGGCUAAUGCGGGGUCAUAUAUGUGGGAAAUUGUGACUCGGUUCAAUCCGAGGGAUGAAUUAUACAAUAUUGGCGAUUGCGUCGCACCCUAUAUUGAUGUUAUUUGGGCUUGCUGCCAUGUUUGGGGCCUUGUGCCGACUUGUAUAAUCCUUUAGGGAUUGAUAUAUCAGAGUUAGCACAAUUUGCAUACUAUUCGAAUUCAGUCCAGGGUUUUUAACACUAUCCUUGCAAACUCAGCUAAAAUUCUAUGUUUUGAAAACACAAAUGAUAUUUCGGGCUGACGAUCAUUACCUCACUAUUUUUUGGACUGCAUAUUGUUUCAUGUAAAUGGUGGUAACUAUUGGCACCGUGUAUUGAAAUGGAAACGGUGGUAACUAUUGACACUGUGUAUUGAAAUGGAAACUGGGGUAACAAUUGGCACCGUGAAUUGUAAUGAAAAUAGUGGUAACUAUUGGCACUGUAUGUUAUUGCGCUUGAGCUGAAGGAGCCCCUCCAGAGUCCGAACCCCACAGUGAGUGUCGUCAACGUUAAAUCAUAUGCAUGGUUGGCUCGGACUGCAAGUUGCAGCGUAUUCAUGUGCAUUGCCUUCAUGCAUUUACUCCUGUUUGUACUGUGUGGCAUGACAUUUAGCACUCAUAUAUCGUUGGCAUACAUACGGUUACUUGCCUUCUUGACCAGAUAACCUGGUGUUAUAAGUUAAGGAGUGUUGAGCCCUUGAGGCUGAUGUUGCAUAUUGUGAGUUGACAUUGAGCCCGAGGGGUAGGUUUCUGAUUAUUUCCUACUUGUUGAAAAUACCUUUGAAAUUUUUGAAAAAGCAUAUUUUAUAAAGAGAUUUUGAACAGAACUUGGGAUUUUCUAAAGGUAUUUUUCACAGUAUUUCGGUUUUUCUCAAAAAGGGUUGUUCUAUCUUUUAUAGCACUUUGGUUUGCUCAAACGUGUUUUCUUAUCGCUCAGACAGUAUUCUCUCUUAUUACCACUGAGUUGGAAGUACUCACUUUACUCCCUGCAACUCGCGUGCAGUUGCAUGUAUUGUUCGCCCGGUAGCGGGUUAUUAGCAGAUUGAAGGAUGGUUAUCAUAGCUUAUCCAUGUGACCGCUAGCAUUCGCGGCACCGGAUCUUCUCCCUUAUUUUAUUUUGUUCAUAUUAAUUUCAGACUUGUAGUUCUUUAGCGAAUUCUGUAGUAGCUCAUGACUAGUGACACCCCAAUGUAGGGCUGUUACGGGAUGGUUCCCAAUUGGUAUUAUUGUUUUUCGCACUUUUGGUUAUGCUAGUCAUGUUUUAGCUUUAUAAAUGUUAAAUAACUAUUAAAAGGAAGCGUCUGUUUUGUUGGCUGGCCUUGUCUUAACUAGAGGCGCCAUCUCGAUCGGGUUUGGGAUUUAGGUCGUGACAAGUUGGUAUCAGAGCCUAGGUUACUAGGUCUCACGAGUCAUGAGCAGGGUUAGNNNNNNNNNNNNNNNNNNNNNNNNNNNNNNNNNNNNNNNNNNNNNNNNNNNNNNNNNNNNNNNNNNNNNNNNNNNNNNNNNNNNNNNNNNNNNNNNNNNNNNNNNNNNNNNNNNNNNNUUUAGGAAAACUUCCCAUUCUUGAAAUUCUUAUCGUGCGUACUUGAUUCAGUUUGAGAUAACUCUUGAAAUUCCUUCCGCACGUUUGUAUGCGCACGUGAGCGCUCAAUAGUAUAUGUGCCUGGAUGGCUUGUGAUUUCCUGAUCGAGGGGUGAGAGGUAAUCUCUGUGAGUUUAUGUUGGGCCAGUCUGGAGGACUCGAGGCCGUAUAUUUGCCUAUGGUUUGAGCACCGAGGUGCUGAUUGAGUGAGCAAGUAUUUCGAACUUAUAUGUUCAGUGUUGUCCUUAUUAGCUAGAAUGGCGGCUGGAUUUCCAUGUGAUGAGUAUGUUAGUACCGUGGGGUGCAUAUAUGUGAUCUUGGUAGUGACGAAUGAGUCUGCUGAAUAAUAGAUGAGUUGUCGAGUGUUCAACUCCUAUUAUGCUUUUAUGUAUAGUCCGAGUUAUGGGCGCGUGAAGAAUAUUUCAUGUCUCUUAGUAGGCAAGUAAAGUACAUUCCAGGUGGCAGUAUGAGUAUAGACUCAGAAAAGACUAAAUGGCUGUGUAUUACGUAUAUGAUGAUGGAAGGAAUGUGUUGUAUUUCGAAGUAUUGGGACGCUUAAGAAAGUCGACUCAGCUGAUAUGGAAAUGAAUGUGAGGUUUGUAGAGAAUAUCAGUGCUAGAUGAUCUGUGUAUUCACAAAAUUGUAAAUGACUUGAGUUUAAUUCUCUCUAUAAUGUUGUGAUUUCAUUAUAGUAAAAGUAUUAGGAUUAUUGAGUGUGUCCUGGUAUAUGGCUUCGAGCCAAGUUGGGGAGGUUGCUUUGGAUUAGCUGAUUGCAUUGUUGUUUGCUAUGGUUGGUUCUGUUUCAAGGUAUGUUGGCGAAUCAAGUCUGGUCGUAGGAGUUGAUCCGAGAAUGGCGCGUGUGAAGGAAAAUUUUGAUAAGGGAUAUAUGGUGCUUCGUAGAUGUGAAGAAAUAUUAGGAUGUCUGAAACUGUCGUUGAUAAAGAAUGCUCAGUGCAUAGGGAAGGAAAAUGGUUGUUUAUAUCUGUAUGAGAUCAUGUUCUGCGGUGUCAGAGUACUAAUAAGGUACGAGUGGUUCUGUUCGUUAAGGCAGGUAAAAUUUAGUUUUUCAAAAUUGAAUGACUCUCGAUAUUGGUUUUAUUGUGUCCAAGAUUUUGCAUGUAACAAUCAGGUGUCUUAUGUUUGUGUAUGUGGCUGGAGGCUGUGUUUCCAUUCGAACAGGUCAAGACUUGUGGUAUUUUUACGUCAAUUACGGGAUUAUAUGUAUCAGUAUUUGGGAGGUAAAGGUAGCGGACUUAGAUUCGCAAGAUGUUCUUCAAAGUAGGGUAUUUUAGAAAUGGUAUGUUUGUGAAUGUUUGAGAGGGUAUUCAAUGGCCUAUGGGUCUUAGACAGUGUGGUUUCAUGUGCGAGUCUCGUGUGAUAACCUGGGUCGAGGUAUUGUGGGGCUACAGCAAAGGAGAAUAUCAAAUCAAAGAUGAAUCAUGAAGGAAAUUAGAUAAAUGGAAUAUCUUGAUAAUGAACCGAAUCGGUAUGGUAAAGAUAUGAUCAAUUCCUUGUUAUGUUCGAAGUAAUGAGCCCUUACGGGUAUUGGGUGCUAGAGCUUUUGAGCUCGGAUAUCUUGCUUAGGCUGGUGUGGAUAGAAGGAUUUCGUCCUGCCAGUAUAGCUUGUGGUUAGGAAAAUCUUUUGAGCUCGGAUAGCUUGCUUAGGCUGGUGUGGAUAGAAGGAUUUGGUUUUGGCAGUAUAGCUUGUGGUUAGGAAAAAGGGAGAUGGAGUUCUCAUGUUACCCUAGUAUAGUAUGGUAUGUGCGAUCUGUUAGGGAGGAUUGGGAUUUUUGUGUGUAAGGUAUGGUUCAGUUCUGAAUGGAAAGUGAUUAAAUUCUUACGCAGCUCGGGCAGCUGCAUGUAAUUUAAGAAGCAACCCUCAGAUGAUUAAGGAAAAUGGCAUUACUAUUCUAGUAAUUUGACGGGAGUAUACGUUCAGUAAUAGCAGAGUGGUUGUGUUCCAAGGACUAGCAGACGAUUGGUAGGAGUUGCUUUCCUUAAUUUAUCCUUUGAAGCGGGUGGCAGUGUAGAGGUUUCUGCCAAUGAUUCAGUUCUAACUGGUAGGAGUUGUUUUCCUUAAUUUAGCCUUUGAGGCGGGAGGCAGUGUAGAGGUUUCUACCAGUAAUUUAGUUCCGGCAUUAAGGUACUUUUCGUAUACCUGUUCCAGUCUGAGUCGACUCAGUUGGCUCUGAAUUUGUCGAGGGAUAAGUUGACUCGGUCAUUGCUGAGCUUAUCAGCGAUCUGGAGAGAUCUAUGAGUUAUUUUCUAUGUUACAAGACGUUAUGAUUUACGGACUAUAGGCACAUAUGAUGCGGCGCUAUCGAGAUUCAUAGUGGAAGUUGAGUUUUGCAACUUACACCGCCAUAAGUAGAUAUGAUUAUGCACUCAGUGUGCUUACGACCGAUACUCAGUAUUCUAUUAUAAUGAGAAAAUUCGGCUCAAUGUGCAUCUCCAUAGGUGAGAUAUUUGAGUGGACCAGGUGGCACUCCGCCACAGGAUAUGUUAUCUGGAUCAGGUUGCACGCCGCAACAGUGUGACGUUGAGGAUAGUUUUCGUGUGUUACUUUGUAUGCCUUGUUUCCUGGUUUUUGAGGAAAGUUCGUAUUGGGAGUUGCUCGGCGAAUAGAGCAUCGACUGGGUUAUUUCAGGAUUUAAUGGUGUAUAUAACUUGCUUCACCGUGGGUGUGAUGGAUUGCUUGUCUUUAGACAUCAAUCUGUGUGUGGUUGUCAAGUUCGAGUAUAGCGACUCGAGGUGCUUCAUGUGGAAUGGAAUUGGAUGAGAUCGCGCAUUAUAGCGAGGCUAUGUGGAGAAUAGACCCUUCGGGAAGGUUUAGUUUCUAUUCCUAUGAUGUGAGACGAGGUCUCAGCCUUGUGUUGUAAUGGUAUUGACGAGCUUAAGGUACAUCUCUUUCGUUUGAGUCGUUUUCAUGAUUUGAGUAUGUUGAGAUCGUAUCUUGUUGAUAUGGGUGUUAUGUAAGUUGUGGCUUUGGCCGUAUUGAUGUGUCAUGUCACCAGGAUGGUGUGUUCGGGCAGAAGAGACCUUUGGGGUCAUUAAUGGAUACGAACAGAUUUGGUUUUAGCUUGUCGGAAGGUUAAUAUUGAGUUGCGGCUCGGAGAUCUGUUGUGGUAUUAGUCAAAGGGGGAAGAAAUGUCUUCGUGAAUGGUUGAUCUGAGGAAUGACUAUGGUCUACUGCGUGCUCAUUAUCAUUGAUAGAGUAUAGCAGUGUUGGGAUAAGACCUUAGCUAAUAAGUGGUUCCUAUCGAUAAUUGAGUAUUUUGGGCAACUGUUGGGAAUUUGUGUGUUCAUUAUCAUUGAUGGAGUAUAGCAGUGUUGGAAUAAGACUCCAGCUAAUAAGGGGUAUUAUAGUCGGUUCGGGCUUAUUUUGAGUAUAAAUGUGAAGUUCUAGUCUUGUGUAUGGUUUCGGAGAUGCAAGGUGACUCUACGGUUAUGGUCUAGAUGGCCUGUGAAAUUUCAGCUAUGUUGUAUUAUCGGGCAUAUGUGACUUAGGGUGACGUGGGAUCACCCUGGGUAUAUGUUUUGUAAGGCCAUUCGAUAUUGGUUGGCCCCUAGUACAACUCUAAGCACGCUCGAGGACGAGCGUUUGUUUAAGUUGGGGAGGAUGUAAUGACCUGACCCAUCGUCCCGUGAAUUAUCGCCCCAUUUUCCCCAUCUUAUGUUUCUAUAUGUUUAAUUAUAUGUUUUUGGAGAGUUUGAAGAAAUUCGGAUGGAGUUAGGGUAGAAGUGAGACAAUUAGUCUCUUUAUGAGAAGGUUAGUUUGGAAAAGUCAACUGAAUGUUGACUUGUGAGUUACAGGGCUCAAAAUGGAUUUCUGACUAUUCGGCUAGUUUUGGAUGGUGAUUUGAGACUUAGGAGCGAAAUUGGAACUGAAUUUGGAGGUCCGGUGUAGAAUUAGGCUUGAAUUGGCUAAGUUAGAAUUUUGGCGAAGUUCGAUUGAUAGGUGAGAUUUUGAUCCGGGAGUCGGAAUUCCAUUCUGAUAGUUGCAAUAGCUCCGUUAGGUGAUUUAGUAUGUAUGGGCAAACAAGAGAUUUUGAUACGGUGGUCGGAAUGGAAUUCCGACAGUUGAAGUAGCUCCGUUAGGUAAUAUUGGAUAUGCGUGCAAAAUUUCAGUUGUUUCGUAGGUGUUUAGGUUUGGUUUUUGAUCGGAUGCGAGUUUUGGGAGUUCUAAUUAAAUUUAGGCUAUUUGAUGAAACAUUGAUGAUUUUGAUGUUAAAAGUAGUGUUUUGAUGGCUCGAGCAAGUUUGAAUAAGGUAAUAGAACUUAUAUGUGCCUUUGGUUGAGGUCCCGGGGGCCUCGGGUGAGUUUCGGGGUGGUUUCAGAUAAUUUCUAGGCUAUUUUAACUGUUUGUCUGAAGCAGUGUUCUAUGCGAUCGCGUACAAUGGGUCGCGAUCGCAGUGAGUAAAAUGUCAGAAACUUGCAGGUGAAUCGCGAUCGUGUAAUACCUUCCGCGAUCGCAGAGAAGAAAUUUUCUAUUGGAUUGAUCCCACUUCAGAAGCUUAUAUCUCACAAUCAUUAAGUAAUUUGGAGAUGCUGUAAAACUAAAAGUCCUAGCCCUUUGUGUCUAGUUUCUGGAAAUAUAUAUUAUUAAUGAUUUGGAUUUGUGUAAAAAAUGAUAUAGCUAAUAUACUAAAGGGUGUCCGGGAAACUGAUGAAACAAGUUGUAUUGCACAUAGGCUGACUUUGACGGAUGAUAUCUAGAAAUAUAUAAGAAAGUGGGAAAUGAUCAACACAAAAAUUUGUAGAUCUUUGAGUCUAAUUUUCAGAACAUUCAACCAUUUGUCAUCUAGAGUUGUGUGCAAAAAGUUAUGGCCAUUAUACUAGAGACUGUCCUGAAGAGCUGGGCAUUUGCUCUCUGCGAUUGCGAAGCCUCUCCCGCGAUCGUGAAGGGUAAAUUUUGGGCUGGAAAAAUUGCUCUCCACGAUCGCGAAGCAUUUUCCGCGAUCGCGAUGAGUAAAUACCUGGGCAGAAUAUUUUAAAAUCAUCUUGUUCGUGAUUUUGGGUCUAUUUUCACCCAUGGAUGCCCGUUUUUCGAGAAUUUUGGAGGAAAAGAAGGAGGGAUUCAAAGGGAAACAACUUGAGGUAAGAAUCUUGGUCUCAAUGCUCGUUUAUAUUGUGAAAUUCAUCUAGAAAAUUAUGGAAAUUUAGCAAAAAGGGGAAGAACUAGGGCUUGAGUUUUGAUAUUUUAUAUUGAGGAUUUGAGGGGUCAUUUGAACUCCGAUUAUAGCAUUAUUUAUAUGUAAGGACUCGCGGCAAGACGAGGAAUCCAUUGAUGUGACUUUCAUAAUUUUUCGAGAAGCGGGCCCGGGGCUUGGGUUUUGCUAGUUUCGAGGUUCUUGCUAUAUUUCGAUUGUUUUUGAUCGGGUUGUGUCCCAUUAGCUUACUAUGAUAUAUUUGUACUGAUUUUUAUUAGAUUUGACGCGCGUGGAGGCCGAUUUGAGGGGCAAAGGCGUCGCGAGCUCAAUAUUUUGCCGGAUCGAGGUGAGUAAUACUUGGGAAUGAUAUCCUGAGCGUUUGAAACCCUGGAUUUGCACAUCCUAGUGUUGUAUUGUGGUGACUUGCACGCUGGACCUGAGCGUGGGGUAGAGCACCGUUGGGAUUGUGACUUGGUCCAUCCCGAUUGUAGGUGUUUACCGCUAAAUUGUAAAUGUUUGUUGUUAUCAUUAUGACUUGGGCCCAUUGCCAUACUUGGGGCUUAUUGCCAAUUAAUUGAACCUCUUGUAUAUCAAAUUGUGACGCUAUAUGAGGCGAGACAUGCACUCCAUGGCUAGUGCGGGGUCAUAUAUGUGGGAAAAUGUGACUCGAUUCAAUCCAAGGGAUGAAUUAUACUNNNNNNNNNNNNNNNNNNNNNNNNNNNNNNGUAUAUUACACUGUGACGCUAUAUGAGGCGAGACAUGCACUCCAUGGCUAGUGCGGGGUCAUAUAUGUGGGAAAUUGUGACUCAGUUCAAUCCGAGGGAUGAAUUAUACUAUACUGGUGAUUGCGUCGCAUCCUAUAUUGAUGUUAUCUGGGCUUGAUGCCAUGUUUGGGGCCUUGUGCCGAAUUGUAGAAUCUUUUAGGGAUUGAUAUAUCAGAGUUAGCAUGAUUUGCAUACUAUUUGUAUUCAGUCUAGGGUUUUUAACACUAUUCUUGCAAACUCAGCUAAAAUUUUAUAUUUGCAAACACAAAUGAUUCUUAAAUGAUAUUUCGGGCUGGCGAUCAUUACCCCAUUAUUUCUGGACUGCAUAUUAUUUCAUGGAAAUGGUGGUAACUAUUGGCACCGUAUAUUGAAAUGGAAACGGUGGUAACUAUUGGCACCGUGUAUUGUAAUGGAAUCAAUGCUAACUAUUGGCACUGUAUGCUAUUGCGCUUGGGCUGAAGGAGCCCCUCCUGAUUCUGAACCCCCACAGUGAGUGUCGUCGACGUUAAAUCAUAUGCAUGGUUUGCUCGGGCUACACGCCGCAGCGUAUUCAUGUGCAUUGCAUUGCAUUCAUGCAUUUACUCCUGUUUGUACUACGUGGCUUAACAUUUAGCACUCAUAUAUCUUUGGCAUACAUAUGGUUACUUGCCUUGUUGACCACAUACCCUGGUGUUAUAUAUUAAUGAGUGCUGAGCCCAAGAGGCUGAUGUUAGAUAUUGUGAGUUGAUAUUGAGCCCGAGGGGCAGAUUUCUGAUUAUUUCCUAAUUGUUGAAAUUACCUUUGAAAUUGUUGAAAAGCAUAUUUUAAAAAGAGUUUUUGAACAGAACUGGGAUUUUCUAAAGGGAUUUUUCACAGUAUUUUGGUUUUUCUCAAAAAGGGUUGUUCUGUCUNNNNNNNNNNNNNNNNNNNNNNNNNNNNNNNNNNNNNNNNNNNNNNNNNNNNNNNNNNNNNNNNNNNNNNNNNNNNNNNNNNNNNNNNNNNNNNNNNNNNNNNNNNNNNNNNNNNNNNNNNNNNNNNNNNNNNNNNNNNNNNNNNNGUGCCCAUACAUGUUUUCUUAUCGCUCAGAUAUUAUUCUCUCUUAUUACCACUGAGUUGGAAAUACUCACUUUACUCCCUGCACCUCGCGUGCAGUUGCAAGUAUUGUUCGCCCGGUAGCGAGUUAUUAGCGAAUUGAAGAAUUGUUAUCGUAGCUUAGUCAGGUGACCGCUAGCGUCCGCGGCACCGGAUCUUCUCCCUUAUUUUAUUUUGUUCAUUAUAAUUUCAGACUUUUAGUUCUUUAGCGAAUUCAGUAGUAGAUCAUUACUAGUGACACCGCGACGUAGGGCUGUGACGGGAUGGUUCCCAGUUGGUAUUAUUGUUUUUCGCACUUUUGGUUAUGUUAAUCAUGUUUUAGAUAUAUAAAUGUUAAAUAACUAUUAAAAGGAAGCGUCUGUUUUGUUGGCUGUCCUUGUAUUCACGAGAGGCACCAUCACGAUCGGGUUUGGGAUUUGGGUCGCGACACUUAUUUACUUAUGUAGUUCAUUCAUUGGUCUGUAAUAACUUGUAAACAAAUAUUGGAGUAUAUAGUGAAAGGGAUGGGUAGAUAUAUGUUUUAUGGGGUAGUACUGGUUGAAAUCAUGUUCAUAGGACUUUAUAUUUAAUCUGAGUACUUUAUCAAGUAGAAAUCAUGAUCAUAGGGCCUUACAUUUUUUCAUCUGACCAUGCUAGAUAUUAUGCCUAUAGUUUCCAAAUAAUCAUGUCUUCAAUGUCUUAAAAUCAGUUGAACUAAUAGAUGUCAUGCCAAUAGGACUUAAUCUAGAUUUUAUUAUGAUAAGUGUUCAUGUAUGUUUUCAUUGUCUUAAAAUCAUAUUAACUAAUAGAUGUCAUGCCAAUAGAACUUAAUCCCGGCUCUAUUAUAACAAGUGUUAUGUAUGUUUCCAUGCCUGCAAGUCUUUUAAAUCAGUAUCAAAUGAGGAUAUCAUUCCUAUUGGAAAUCAUACUUGAAUUCCUGCAUGUUAAUCUAAGCUAUCUGAAUAGGUCAACUUAGUCCAUGCUUAGUUCACUUCUGAGUUGGUUUAACUAAGUGCACCAUAUUUCUUUAAACAAGUUCUUUAAAACUACCUCAAUCUCAUUAGACAUCAUGCUUAUAAGUAUUACAGAAAAUCGAUGUCAAACCUAUUUUGUUUCAAAAUACAAAUGAGCUAAUCAAUACUUCGCGUAUAGGCAAGCCUUUAGGGCGUUUCCAAAACUGUAUUUCUGAAAAACAUUUUCUAUUUCUUAAUGUUUUCUGAUCCUGAUAGGCUUUAAAAAAUCCAUAGGCAACGGCUAGGGUCACUACUCCUGAGUUUCUAAAAAAUAAGUUUCUUGUUUCUGCAUAUUCACCUAGAUAUCCUGCCUUAGGACACUUAAUGGUGCUUGAGUCGUGUUGUGUAUGUGCUUGUUUGAGGAGGAAACUUUGAGCCUCUAAUUGCUCCCUUUUAUGUGCUGAAAGUCUAAAGAGUUUUGAUUGUCGCCUUAGAAUUUUCAACUUUUAAAACCUUAGGGGUCCGUCUAGAACCACUAAUAGGUAGAGAUCCUAACUCCUUCCAGGACUAUUAAGAAGGGACGGGUAGCAGCACGCAAUAGAGAUUGCUGACCAAACACUCGCUUUGCAUGACCACUAAGGGGAUGUGAAGGGUAAAUAUGGGAUAUAAUGACUACGCUCUAAUGUCACGUGUAGACACUCAUCAAGGAGUGUUUACCAGACAUUAUGUGGGGUUAUGCUAUAGGAUAACCAACAUAUGACCCAUCUUUACCCAAAAUUCUUAUUCUAUUUAAAACUUUUGCUUACAACUUUUGUUCAAAAAUAUUUAUUCUAUUACUUGAGUUAUCCAAUGUGCUUACUUGAAACCUAUUUGAUUCAACUAUUAUAUGGACUAAUUCGUGAAUAUAAGUCCAUCCAGGACCCACAGUUGUGGACCAAGAGGGGUGCCUAACACCUUCCCCUUGAGGUUACUUCGAGCCCUUACCCUAAUCUCUAGUAAUGCAAACCAAUUCAAGAUUUAAUUACUCUAGGUGCCCUAACGCACCAUAAUCUGUUAUAUAAUGACUCUUCAAAUACCCAAUUCCCAAAGAGGAAAUGAGUUAUCACACCCCAUGGAAUGUCAAAACCGGGACCUCUCUCCGCAAGGCGGAAAAAAGGGGGCGCGACAGCAUGGCAACUCUACUAUGAUACCAUUAGGCUCUUACCAUAAAGAACUUAUCUUUUACAAAUUAUUCCAAGCAUUCUUUAUCACAUACCCUUCUCCCUUAUUUGAAUUUAACUGCCCAUGUUUUAAUCAUUUACGAUUUCUUUAUUGCCCUUAAACUGACUUGUCUCUUUGUUUUUCUUCUUCCUGUAACUAUCUUUCAAUUAUUUAAAUGUUGUAUUAUUAUUUUUCCUAAUGGGCAGACAUAUACCAUAUCCCCAUGAUCAUAGCCAACACCUACACGCUUUGGAGCACUGUCAGAGAGGGGCCAAACAUUUUGAGGGUUGUAAUUUGUUGCUGCAGCUAUGGUUUCUGGAGCAUCUCCAAAAGGGUCACUAUCGUCAAGAAUUUCCACGAAGGGCUUGGAACGACCACAUUUCCUUCCAUCACCCUAAGCAGAUGACUUACAUUCCAAACAGAUUUGCUCAGCCAGAAAGCACCAGGGAAUGGGUAGAGUUCUUCGACAAUCUGACUGAGUUACAGGUGCAGUGUAUGGUUGAAUGGUUCCCAACAGACGAGUUUAUUACCAGGUCCAGGGAUGCUUCACAUUUGGUGAUGAUCGGGUUGAGAGGGAUAUAUUCAUAUGUCCUUAUGCAAGUUGUAAGGCAAUCAGGCAAAAAAUAAGUUGUACCAAGGGUUGUCAAGAUGAGUCAUUUCAGAGCGGAUUUCCAAGAUGAUGACGUCCCUUACAAGUGCCAAGCUUAGCAUAUGUGACACUGCAAAAUCAAUGUGGAAAAAAGAACUGUUGAGAUAGACAUAUAUCAUGCAUGAUGCGAGCCUCUCUACCCGACAUGGUUAGAGGACAAUCUGAAAUGAAUGGUGACACCAGGGACUAGUCAGGGAACAGAAUCAUAGACGAGGAAGAUGAAGCUCGAGUCAAAUACAAUAGGCUGCAAGAGGGUCCACGAAUCUGAGAAUGAGCAUCGAGAAAUACAUGAGAGGAACGUGAGGUUAAUCGAUUAGUGGAAAGAAAUGGCAAUCACUUCCAACAGAGAACGGGAAUAUCUGGAGCGAGGAAUAGGGAGCUGGAGGGCAAAGUCAUAAAAAGGAUUGAAAACUGCCAUAAUGCUAAGGGAGUUGAUGGAGGACAUCAGGCCAGAGCCUACUAGUUGCUAGGACUGCGCGAGCUGGGAGAUUUGUAUGAUGGAGUACGAAAGAUCGAAUCUAGGGAGGGUCCUUCAGGGAUCAAAUGGAUUAUAUUUACUUCCUUUCCUAAAAUUGUAAUAAGGCCAAGUGCCAGUAGUAAAUUAUUUUAUCAUUAUGUUAGUGUCAUUUUGGGAUUCGUCUAGUUUUAUAUUAUGAAAUGAAGCAUUUAUUGUCAUUUAAAUUUCUCCAAAUUAAUUUGUUGGUAGGCAUGCCUCGGGAAAAAUGAGGCUCCCAAAAUAGGAUACCAGUUUACGUUUCGUAAUAUGUGUUUAAAUACUGCAAACAUUUCAGAAUCCUCACUAACUUAUUGCCUUUUUUUGUUUUUGCUUAUUUUUAUUAUUAUUCCCAUUCCCUUAGGUUGGUUAAAUCAUGCUGGCCUCAUCAACGUAUCACACCCAGAUCUAGAGGACCUCCACUUCCUCAUCCUCCAAGAAACACAAAGAGAAAAUAAAAAGCAAAGAUGGAUGACUUAAGUGAAAUCCGAAAGGAAAAUGAUGAGAACGUAGAGACUUCAGAUGGCUGUAGUACUCCGGCCCCAAAUGAUCUGGUUUUGAGAUUAUAACAAAAGAUACUAGAACUGCAAGGAGAAUUUGAGCAGGUCCGCAACUUGGCAAACCUGUCACUCAGCCUCAAUGUCCCCGAUGUCCACCAGUAAUACGCAAAGAACCCAACACCUCCUCAGAACAAACAAAACUAACAGCCGCAGAAUCCUACCCCACCGAAUCAAUACGCAACUCCACCCAAAAAUAUCAACGAUACCAACUCCACCAUAAUAUCAUCAACCAAUUCAUUGCUCUUGAAAGUGGGCUGUUUAGAGGUGUUGACAUUUAAAGAGGCAGACUCAAAUAUAAAUUGGUUAUUAGGCUUGAUCUUUCUUUGUUUCUCCUCUUAAAUUAUCAAAGAGAAGGCUUGGGCCAAAGAUGGCAAGGGCUUCAUCAUGAGUAUGCUUACCCUUACCACAAAUGUAUACUUCAUUAAGUCCCAUAAGAAACAAGAUUAAUUGUCUAUCUUGUUCAACUUUGUGCAUGUUUUUCUUAGCUUCACAAGUACAAUUACAAUUGCAUUAUGUUUUCGCACUUAAGGUGUUGAUCUCUCCCCACUGCUUCUUCAUCAUGGUAUAGUACCCAGUGAUGUCUAGUGUUCCCUGUGACAGAUCAUUUAUCUUUUUUUGAAUUUGGUACAUCUUUGCACCAUUUGUUUGAUCAUAACAAUCAUGCAGCUCUUUUCACAACUCUGCAGAAUUAUGACGCAUUCCACACUAUAAGCAAUUUCCUUCCCCAAGGAAUUCAAAAUUCAUGAGGUGACCAUGUCAUCACACCUCUCCCAUAGCCUAUACUUAAGAGAUUCUAGAUUUGGUUUCUUAAUCACCAUUAAUGAAAUCUAGUUUAUUUUUGACUGAUAGUGCUCGAAGCACACUCCAUCUCAAAGAUCUGUAUCCAAUGCCAUUAAAGGGGACCGCUACCAACGUUGCACCAGGAUUAUCCGAUGGAUGCAUGUAUAAUAGACUGCUUGAGUCAAUAGUAAACUACUUGCUUGAGUCCACAUCGAUGUUUUUGAUUUCUUUAUCAUUAGCCGUGAGGAUUACUCAAUCAAUAGUACUUGAGGCUAAAAAAGGAAAAGAGAAGCGGAGAUCUGAGAACCCUAACUUUUCGCAGAGACAGAAAUUACCUGCAAUCGAGAUAUGCAGAUCGAGAUCGAGCUAUCAAUGAUCUACACCAAUCAUAUGCGCAUAGGAUCAACUAAGCUCUGAUAUCAUAUCAGAAUCAGCAAAGCAAAUGUAUAAUUGAGCUUGAGUAGAGCUCCAACGGGGCGAGUGGAGACUUGAAGGAGAAGACUAGAAACGAGAGCAUUUGCAAG